rnacentral:lncRNA from 1 species
CAAGGAUCUCCUCCAGCUUUGACUGCAUCUCAUCUUUGAAAGGAUAGAAAGAAGAGAAAAAGCUAUUAACCUGCUUCAUAGCAGUAAUUUGAUAUUCAGAUUCGAUCUUGUUCCGAAGAGCUUCAGUAGAGAUCUCGUCCAAGAGGUCGUCGGCAUCAUAAACAGCAUCUUUGAGCUCAUCAGUCCAACUUUUGACAUUUGGGUUGGUAAUCUGCUUAUUUUCAGCAUCAUCCAACACUGCUUUCACCGACAUCAAGGUUGGCUUCAGUUUCUUCAGCAGCACAGGUUCAAGUUUCUUUCCUUUGAUAAGCCUAAAAAAAUCUCCAGAAACAAUCCUAUCAAGCAGCACCUCGAUGGAAGCAGAGAGAAAAGCUUCACCCACCAUAGCCAUGUCUUUUUUUUCUAGUAAAGAAAACGAUUGAAAAAGGAAGUGAGUUGCAGACCAAGGAAGAAAAUAGCGCAAAGUAAAAUGAAAGAGUUGAGGAGUUGCUUUAGAGAAGAAGAAGAAGAAGAAGAAUAGAUAGAAUAAGUUUAGAAAUUGAUUUAAUUGAGCAACCAUUAAAGUUGACCUGAAUAUUAUUAAAAUAUCCAUUAAAAUGUAUGCAGCAUGUUCAUCGGCCAACUUCAUCAAAAAUUGAUUACUGCAUUUUACAGCAAUUGUUUCUGAGAAUCGAGGUGGUGCUUCACGUGCUUCACCAAUUCUUUAACCAAAAGUCGAGAUGAUGGGAAGCGACGUGCAUCAAUUAAAUUUUCAUUUACUUUGAUAUUUUUUUCAAUAAGAAAAUUUAUUCACACACAUAUAUAUAACAUUACAAUUUAACCACAAAAUUAUUUUAUGUUAUUAAAUAUGGUUAAUGUUAAUUAUAUUAAAAAUUGUAAUACUUCUCACAUUCAUUAUUUAAAAUAUAUAUUAUCAUUUAUAUAAAAAUAUCAAUUCUAAAAUUGCAAUAUAUUUUUUACAAUUAAGUAUUCAAACAUAUUGGUAAUUUUUAAAUAUUCAUACUUUAUUUAAUCCUAUUUUUAUUGAAUUAAAAUAGAAAAUUAAUUUUUCAAUUGUAAUUUUUAUAAGUAUUUGGUUAAAAAAUUGGGGUUAUCAAUAGAAAUUUGAGUAUCUUGUACAAAAUAUUUUGUCAGAAAGUCAGCCAUUUUUUUUUAUAAAAUGACUUAUCAUUUUAAAAAGUAUUAAAUUAUUUUUUUUAAAUAUUUAUGAGUGAUUUUAUUUUUAUAUAAAAAUUAACUUAAGUGAAACAUAAUAUUAUUAUAUUAAUAAUGAAGUUUUAAUUUUAUAUUAAAAAAUUUUGGUGAAAAGAAAAAACCUAGAGUUCAUGAAACCCCUAACAUUCUCUUAGUCUAAUAGUUUCCUAAAGUUCUAUUCCUAGAUGAUUCAUUAUUGCUAACUUUGUUAUACUGCUUUGCCUAGCAAGUUGAUGCUUUAAUAAUCUCCAAAGAACUCCAUGGGAUUUCUUGAAAGACAAAGAGAUUUAUGUUUUUCCAAAAUCGCCGAAGUGUGAUUUCGAAGAGUGUAGACCAAAGGCCAUCGUGCCUUGUUAUUUGUUCAUGAGUUGUUAAAUUGGUCCUAAUCCAUUCGAGUAGACUGCCAGAGAAAAAUUGGAACUAUCGUGUUGCUGGCACAAUUAGUUUCCACGUGUCUUUGGCAACUGGACAAUCCUUGAGAAAAUAUUAUAAUUUUUAAUAUUAUUAAACAUACAUAUUUAAUUAUCUAUAUUUAAUCAUAUAAUAAAUUAUUAAUAUAGUUGAUCAUUUUAAUAAAUUACUUAAUAUUUUAAUUUUAUUUUAAUAAUAAUUUUAAAUUACAUUCAUCAUAUAUUAUUUAAAAAAUUCAAUAUUAAUAUUUUAAUAAUAAAUAUUUAUUAUAAUUAUAAAUAUAUUAAUAAUAAAUAUUUUGUAGUAUAAAGAUUAAAAUAUGCCAUCAGUCUAGGUUCUCUUCAAAAAUUUUGAAUUUAGCCCCUGUACUUUUAUUUCCUACUUUUCAUAUUUGAAAAUCAAGUCCAAUUGUUAACACUGUUAAAUUUUUUUCUAAUUUUGUUGAUGUCACAUUUUUAACUAAAAAUACUCGGUAUUCAUGUAAUUAAAAAAAUAAUGUUAUAAUGAACAUGCUAUAAAGAUGUUAUAAAAAGUAUUUGGUUACAAAGUUGGGUUCCAAAUACUAGUUUGUGUAUUUGGUUACAAAAUUGUGUUUUCAAUAGGAAUUUGAGUAAUAGUUAUAGAUUUUUGUAGUUGUUAUCAAAUGCUGUUAUAUAAAUAAAAAUAUUGUUGCUUAAAUGGAAAGGUAGUUAAAUCUCUUAUUAGACACCCGUUUGUCCUGAGAUUAAACAGUGUUAUCUCAUCUCUUAUAUUAUAUAAAGAAUAUAUAUUGUUAUAAUUAAGGAGAUAUUUUGUUAUUUAUUAUAUAAUAGAUUUUGAAAUCGAUGAUAUGGUAUGUUGACUAAAAAAAAAUUAUCAAAAAAAUAAGUAUGAACGUUUGAUUUUAUCAAAAAGAAAAUAUCAAAUUUGACUGUCAUAGACACAAAACCACAUUAUUGAAAAAUAAAGCCCAAACCUAAUUAGGAUAUAUCUUAUAAUGAUUUUUCAUUAUUUUGCACAACUCCAUAAGCUUGUGACCAAUGAUGCUAUUGAUAUGAUUCUCUAAUAAAAUAUCAAGAAAAAAUUUAUCAUUAUUUACUAAUUUAUGAGUAAAUUUUUAUUAAAUCACUUGACUUCUUUUUACAAGUUAAUUAAUAAUAAAAAUAUCGAGAAAAAAUUUAUCAUUGAAUAAUUUUUUGUUAAAUCACUUGACUUCUUUUGACAAGUUAAUUAAUAAUAAAAAAAGGGGCCGGUUAUACAUCCAAAUACACAUGAAGGAAUGUAGUUAGUAAGUAUACCCAAAUUUAUAUUACUUAAACUUUGGUGCAAGUGUCAGAUAUAGACAAUGUGCUAUAUAGAUAUUUUUAACUUUUUUUUCAAAGUUUUUCUAUGUAUUUGGAGGGUUUUUAGAAAAUCAUUGGAGAUAUAUAUCCUUAUACUCAUAUUUAAAUAUACAUCAAAAAUAGAUAUUUUAAAAAAUAAUAAUAAUAAUAAAGAGUUCAAGUAACAUACAUAUGACUUGAAAAACAAGAAGAAGGCUACCGUAGGUUGGGAUUAUUAGUGUGGAAGAUUUAAAAAGAAACUUUGCUACCUUGGAUAGUAAUCAGCUACCAACUUUUCAAUUUUGGGUUUCAAAUAUAUAUAUACAGUUGCUUGCCAUCCUACAAGUUCAAUAUGAUCAAACUUAAAAUGUCAUAAGAAAAUCAAAUACUAAAACAUGUAUAUAUGCGUUCUGCAAAAGGAUAGACUUUUUGUACAUUAACUCAUCUCAACACUCUUUUUUUUUUUUGAGUUUUUAAAAUAAUAAUUAAGCUUUGCAACAAUAAUAUCAUCAUCCUACUUCCUAUUGUUUCCACUUUUACCUUCAUGUUCAAAAUUUUUAAAAAUAACAAAAAUAAAGAAGUUAAAUAUACCUUCACAUGCUCAUAAUUAGCACUUGCCUAAGUCCGAGUAACAUAUCCUUCAUCUAAGUUUCAAUAACAUCAUAGAUAAGAUUUUAAGAUUGAAUAUGUCAUUCUCCAAAUUGAGGCAUAACAGGCGUCACACAUUCGAGAGAUUGAAUCUCACGAAUAUGCACUACUAUCACUAAGUAACUGAAAUUCAACUUAGCCAAAACUUUUUACAUAAGAAUUAUAGGAUCAUAACUCAAAAAACUUUUAUAAAAUUUGAUUUGAAAAUAAGUUUCAAGUAGUAAAUUAAUUAACCUUGAAAAAACAACUUAAACUUUUAUAAGUCUAGUGGUAUUGAAAAUUUAUAAAAAUAAAAAUAAAAAAUGAAACAUCUCGAAAGAUUUAAUGAAAUGCAAUAAUAUACAAAACUGUUACUUUUCAGACUUCUCAUGUUCACGAACAUAAUAAGAACCUGUAAAAAAGUAUUAUAAGAGUGAACGAGUUUUAACCAUUCGAUAAGUGAUAGGCAUUUCCCUUGGUUGCGUUAAGCAAACACGAAAAUAUUUAAACCAAAUAUUUAGUAAAAAAUACAUAAUUGUAAAAUUUAUUGGUAAUUCAUAAUAAAUAAUUCAAAGCAUAUUUUGUGUCAAAAUUGUAAUAAAGACAAACUAAUAUUUUUUGAAAUACCAAUCCUUUUUUUUAUAACUAUGGUCACCCUUAACCUCGGUUACAAAGGUCAAAACCACAAUUAACCCCAAUGGUAAUGCAUCGGAACAAAAGCCACAACUAACCCCAUGGCAGUGAGUUGAAAGAAAAAACAUAAAUCACUCCAACAACAAUAGGUCAAAAACCACUAUUCUAAGCCAGUAGAACAGUUGAAAUAAGUUUUUAAGCACAAAAUACAUGUUGACAUGACCAACAUUUAACCCCUAUUGACAGGGUUGGAACAGAACAUUUUAGAAGCAAGUUCAAAAUCAGAAAAUUGGAUUAGAAAAAUGACUCAAAAACAUACAAAACAUACUUAAUAUACAAAAACAUAGUUUAAUAGUGUACUUUUUCAAAACAUAUCAUUUAUAUAUAUAACAAAAUAUAAUUUGAGUAGCGUAAGUAUACCAAAAACAUAGUCCGAUAAGAUAUUUCUCUAAAAAUAAAUAUACUAGUAUGCUUAACUCAAAUUUCAUAAAAUAUGAACAAAAAUAUUAUAUAUCACGAAUAUAACAUAAAACAUUGAAGACUGAUUUUUGGGGAAUUAAACACCAAAAGAAUGUUGAGUCACUUACCUAGUCUACUCAAUCUACACUUCAGCAAAGAUUUUAAAAAAUUUCAUAGUAGCCUAAAAUUUUAGACUAAUGGAACUUGAAAAUAAAAAAUUGAUCAAUUAAUUAGAGGCUUAGAAGUUACAAAUCUCCGUGGUGAUCCUAAGACAUUUCGGUUUUGCGGCAAUCAACCUAACAAACUAAGACACAAUUGUACAAUUUAAUUGAACUAUAUUUUAAAUAAAAAAACAAGUAAAUCCAAUUUAAUAAAAUUCAUACAUAUUGUAAUAACUCAAAUAAAUUAAUGAAAAUCAAUUUAGUAUGAUUUUGCAACCAAAUAAUAUGUAUUCGGAUAAAAAAUAUUUUGAAACAUAAUUAAAAAUCAAAAUUUUAAUAUAGUCUAAACUUCAUGAUCGUUUGGUUAACUUGAAGUCAUUUAAACUAAAAAUUUACUUAGUAUUUUAGUAGUGUAAAAACAUGAAUUUAAAGAAUAAAUUAAAUACUAAAACUUAAAAACUUGUUUCACUAAAUUUAGUUAUCAAAAGCCUUAUUUUUAAAAGCCAAAAUAUAAGAAUUUAUCACAAACUAUCCGAAUUUUUAGGUUAAUAGUUUCAAGUAGCUUACUUUGGCUUUCAUAUCUUUCAACAAAAAAUUCAUAUAACCAAGAUAUUAAUAUCAAAUGAAAGUUAAUAACUUCAUACUAUAAAAAACAUCUAAAUUUCAGAACAAAUGAACAUUUAUAGAUAGAUUUCUAGUGCGUCAAAGUUGAUUAUACGAAACUGUCAAAACUCAUAUGACAAAAACUUCAAAAAUUAUUUUCUCCUAAUAUAAUUGAUCAAAAAGGAUGCCAAACGUACUAUUUGAAAAAUCUUGAAGAGAAACUUCAUUUGGUACCAAGAAUGUUGCUAGAAUCCCAUUGGGAAGUCAAUGGGAUUUGACAAACUAUAAAACUAACCCAAAUGAAAUACAUGAGUUUUAAGAAAAACAGCUUAAAACCAUUGACUAAGAAAAAUAGUGUAAAGAGAUUCUAUCUCUUCUUUUCCUUCUAUUAUUUUAUUUUUUUUAGAAAAACCUAUAAAAUACAUGUAAUGACUUGAAAGUAAGUAGUGUCAAAAAAUAUGGUCUCGAAAUCCCGUUCCCGUAAAUUGAGCUCGUAAAUAAAUAUUUAUAGAGUUAUGUUAUAAGUGAAUUGAACUUUGAAUAAGUAAUUUAGCUAAAUUAGUGAUUAAUUAAGGUACAGAGACUAAAUUGUAAAAAAGUUAUCACUGUAGGUUUUAAUUAAGAAAUUAGUUGAGGACGUAAAUUGCCAUUCAACUAAGGAUUAAAAUGGUAAAUAUAUCAUCUUAAAAAUGAUAGUGGACGGUAGGGAGUUUGGCCUAUUAAAUUGAUUAAAAUAAAUAUUUUUUAUUAAAUUUAAGUAAAUAAAUUAAUAUUAUAUGAAUAUUAUUAGAGAAAUGGAGGAAGGGAUGAACAUAUCAUUUUCUUCCUCACCUACCAAAACAAUAAAAAAAAUAAAAGAAGGCUUAAUACAAUUUAGGGUUCUUGGAAGCUUUAGCCUUAAAUUCAAGUAAAUCAUUAAAUAUUUUCUUGUAAUUUUUUUUUGUUUUUGAGAUCAUGAGAGUUUAAUCUAGCUAGUCUAUGUACUAAUUUGUAAAAUUGUUAAAGUUUUAGAAAGUUACCAUUGUUGAUUUCUUGGAAAUUAAGGUGUUAAAAAGGGACUAAAUUGUGAAGUUAUUUGAUAAUUUCGUACAUUAGAAACUAAACUAAAUAAAUUGUAAAAUUGACUGUUGAAAUAAGAAACAUGAGGUCGCUAAUGGAUUAUAAUAAAACUGGACUUCAAAAUGGAGUUUUAAAUUGAAAGUUAUGCUAGUCCCGGUUUUAGGGACUAAAUUGAAUAAAAUGUAAACUUUGUAUAACAAUGAUAAUUGAGUGUGAAAUUGAUUGAAUCUUGGUGACAUUGUAUGUUUAUGUUAAUUCGUAGCUAACGUCGACCCGGAUUCCUCAAGAGGGAAGGGAAAAACUAAAGUCGUCGAUAAAUAGCUCGAAGUUUUUAGUUUGUAUUUCUACAAUUCAAAUUAUUUAAAUUGUUGCAUAACUGUAUAGUAUAACAUGAUAAGACAUUGAUGUGAGUUGGGAUUGAUUAGUUAAUUUUUAUUGGUAUGGAAAUGUUGAUUUUCGAAAUAAAUGACUAAAUUGAAUAAAAGUGAAAAUAGUGUAAAUUGAUGAAAAUGUGAAAAUUGAAUUGGAUUUGGACUGAUUCAUUCUAUUAUAUGAAUGAAAUUGUAAUUUGAUUGAUUAAUUGAAUAUGAUAAAUUGUGAAUUGAUUAUAAUUGUAAAUUGAAUGGUUAUUACCCUAUUAACUAUUUGAAAAGAGUCGGAUAUAAUUGUUAUGCCAUAGGAUAGAUCGAGUACGGGAUAGUACAUGUUAUUUCGACUAGGGUCGGUGAGUAUUGGGCACAUUUAUGCUUUGGUUAUACUGAUGAGCGUAGUGCGCAACUUAAUUACUUUGGCAUCGUUUGAUGAGGCAUUAGGUGUCAAAUUGGUGUGUUGGUUGGAUUCAUGUAUCUGUUUGAGUUCGAGUCAGGAUAAUAGUGACUGAAAAUAAAAAUGUGAAAAUGAUAUUUGAAAUGAAUUACUACUAUGAAAUAUCAUGUGAAUCGGAUUGAAAACUGGAAGAUUAGUAUAUGGUGAAUGAAUCAAUUGACCUUCUUUGGAAUUUGAGAUGUUAAUGUAAUUAUUCCCAACUUAACCUUUGUUGUGUGGAUUUAAUCAUAUGACUUGCAUUGCUCUUUGAUUUUUUGAAAUACAAUUGAGUUUAUUACUCAGCAUACAGUUUUGCUUUCCGUGCACAGGUUAGGUUAAUACAAGAUCUUGAGUAUUGACAUCAGCAUCUAAACGAAAUCCCAGACUCAGGAAAGUUGGUGAUAUUCUUUUGUUAUUUUUCGCAUGUACGUAAUGAAGUCUUUUAUAUUUUGCUAUGUUGUAAUGUUUAAUUUAGAAUGUGGAUAAUGGCAUAUAACUAUGUUUUGCAAGUUGGUAUUUGAAGUGGUAUGUCUUGAUUUUAUGUUAAAUAUUGAAAGUUGAUAAAUUAGAAAUAUACAAGAUUAAAAUGGGAAUAUGGUAUGAAUGAGUUAGAAUGUCAAGAUGAUAGAAUUGAAUGGUGUGAUUAAGUGAUUAUUUAGUGAAUGAAUACUUUGGUUGAUUGAGAAAUGGUUGGUUUAGAUGUAAAAUACAUUUUGAAUUGGUUGUGUAGGUUUUUCAGUGUGCAUUUGGGCACCAAACUGAAUAGGUUUGGUUUGGACAUGAAAUGGGUAUCAAAAUGGAGGAUUUUGACAAUUUUUGGCACUAAAAUACCUAUACCCUGGUAAAGGUAUCGAUACUUAGCUCUUUCAAGAAAAUUUUCAAGAAAUAGAAUCUCAAAAUGGUAUUGAUAUCAGACUAAAGUAUCAAUAAUCUAUAUUAGAGUAUUGAUACUUUAUAAAAGUGUCCAUGUAAUUGGUUUUAUUCAUUUUUGUUUUUGACAAAACAUCGAACCUUAAAAUGGUAUUGAUACCAAUGUAUCAAUAUCGAUACUUAAAAAUAAGGAUCGAUACUGUAGUCUUAGUAUCGAUACGUUUCGAUUUAAAUUGAUUUUUUGGAACAUCAAAUCUAAAAAUAGUUUCGGUACCUAUUAAGGGUAUCGAUACUUGAUUAUAAACUUUGAAAAUUUUGCAAUUUGGUUCUAUUUUAGGUUCAGAUUAGUAAUUUCUAUUGAGGCUAUGAAAUGUUUGUUUAAUGUAUAAUGUUUGUAUUAUGAAGUGUUUGAGUGUUCAAAUGAUCUUAAAUUCAGUGUUUUAGACUAUAGUUACUCUAACAAUAAAUGUAAUAUUCUGUAACGCCCCAAAACCCGACCUAGACGUUUAGACCGAAUCUUAGAGGUUACCUUGAUUACUGAAAUGAUCGGAAAUAAAAACUUUAAUUCAAACCAAGAAAACUUUUUUGUUCGUUGAUGGUCGCUAAACUAACUAAAAAUUCGACUAAGGCAAGUGCACCUAUCAAACAGUAGUAUAGUUAUAGUGAGACCGGAAAUAUCAUAUCCACAAGGACUAAAAGUACUAGUAAUUACUAUCUUUUUAUUAUCUAACCUAAUAAUUAAAGAAAUGUUUUACACUAAGACUAAUUAUCUAAUUGUCUAAGAUUACGGCAGAGAUAAAAGUUGAAAAAUACUGUGUAGAAAAUCGAUGGAGAAGACAAUACCCAAGGAAGAAUCCACCUAGACUUCACUUUUUACUACUGCAUUAGACGAUUUAUUUACUUGACUUAAUCCGUAAAUAUUUAUUUAUUUACUUGAUUUAUUUAUUUACUUUUUACUAAUAAACGAAACGCACAAAGACAAUCUCCUUUGAAAAAAUGAUAAAUAAAUUACGCAAAACCGAAGAAGCAAAAACAAAUGCAAUUAAAAUUGGAAAGAACAGAAAAAGGAAACGAUAGGGGAGAAAAAGAAAAGUAAAAGAAAAAUGAAGAACGUAACUUUAUUUUUCUAUUUAAAAAGUAACUUCCUCUUUAAAUUAAACAUAAACAUAGAUAAAUAUCAAAACACAGGAUCCAAACUCAGAACCCAAAGACACACUAACACACAACUAACCACCACACCAGCAGGCUUAUUCUAAUAUUAAAACGUGAAAUUGAACCCAAAAGUUCAACGCACUCACUGACCUUAACCAUAAACCUCAAAAUUUCUAACCCUAAAUUCUGGGAUGUUACAUAUUCUGUUACUCGGACCCAACGACCGGGUCAAGUAUCAGGGUGUUACAAUACACAUAAAGUUGGGCUUGAUAAAAAUGGGCUAAUGGACCAUAUAAUUAAUUGGGCACUUAAAUAAUUCCCAUUUAAAAAUUGUGGGUAUCAUUCAUAUAUAUAUAUACAUGUUCUAAUAAGGUAUACUUGCAAAUUUGGAAAGUUUAAGUUCUUGGAUAGUUCUGAUGCUGGCAAGUGGCACCAUUGGUUGUUUGCCACCUCAACUUUUUAAAUAUUAUAUUAGUGGACCCAUUAGUAUUUAAUAAAUUACUUUACUUUUACUGUUUUAAGUAAAUACUAUUUUUCAUAAAUGAUAAUUUAUGGAGUUAGUUAAUUUUGAAAUCAAAUAAUUAUAUUUGCAUUUAAAAUUUACGUAAAUUGGCCACUUAUAUUACAAUUUAGCGAAUGCGAUAUACUUGAUUUACUAAAAGUGCGAGAUUUUCAACCUUAAUUUUAGUUUGUCAAUUCUCUAGUGGAUUAGUUAUUAAUCUUGGAUGCUAUAAAAGAAUUUAAACAAAGAAAACAUUGAAUUAUAAAAAUAAUUACCAACAUCAAAAUUUCCCAUCAAUUUUAGGUUUUCAAAGAAACAAGAAACUAUUUUUUUAUAUUCUACUACUAUUAAUACUACAUGUAACUAUUUAAAUUAUAAUUAUUUUUUACUUACCAAAAUUUUUGUGUACAAUUAAAAUAAAAGCAAUUUUAAUUUAAUAAAUAAUAAAUUUCAGAAUAAAAUAGCAUAUAUUAAGACAUGCUACAUAAAUCAAUAAAUAAAAUUGAAUUACCAACCUUUUCUAUUACAAUUAUGAAUAUCAUUACAAAUUAAUGAAAAUUUAUUCCUUAAUUUCAUACCUUAAUUUCUGCAACCACAUAUUUAACUUAAAUAUUCAAUUAGUUCUACUAAUAAAUAAGUUUUUCUCCUAUGAACAAAUUAAUUCUUUGCAAGUCUUAACCUAAAAGAAAACACUCUACAACUAUUUUACAAUUCAUGUCACAUCCCGAAAAUCGGGUUGAAAAAAAUUGGGUUACUGAAAACUAGAGGGGUCACAUUGUGAUUUUUAAGUUAAGAUUUUGAAACUAUGCUAAGUAGUUUGUUAUGGUUAAAUGGUUAGAGCUUGUACUUGUGUGAGAAGGUUCUGGAUUUGAAUCCUUUCACUUGUAAUUUUUCCAAUUUUGUCUAAAUCUCUAGUUUUUGGUAUUUGGUUUAAGAAAUACUUGAGUGCAUCUAUUGAUAAGAAUGAGCUUGUUGGCUUGGUGGUAAGGCGAUUGUUAGCUUACCCUUUGGUCCUAUGUUUGAAUCCUUGUGUGUGCAAAGUGGAAAAUGUUUUUCUUUUGAACUAUAAGGGAAUUUGGUGGGUGGUUAUUUGUGGGACUUAGUUGUCUCUCCCACUCUCACGUUCUUUUCUUCCCCACUUCUCCAUUUUCUUUUUUAUUUUAUUUUCUUUUCUCCAUUUCCAUUGGUUUUGCUUGCUGCCGUUUCAAUUUUCUUCUGUGUACGUGUGUAAGAUUCACUGUUUGAUCAUAGUUCAAAACGUGGUGUAAGUUUGUCAAGCUAUUUUUCUAUUAUUUUAGCUUUAAUUUGUUCUUGACUAAGAUAUGAGGUGUUGGUGUUUAGUUUUCAUUCCACCUUGUGUUAAGUGUGUUCGUGAUUUUAAUUAGGCGAAAGGUAUGAAAAUCAAAACCCUCUAGUGGAUUAGAUACGGUUUUGAAGUUGUUUCAGACAAGUAAGUGUUUGAACUUUGUAUUAGGGGCUAAAGGUUUGAUUUAUGGACGUUAUUUUUUGGAUGAGUUUUGAUGAUUAAUAGUGAGGUCUGAUGAAUAAUUGUAGGAUCUAGAGUGCAAUAUUUGAGUGGUUAAUCAAAAUUAUCAUCAAGUGUAUGAUUCUAACCCGAAACGUCAUUUAGAACUAAAAAAAUUCAAGAAAACUGAGGCUAUUUCAAGACUGUUGUUCGUCACACAGCCAAAUGUCAAGCCAUGUGGAGCACACGGAUGUAUGUGAUUACACGGGCAACUUGGGUAGGCCGUGUGGGGCCCACGGGCGUGUGUGAUCACAUGGGAUGGUUAGGUAGGAUGUGUGGGUCCAUUUUUCGAAAAAAUUUCCCUUAGGCCCAUUUGACAUAGAAAUACGUAAUUAGAUCUUUUGUGGGGUUCUUUUCGCUUAAAUAAGACCCGAAAUAUGACUGUUGUCAAUAUGUGUUAGUACAUGACAUGGUUAAGGUAUGUGAAAAAUGUAAGUAUGAUUUAUGUUUUGGUAACUCUGAAAACAUAAUUAUGUGUUUGAUUACGUGUAACACCCCAAACCCGGCCUAGAAGUUAUGGCCGAAUCUGGCAAUGUCACAUGGAAUGGAAUUUGAAAUCAAGUUUAUCAAGUUAAAAUUGUUUCCGUUUAUUAGCUUUCAUUUAUUUUUCGUCAAAUUCAAAACUUUUUUCUCGUUUAAUUUGACCCAUUUAAAAACAUUUUCUGUAGCGAAAGCUUUUAAAAUCUUGAAAUUUGAAGAAAAACCGUUUGCUUUUAGGAAAAACGUUGUUACUAAUUUAAACCGACUUUCGUUGAGUUUUGCAGUUUAAAAGUCCAUGAAAACAGUUAAAUCCAAAAUAAAUGCAACACGUCCAAAAGUCUCAAAUUACAUAAAAUAACCCAUAAGAAUAGAAAAUAAAAACCGUAAACGAAGUUUUAGCAGUGUGCUAAACAUGUGGUCACCGUUGAGUCAUCCGCCGUACCGGUCCAUCUAAGUCUGGGGAUUACCUGUACAGUUAAAAUAGAAAAGGGUGAGUUUACGUAAACUCUGUGUAUAAUCCCCAUAGAAAACAUACACAUAGUCAAAUAUUAGUUAACAAUCAAAUGCAGUCUGGGCCUAAGCCCAUUACAGAUUCCGAUACAGUUAGGGCCUUAGCCCAUUUAAAUCAGUUUCAGAUAUAACUUAAGCCCUUAGCCCAUCUCAGAUAUAGUAUGUAUACAGUAACAGAAAUCAAUAUCCUACCCACCAGCCUUUACACACCAUCUUCGACCAUCCCUACACACCAUGUGCGGUUUAAAACACCCACCCAACCCUACACACCCAGUCAUACCGAAUGCGGCACAUAUCAGUAAUAUUAUAGCUGAGCUGCCAGAUAGUAGGCAUGAAAGCCUUUCAGUACACUUCCUCUAAUAAUCAAUCAUCCCACCCCAAUGCAGAUGCAACUAAACAUGCUCAAUGUAAAUAUAUAGAAUUACAUGCUUAUAUGCUAAAAUUUAGUUAUCAGUGCAUAAAUUAACAUGCUCAAUACAUACACCAAAUAUUUAGAUCACACGAUUUAGGGUCUAAGUAGCGCUUACUAACCAUACAGUAGGUUCACAGUCGACUUGGGCCACCCGUGCAACCUAAGGAAACAUUUCAGCUAAAUAGGCCCACACGCCCAUGCGACUUGCCCAUGUGGGCCCACACGCUAGACUAGCCUUGGCCCGUGUGGAUCACACGUCCUAGCCCAAAUUCCCACAUGCUCAUGUAGCCCACACAGCCCAAUUCGAUCAGGCCCGUGUGUCACACACGACCUACCUGGCCAACACACGGCCGUGUCUAGUGCACGACCUAGCCUUCGUCAACCAUAUGCCCGUGCCGUUGUACACGGCUUACCACACGGUUGUGUGGCAUCAACAGAAAGGUUUUUAGCUUUUACUGAAAAUGUAUUUUCUUGUGAUUCGAGUAUACACCUGGUAUGAUUUUGAUACUACUGCAACUAUGAACACUCUAGAACCUAAAAAUCAGUAUACCAACACUCAGAAUCAAACAUAAUACACGGUUAAUCUAAACCAUGAAGCCAAUAACAGUUCAAUGUACAAAAGCCAUCACUUACCCCAACACUUUGAACUUUUCGAUUACGAUUCCGUAAGAUAAGAGCCUCGUUCCUCACGAUUUGUUGCUGCCAAAAUUUAGAAAUUAGACUAACAAAAUUAACAUUUCAGCAUAGAAUGGCACUAUAUGGAAACCCUCUCUUAACUCGAUAAAAAACUUACCACCAAAUACGAAAUCCAAAAGCGAACAUACCAAAAAUCAAAGAAGAAACUAAAAGAGAUUGAAUAAAGAGGGGGAAAAGGGCAGCAAGUAAAAGGGAAAAGAAACGUCAAAACCUUGCGUAUUUUUCAGAAAUAGAGAAGAAAAUAUUUUGAAAACAAAAAUAAAAUAAAAAAUAUAUAUGGGAUAUGAUACCAAAUCCCUAAAUUCUCUCCCCUUACCCACUACAGAUAACCACCUCAAAGAUUCUGUUCACUCGAAACUCUCUCAGCAAAACGAGCAAAAAUAAACUCCCACGCUCGCGCAAGGACUCGAACACAAGACCUUUCAGCAACCUAACACUCAACUUAACCACUAGGCCAAUAGGCCUAUUCUGAUGUGCUUUUACAAAUAAUUUAAUAUAAGCCCGCUGAACAAGCAUAAUGCUUAAGUUAGAAAAAUACGAAAAUUUACCAAAUGUGAGGCUUAAACUUGGGACUUCACACACACACUCAGAACACUUAGCCACUGAAGCAGAUACACACUUGUGUCACAUUUUCACAAAAGCUAAAAUAGAAAUUUUGGGGCAUUAGAACUUUACCCCCUAAAAGAAAAUUUAAGCCUCAAAAUUUACCUGAUCAGAACAGGUGAGGAUACUGCUGACGUAUCACAUCCUCAGGCUUCCACAUAGCCUCCUCAGUGCUAUGGUUAUACCACAGCACCUUCACUAAAGGUAUAAACUUCUUCUGAAAAACCUUUACAUCGCGAUCCAAAAUCUAAACCGGCUCUUCCUCGAAGGUCAAAUCUGGCCUAACCUCAAUUUUCUCAACAGGGAUAACAUGAGUAGGAUCAGAGCAAUAAUGCCUCAACAUCGAGAUGUGGAAUACGUCAUGAAUACGGUCUAGCUCUGUAGGUAACUCCAACUAAUAAGCGACCGGUCCACUCGUUUCAAAAUUUGAUAAGGCCCAACAAACCUAGAGCUUAACUUACCCUUACGACCGAACCAUAGAACCUUCUUCCAUAGAGAGACCUUAAGAAACACGAAGCCCCCCACUGAAUAUUCAACCUCAUACCUCUUUAGGUAUGCAUAAGACUUCUGUCUGUUAGAAGCCUCCUUCAGAUGAUCCCUAAUCAGCCGAACCUUAUCCUCAGCCUUAAAAACCAACUCAGGACCCAAAACUCGACGUUCACACAACUCAGUCUAACAUAAAGAAGUACCACACUUAUAACCAUAUAGAGCCUCGUAACGUGCUAUCUGAAUACUCAACUGGAAACUGUUCUAUCCAAGUCGGUUUAACCUGCAACUCAGCCAUAAACUUUCGUCAUCGAACAAACUUAGUCGAGCGAACAUCGCUCUCAGAUCAGUCAUCGCCCUACGGCUCAACACAUCGGCCACCAUAUUGGCCUUGCCAGGAUGGGUCUCAAUAGUACAGUCAUAGUCCUUAAGCAGCUCAAUCUAUCUAUGCUGCCUAAGAUUCAACUCCUUCAGAGCCAAGAGGUACCUGAGGCUUUUGUGAUCAGUGUAGAUAAUACACUUCUCACCAUACAGAUAGUGCCUCCAGAUUUUCAAAGUAAAAACUACGGUAACCAACUCCAAAUAAUGAGUUGGAUAGUUUACCUCAUACGUCUUGAACUGACGAGACGCAUAUGUCACAACCUUACCAUCUUGCAUCAGAACACAACCCAAACCCACAUGCAACGCAUCAUUGUAAAUCACAAACUCCUUCCCAGGUUCAGGCUGUAUCAAAACAGGAGCCUCAGUCAGAACAGUCUUGAGCUUCUCAAAGCUCUCCUACUGCAAAUCAGUCUAAGCAAACGGAACACCCUUACGUAACAGCUUAGUUAAGGGCACUGCAAUCAAUGAGAAACCACAAAAAGUUGAUAAUAACUCGCCAGACCCAGAAAACUACGAAUCUCAGAUACAUUCUUAGGCUAUUUCCAAUCCAGUACAACCUCAAUCUUCCUAGGAUCGACUCGGAUCCCCUCAGCAGACACUAUGUGCCCCAGAAAAGUGACUUCACAAAAUCAAAACUCACACUUGCUGAAUUCAGCAUACAGCUGCUUCUCACGCAGAAUCUAAAGCACAAAUUUAAUAUGCUCAUCUUCAGUAUUUGAGUAUAACAAAAUGUCGUCGAUGAAGACUACAACGAACUAAUCAAGAUAGGGCCGAAGCACCCGGUUCAUCAGAUUUAUAAAUGCGACUGGUGUAUUUGUCAACCCGAAAGACAUAUCUAGGAACUCGUAAUGCCCAUAACGAGUCCUAAAAGCAGUCUUAUGAAUAUCAACAUCCUUAACUCUAAGCUGAUGGUACCCAGAACGAAGAUCUAUCUUAGAAAACACGGAAGCCCCUCAAAACUGAUCAAAUAAGUUAUCGAUCCUCGGAAGUGGAUACUUUUUCUUAAUGGUCAGCUUGUUCAACUGCCGAUAGUAUAUACACAUCCUCAUAGUCUCGUCUUUCUUCUUAACAAACAACACUGGUGCUCCUCACGGAGACACACUGGGACGAAUGAAGCCAUGAUCCAAUAACUCUUACAAUUGAGCCUUAAGCUCCAUAAGCUCCUUCGGUGCCGUUCGAUAGGGAGCAAUAGACACCAGAGCUAUACCAGAAAGAAGCUCAAUCCCAAAUUCUAUUUUCCGAUUCAAAGGUAAACCCGAUAGCUCCUCAAGAAAGAUGUCUAGAAAAUCCUUUACAGUUCUAAUAUCCUUUAUAGUAGAAUCCCCAGAAACGAAAACACUAAUAUAGGCCAAGAAUGCUCACAUCCCUUACGAACCAGUUUCUCAGCCACCAGUGCAAAGAUCAUAUUAAUCAAAUAAUCCUGACGUUCUCCAAUCAUAACUACCUUAUUAUCUUCCUCAGUUCUCAAAACGACCCUCUUAGUCACACAGUCCAGAUUGACACGGUGCUUGAUCAACCAGUCCAUACCCAGAAUCAGGUUGAACUCCCCAAAAUAGAAGCUCCAUCAAAUUAGCCAGAAAUACCAACCCUUAAACUUCUAGCAGAACAUCUCUAUAUAGUUUACUAACCCGAAUCGAUUGCCCUAGUGGGCUCAGUACAGUCGCCUCACUAGAAGUACUCUCAACCAAACUCUCCAAGUUUUCAGACAUAGUGCUAGCUACAUAGGAAUGUGUGGAACCUAUGUCUAUCAAAGCAAAGUAGGGUACUUCAUAAAUUAAGAACGUACCGGUAAUGACGUCUGGAGCAUAUCUAUCCUCUCGAAGAUGAGCAGUAUAAACAAGAGCAGACCGCUUCACCUCAGUCUUUCCAGCACAUCUACCUGGUGCUCUUUGUCUACGGCCCAUACUGUUACCACCUCUAGCCUAACCAUGGCCCCUCGGUGGCUACUGAACUAUCCUCUGUGGCUGCGCAGUACCAAAACCUAGAGCUUGCACCUGAUCAGCCUUCAGCAGACGCUCCCGAAUGCGAUACUCUAAUGACCCACACCUCAAAAACGCCCUAGUCCUUAUCCAACACUCGCCCUGAUGGCAUCUACCAAAUCUCCACACAGCUAUAAUCUAAUAGGAGCAAUAGGGGGCCCAACUCUAACUGGCCCAUCAGUCUUGGCCUUUUUCUUAGGCUUCUGUACCAAACUCGAGAGCUCUGAAUCCCUCCUAUUCUUACCCCUCUCACGAUUCCUGUUUUGGCGCUAAACGCGCUUAACUUCUUCGGCGAUCUUCACCUUCUCUACUAGAAUGGAGAACUCUUGCUCCCUCUGCGGGGUUAUCAAUACCCUCAGAUUAUCCCUAAAGCCGUCCUCAAAAUGAACACAUCUCUCAUAUUCAGACGCUACCAUACCUCAUGCAUAACGGCUUAGUCUCAAAAUUUUAGCCUCAUUCUCGGUCACUGAUCGGUCUUCUUGACUGAGGUUCAGGAACCCACGCCUACGAGCAUCGAUGUAACUUGCUCACGUAUACUUCCCUUGAAAGGCAGACUUAAAGAACUCCCAAGAUAGACGAUCGGGCUAAGUCCCCUCCUUAACGGUCAACCACCACUGAUAGGCCUUAUCGCGAAGCAACGAGACUGUACCCUUCAAUUUCUGCUCAAGGGUACAGUCUAAAUCGCCUAUUAUCCUUUCAGUAGCCUUCAUCUAGUACUCAGCCACAUUAGGGGCGACUCCAGUGACACCCCUAAAAAGUUCAGCUCCAUUGGACCAGAGUCGUUCCAUAAUCGACCCUCGGCCCCUAGAUCCAGUGUUGGGCCCAAUAACCCACUCCAGUAUCCUUAACAUAGCCUGGGACAAUACAUCGUCCCUAGCUAUGUAAUCUUGAGACCCCGUCUUAGUAACAGGUGACACUGGUGUCUCACUCGUAUCCUGAUUCGACAUGCUACCUAAAGAAGAUGACUCAACUCGAGCCCCUCUACGACCUCUACCUCGGCCUCUAGUGCCCCGUCGACAGAUACAUCGUGCACUGCUCAUAUCUAUUUGGAUUUAUCUGUAUUACGAAUUUUACAAAUCAGUUAUAGUUUCAGUAUUUAUUAUCAGAUGUUUUAUAUAAAGCAGUAUCAAAAAUUCAGAGUUUGUUUUUCGCAAGUACUAUCUCUAUCAGUUUCAGUUUCACUAAAGUUUUAGUAUACACUAAUUAGAGUGUUUUCAGAAUAGACUAUCUAUGAUACCAUAACAGUUUAUCAGAAUACUUACAUGAUUAGUGCCGAAGACUCGGUGUACCAUAGUCUCAGUAAAAUCUUUUCAAUUCAUUUCAAAAUCAGUUCUUUUAAAAACCAACUUUUAAAACCCAAAAUUCACGGUCGAGUUUUGCAACCUGACUCUGAUACCACUAAAUGUAACACCCUAAACCCGGCCUAGACGUUAUGGUCAAAUCUGGAGAUGUCACAUGGAAUGGAAUUUGAAAUCGAGUUUAUCAAGUUAAAAUCGUUUCCGUUUAUUAGUUUUCAUUUAUAUUUAGUAAAAUUCAAAACUAUUUUCUCGUUUAAUUUGACCUGUUUAAAAAUAUUUUCUGUAACUGAAGCUUUUAAACUCGUGAAAUUUGAAGAAAAACCAUUCGUGUUUAGGAAAAAUGUUGUUUCUAAUUUAAACCUAGUUUCAUUAAGUUUUGCAGUUUAAAAGUCCAUGAAAAUAAUUAAAUCUAAAAUAAAUGCAAAACGUCAAAAAGUCCCAAAUUACAUAAAAAUAACCCAUAAUAAUAGAAAAUAAAAACCAUAAACGAAGUUUAAGUGGUGCGCUAAACAUGUGGUUACCAUUAAGUCCACUGCUGCACCGGUUCGUCUAAGUCUGAGGAUUACCUGUACAGUUAAAACAGAAAGGGGUGAGCUUACAUAAACUCAGUGUGUAAUCCCCACAGAAAACAUACAUACAAUCAAAUAUCAGUUAACAAUCAAAUGCAGUCUGGGCCUAAGCCCAUUACAGAUUCCGAUACAGUUAAGGCCUUAGCACAUUCAAAUACAGUUUUAGAUAUAACUUAGGGCUUUAGCCCAUAUCAGAUAUAGUAUGUAUACAAUAACAGAAAUCAAUAUCCUACCCACCAGCCUUUACACACUAUCUCCAACCAUCCCUACACACCAUGUGGGGUUUAAAACACCCACCCAGCCCUACACACCAAGUCGUACCGAAUGCGGCACAUAUCAGUAAUAUUGCAGUUGAGCUGCUAGAUAAUAGGCAUGAAAGCCUUUCAGUACACUUCCUCUAAUAAUCAAUCAUCCCACCCCAAUGUAGAUAUACAGAAUUACAUGCUUAUAUGCUAGAAUUUAGUUAUCAUUCAUACAUAUAGGUUAGUAAACAUGAAUAAAUUAACAUGCUUAAUACAUACACCACAUAUUCAAAUCAUAUGAUUUAGGGUCUAAGUAGCACUUACUGACCCUACAGUAGGUUCACAGUCGACUUGGGCGACCCGUACAACCCUAGGAAACAUUUCAACUAAAUGAGCCCACACCCCCGUGUGGCCCAAACACCCAGACUAGCCUUGGCCCGUGUGGAUCACACGGCCUAGCCCAAAUUUCUACAUGCCCGUGUGGACUACCCGUGUGGCCUACAUGGCCCAAUUCGAUCAGGCCCGUGUGUCGCACAUGGCUUACUUGGCUAUCACACGGUCAUGUCUAACGUACGGCCUAGCCUUUUGUCAACCACACGCUCGUGUCAUCACACACGGCCUACCACAUGGCCAUGUGAUGUCGACAGAAAGGUUUUUGACUUUUGCCGAAAACACAUUUUCUUGCGAUUCGGGUACACACCUGGUACAAUUUCGAUGCUGCUGCAAAUAUGAACACUCCAGAACCUAAAAAUCAGUAUACCAAUGCUCAGAAUCAAACAUAAUACACGGUUAAUCUAAACCAUGAAGCUGACAACAAUUUAAUGUACAAAAGUCAUCACUUACCCCAACACUUCAAACUUUUCGAUUAUAAUUUCGUAAGAUAAGAGCCUUGUUUCUCGCGAUUUGUUGCUGCCAAAAUCCAAAAAUUAGACUGACGAAAUCAAUAUCUCAGCUUAGAAAGGGACUAUAAGGAAACCUUCUCAUAACUCGAUUGGAAACUUACCAUUAAAUACGAAAUCUAAAACCGAACACACCAAAAUCGAAGAAGAAACUAAAAGAGAUUGAAUAAAAAGGAGACAAAUGACAACAAGUAAGAGGGAAAGGAAAUGUCAAAACCUUGGGAAUUUUUCAAAAAAAGAUAAGAAAAUGUUUUGAAAACAAAAAUAAAAUAAAAAAUAUAUAUGGGAUAUGAUACCAAAUCCCUAAAUUCUCUCCCCUUACCCACUACAGAUAACCACCUCAGAGAUUCUGUUCACUUGAAACUCUUUCGGGCAAACGAGUAAAAAUAAACUCCCACGCUCGCGUAGGGACUCAAACACAAGACCUUUCAGUAACCUAACACUCAACUUAACCACCAGAUCAGCAGGCCCAUUCUGAUAUGCUUUUACAAAUAAGUUAAUAUAAGCCCGUUGAACAAGCAUAAGGCUUAAGUAAAAAAUAUACCAAAAUUUACCAAAGGUAAGACUUGAACUUGGGACCUCACACACACACACCCAGAACACUUAGCCACUGAAGCAAAUACACACUUAUGUCACAUUUUCACAAAAGCCGAAAUAAAAAUUUUAGGGCCUUACAUCACGCAUGACAUCUUUAUGUGGAAUAACUGUUAGUAUAAUAACUAAGAUAUGAUACGAUCUGUAUAAGUUAUGUAUUGUGUUGUGCUCUGUAAAAUAUGUGUUUUGGUAUGUGUUAUGUACGUAAGUUAAUAUGAUUUUGCAUUUGCAUUGGGGUGGAUUUUGAUAUGAUGGAAGAAGCAUUUUCUGGCAGUAUUACUGCAAUUUUGGUGGUUAAAUUGCAACAUUUUUCAAGCAGCUCAAUUGCAUCAUUUUGAGUGACAUACCACCACAACACGGUGUGACUGGAUGGAUUGGUUGGACGGAGUUGGUGUGUAGCAGAUGGGGGUAAGAUUUUUUCUGUUUUGAUAUGACAUUAUGAUAUGAUAUAUAUAUAUAAAUUUCUGAAAAUUAUGACUAUCCGAAACGAUAUAUGGUUUUGGAUCUGUUAUGACAUUUUGAUAUGUUAUUUGUAUAUGUGUACGUUAUGAGUAAGAAUCUGUUUCGAUACUAAUGUCUACACUUGUAUAUGAUUAUAAAUAUAUAUAUCUGAUUCUAUAUAUGAUUAUAUGUCAAAUAUGUAACUGAUAAUGUGUAUGUUAUUUAUGUACAUCUGUUUGUGGGCGGGUCAUACACUGGGCUUCUAGCUCACUCGUUUGUUUAAUUUAUUUUAGGUGUACUUUCGACUUAGGACUUGGAAAUGAAUUCAGAGCUUAGUUCACAUAAUUUGGUAUAAGUUGAUUUUUUUUUAAUUUCUGACUUAACGGUCUUUCGAAUUUUAAUUUAUUUUGGAACGUUAAAUUCUUGGUUUUGGUAUUUUUUUCGAGGAAAUUUUAUUUAAAAACUCGUAAACAAACCCAAGAUGACAUAACUAAUGGAUCUUAUGAUUUUAAAAGGUAAGUAUUUUAAAAAUAUUUUUUUGCUACAAGAUUUUGAAAUUAAUUACGACUUUUUACAAUUCAAUUGGUUAAACACUCGGGAUUGUUUUUAUAAAACUAAUAAAAUAAGAUUUUCGUCUAAUUGCUUACACUUGUUCUUCUAAAAACUUGUGUUUUCGAUAAAUUAAAUAACUUUAUUACUCUAGAAUUAAAACAUAUUGUUUUAAGCAUUUCAUUUGUUCAUGAAAAUGAAUAUUAACUGAUUUAUGUCGCUAUUGUAGGUUUUAUAAUUAAAUAAUAUAUUUGAUUAAAACAUAUCUUGUAUGCAAAUUUAUGUUUACAAACCAAAGAAUUUUAUAGUUAUUCGGAUUUGAUUUAGUUCAAAGAAUUGUUAAAGGUAGUCAUCCAUACGUUUUAUAUUAUUCCAUAAGUUAAUUAUUGAGAGAAAUGACAUGAGCAAUUGUAAAUGAAAAGUUCUAUGAGCUUGAAUAGUUGGAUUUUGAAUUAAAUUUCAUGCAUGCUUAUGAUGAUGGUUAUGAAAAAAAUUGCUAGUUUUCAUUAUGUCAUAUUUUUAUGUUUGAGAUGUGACGACAUUUAUUGAUAUAUUUAGUAUAAGCUUGUUUCUAUAGAUGACCUAGGCAGUUAUUCUUGGUAGUUAACUGAUUAUGCAAAACUCUUGUUAAAAGGGUUUUAAAAGUAUUUUGAAUUGAACUCGGGACUUCUCGCAUCCGAAGUGAGAAUCAUACCACUAGACCAAAUGUCCUGCAUUUGAAGAUUUUGGCAUAUUCCCUAAAGCGAAUAUUGCAUAUAAUUAUUUGGAAAUUAUAUUUAUUGACUUAGUGGCAUUAUAGACUUCACAUUGAUUUAGACAUUUCCAGUAGUAAAUGUCACAAUAGUACUUAUAUGUGGAUACAGAGUAAAAGGAAUGAUAGCAAAAUUAUCAAUUUGUUACAAUUUAGAAUAAUUGAAACGCAUGUUAAAGUAAACUAGAAGUUCACUGAUACAAAUGCAUUUACUACUUGGCAUAAUCAAUUAGACCAUCCUGCAUCAUAUAUGAUACGAAAAUUAAUUGAGAAUUCAUAUGGACAUUCAUUAAAAAACCAGAAGAUUCUUUAAUUUAAAGAAUUCUCGUUUGUUGCUUGUUCUCAAUGAAAAUUAAUAGUUCGAAACUCACUAGCUAAAGUUGAGAUUUAAUGUCUUGCAUUUCUAAAAUAAAUAUGGGUCUAUUCAUCCAUCAUGUGGAUGAUUUUGAUAUUAUAUAAUUUUGAUAGAUCUAUCUACAAAAUAAUCACUUAUGUGUUAUCAACUUACAACCUGUCAUUUGCAAGAUUGCUUAUUUAAAUAAUUAAUUUCGGAUCAUACAAUUAAGACAAUUCAUCUUGCUAAUAUUGAUGAGUUUAUAUCUCAGCCUUUUAUUGAUUGAGUUUGAAUUUUUUUUGUAAAAGUUCAUUAUUUAUGUGCAUAAUGAUUUAGAGAAAUUAUUGAUUGAACGCCUUUGAUUAAUGUCUAAACCAUUACUUAUGAGAAUUAAACUUCCUAUUUCAACAUGAGAUUAUGUUCAUUUACGUGUUGUACGCAUCAAGCCAAUAAGUUAUAAAUAUUUCCCAUUACAAUUGGUUUUUGAUCAAGAGCUAAAUAUUUCUCAUCUUUGAAUUUUUGUAUGUGCGUAUAUGUUUCAAUUGCUCCACCACAAGGCACAAAGAUGAGCAAAUCUUAAAAGAAAGUUGGGAUUUAAUUACAAGUUUCUUUGUACUGCUAGAUGUUUUGAAUGUAUUGGAGAUUCAAUUAUGACAUGAUUUGUGAUUACAAUUUUGAUUCGAUAGUUUUCUCGACAUUAGGGGGAGAGAAAUAAUAACUUGUAAUGAGUUAGGGGGAGAGUAAUUUGAACCAAAAGUUCAACAAAGAUACAAUUAACUGUUAGAUUUAUUUACAAAUUUAAUAAGAAUAACCAAGUGUUAUAUAUCAUCUAAUAUUUUAAUUUGAAUUAAAGCCUCAGUAGGACAAUCAGUUAGAAUAAAUAAUAGAUUGAUUGGCUCCAAAGAUGAAAAUUCUUCUAGAUGGUCAUAUAGUAGAGGCGAGUGCUUCAGAAGAGAUCUAAGACAUUACUAAUAAGUAAAACUCUAGAAGAGAUUCAAGUACCUAAAAUUGAAUUUUAAAAUAAUAAAAAUAAAAUAUCUAGAUAAGCUAUGUUAAUUGGAGAAAAUGUGGAACUGAAUAAUAAAAGUGGUCGACAAUGAUUUUGCAUGCAAUAUUAUUAUUGAAAUAAUGAAAUAAAAUGAGGACAUUGAAUAAAUCUAUUGACAAAUAUAGAUAUGAAAUAAAUUGAUCAAAAUAGAAAAACGUAACUCAAGUAUAAUUAAAUACAUGGAGUUUUUUAGACCAAUAGUCCAAAUAUCUAAAGGUAUAAAGCCAGUGAGUGUGCAAAUGAAGUAGUUUUGCAAAAGCGAAAUAAAAAUAUGAAGUUUUUCGCUAAGUUUUGACAUUGAUUAUGAAAAGAUAUAAUAUUCUUUUGUGGUGGAUACAAUAACCUUUUUAUAUAUUAUUUUGACAACUCAUAAAAGAUUUAACUUGUGUCUAAUGGUUGUUGUUACAACCUUUUAUGGACCACUAUAUAGUAAAGUUUAUAUUAAAAUCCUUGAAAGAUUUAGGAUGCUAGAAGCAUAUUGAAAUUCUCGAGAAAUUAUUUAUUUAUAUGAAUUGAAAUAAUUUGAACAUAUUUGGUAAAUAGUAGUUGAAUGAGUAUUAUAAAAUGAUCUAAAAUAUCUAUUUGUAUUUUUAUAGAAGAAUCAUGAUUGAAUUUUACUAUGAUUAUUGUUGAAACUCCUAAAGAGAUCAAAAUAUAUUUCCCCAAAAGUUUCCUCACUCAUGUUUUUCAAAAGAAUGAUGAUAUAAAUACUUAACAAAUAUAUUCAAUUAGUCAUUUGAAAGACUGGUAUUCAAGAUUGAAUACGUAGAAUAUGAGAAAGUAUUUGAUGUUUACAUGAGGAGGUGUAAAUAUGCGCUGUACUCUUUUUCCUUUACUCGAGGUUUUGUCCCAUUGGGUUUUCCUAGUAAGGUUUUUAAUGAGGCAGCAUAUUUUGCGUAUUAUAGAUAUGUGUACUCUUUUUCCUUCACUAAGAAUUUUUUUCUCACAGGUUUUUAUCUUAGUAAGGUUUUAACGAGGCACAUUAUGAAUAUCUACCAAUUGACAUACAAGGAGGAGUAUUAUGAAUAUCUUAUUAAGUGGAUGCCCAUCAAGAUCAAGAUAAAUUUUGAUAUACUUUAAAUUCUAAAAGUAAUUAGAAGUAAAUCUCUACUUUAUUUAUACUUCUUAUACCUAUAAAUAAAAACUUUAGAGAAACUUUUUAAAUAUCUCAAUUGACCAAUAAAAUACACUCUCUUUUUUUCUCUCUCAUUUUCUUUAUUCUUUGCUCUGUGUCUAUUUAUUUUAUAACAUCAAGUUAUUUAUAGUGUUAUAAGUUAUUUUGGUGAUUAGUUAGAUUGUUUAAUUUUUAAUAAAAAAACUAUUCAUUCCUGAAAUUAAAUAAAAGUGUAUAUAAUAAUAUUUUUAAAAGUUGACAUUUAAUGUGUGGUUUAUAUUUUAUGUUAAGUUCUUAGGUGUAAUAAACUUAGGUUAAUAAAAAUAUAUAAAUUUAAGUAAUUAAUAAACCACAUUAAAAGUAAAAUCGAGGAAAACUGUCAACUUUCUCAAUGUUCAUCGUCUUAAACAAAUUAAAACAUUCGAUACACGAUCCACGGAUCAUAAUCAAAUAAUUUGUAUAUUAAAUCGUGUCUGUUCUUGUUAAAUUCUUUUUAAAGUAUAUUAACUUUUUAUGAAAUCAAACCAACUUUUAGUAAUAGGUUUAAUCUACGAGUCAGUUAAUAGUAUAAAAAAUUUCUGAAAAAAAAAAUUACAAUUUAAAAAUAUACCUACUUUUAUAACCAUCACAAAAAUAUUUUAACAAUCGAAUGGUUUGCUUCUUAUUUUUUGUUUUGUUUAGUAGUGGUUUCAGCCUCCGAGCUAGUAAUCGCCUGCAUUUUUCUUCUCCCAUCAACAUUUUCUUUCUUUCUUUCUUUCUUUCUUUCUUCUUCUCAUUCACUACACACGUCUUCUCUCUUUUUAUUUUCCAGAUCUAUUUUGUGAGUAUCUUUGUUGUCUUCACAAAUUGUGAUGGACAGAUGACUGUGCCUGUUGUUCGUUAAAACUCCACCGGCUACUAGUAAUAUUUCUUGGAAAGUGAGUGGCUUUUCGUCAACUUUUUAAUUUGUUUUUUGCUUGAGGGUAUUUCAGAAUAAUAAAUUAUUUCACAUGUCAAUUUGGACCCAUGUUGUCUUAAGUUUUAUAUCUUUUUUGUUUGUUUUUCCAUUGUUUAAUAAGUCUUCAGCUUUAGAAGUUUUUGUCUGUUCUUGUAGUACAUUUUUUAGUCUUGCUUAUGCAUGUAAUUUUAGUUUUACAAGUGAUUUUAGGGAUGAUUUUGUUGUUGUCCUCUGUAGUUUGGUGAAUGCUCGAUUCUUUUGUCGAUUUUUGCUUGCCGCUUUGGACCAUCCGAGGUUGAUUUCAUUAUCGUAUUAAGUGUUGCAAUCACUCCAAAUAUGUCAUACUUGAGUUAUGGCAAAGCCAAUUGUCAACGUGUCAUAAUAUUCUAUUGAUGCUGAGGUUAAAGCCUUUAUUGUAUUGAUAGAAUUUACCCUUCAUCAUCUAUAACGAGUGUUCGCUAUUUUUUUCUCUCUGAAUUGAAUGGUUCUAUUCAUCGAAUGAAUUAAUAAAUUUAUCUUUCAAAUUUUUUUUAAAGAACAAUGAAAAUCAUUAAAAAAAAUUAUUAGAUUCACCGAUCUCAAGCUUCAGCGACCAAUUCUUAUUAUAAGGUAACCAACGCCAAAGUUUCACAUUGUUAUGAGGUCACAUAUCCUCACCAUAAACUUACGCAAAUCAAUUUAAUAAAUAUUUAUUUUCAUCUUAAUAAAUAUGUAUUUUUCUCUUUUUCCCCACAAAUUUUCUCAAUUACAUCACUUUUAAGUUGAUUAUGUUUUUUCCCAAUUACAUUAAAAAUUUAUACCCACAAUCAAUCCGUACAAAUGUAAAUGUUAGAUAUAGAUAUAUAAAAUGUGGAUAAAGAUAUGUAUAUAAAAUGUGAAUGUUGUCUUAAAGUUUUUCCAAUAUGACGAUAUCUUAUAUGUAAAUCUAUAGGAAACCAAACAGGGAUCUUGCAUACGGGUAUUUAAGAAAAGAAAAUUAAGAGCUCCUUCACUUUCUUUGUAAUCAAACCACAUAAUGUUUGAUCAAACUCAUUAAAUGGGAAAAAAUGAUGCCUCAAAAUGUACAUCUCCUUGUUUGGAACUGGAGAUCCCAUCAACUUCAAAUGGUGGAUGACGUUUAUAGAAUGGGAAAAUUUUAUCUAAUGACCCUCCAAAUUUCUCCAAAUAAAUGAAAAAAAAAACUUGAAAAUAUUCAUAUGACAUGCAAAUCCACAUCCGAAACUCUCAUUUCACUUUGAAAAACAUAGAUAUAUGUUAAAAAUUUCAUAUAUUAUUAAAAGCUCCAACCGAGCACAGUAAUUCAUGGAGACGAAUUUAGGCAAAAGUUUACAAGAAAUUAACUAUUAAAUAGGGGAGGGAAUGAAAUUGUAACUAAACAUUUGUAUGGAACCAUAACCCAGAAUUUAUAACCCACAUUUGAAUUCAAUCACAUAAGCAUUUCAGUUUCAAAUUCAGCAUGGCCUUUCAGAUGGUGGAUGGCGGUUGUUAUUGACUUCUGAUUGUUCCAAUGAAAACGAAAUUGAUGUUCAAAUGUAUGAACAAUGUAGGAUCAUCCUCAUGUUACUUUCACAAUCCAAAAUUUCGACCAACUUGUUACAGACACAUUUAACCUCUUGCUGAAGCCAGUGGUAUACCGGUUGAAAAGUUUGAAGAAUCACCUUCAACCCCCCUAGUUUUGCUAUCUUCGUAAGUGUUGUUGUAAUUCCACACAUGCAAAGGGAAUCCUUAAAUGUCCACCCAAGUUGCUUUGUAUUUCGAGGAGAGUGAAGGAAUCCGAUCCUCAAUUUCCAUGAACCACUCCUUUACCCAUGGCUACUUUAACUUUUUGCUAGAAUUUGAGACCCCCUAUAAACUUUACCACCAGCGUCAUCCUUCAUUUAUGUUACAAGUAUGUUAUAUUUACACAUAGAUCGAAAUGAUUUGAGAAACAACAAAAAAGCUACCCUAGGUUCGUUGUGAUGGGAUUAGUAGUGUGGAAGAUUUAAAAAGAAACUUUGCUACCUUGGAUAAUAAGCCGCUACCAACUUUUCAAAUUUGGGUUUCAAAUACAUACACUUUCUGCACCAACUUGCCAUCCUACAAGUUUAAAUUACUUUGUUUUAUGAUCAAACUUGAAAUAUCAUAUGAAAGUCAAGUACUAAAACAUGUCGAUUUGCAAAAUGAUAAGCUUUUUGUAUAUCAACUCAUCUCAACACUCAGUUUUGCUAGUUUUAAGAAUAACAACUAAGCUUUGCAACAACAAUAUCAUCAUCCUACUUUCUAUUGUUUCCACUCUUCAGCUUCUUAAAACAUUCAUGUUUGAUACUCAUGUCUGAUGCAUAUGUAUAAAAUAUGGUCCAACAAAGAACUUUCAAAUGCAUGCAAAAAUUUAAAAAAAAAAAAUAAAGAAGUUAAACAUGCCUAUAUCAGACACAUGCUCAUAACUAGCACUUGCCCGAGUCCAAGUAACAUAUCCUUCAUUUAAGUUUCAGCAACAUCGUAGAUGAGAUUUUAAUAUUGAACGUAUCACACUCCAAACGCUGCACACUCAAAAGAUAGAAUCUCAUGAAUAUACAAGACUAUCACCAAGUAACUGAAAUUCACUUUAGCCAAAACAUUUUACAUAAGAAUUAUAGGUCAUAACUCAAAAAACUUUUAUAAAAUUUGAUUUGAAAAUAAGCUUCGUAAUAUGUAGUAAAUUAAUACACCUUAAAAAAGACAACUUAAACUUUUAAUAGUACUGUAUUGAAAAUCUAUUGUAACGACCCGAUAGUCACGGGUAAUCGGAAAGUGUAUUUUCAGGUCUCCGUUUUCGUAAAAUGAACUCGUAAAUGUUUUAAUAAAUAUUUACGAAGUUAGUUGUGUGGUUAAUUAGGUCUUAGUUAGGUGAAUUAGCUUGAAUUAAGAGUAAUUAAGAAAAAAAGGACUAAAUUGUAUAAAUGGUGAAAGUUGAAUUAUAAAUUAAAGAAAAAGUAAAGGGACUAAAUAAGGAAUUAAACCUUAAUUAACAAGUGUAUGGUGAUUGUGUGUACAUGUGUAAAAAUAAAAUACAUAUGUAUAAAAUAAUAAUAUAUGAAAUAUUAAUAUUUAAGUAUAUAAUAAUAUAUUAUAUUAUUAUAAUAACUUAAACAAAUAAAAUAAAUAAAAGAAAAGAAACAAAGAAAAAAACAAAGUUAAAAACGAAACAGAGAAGAAAAAGAAAUAAAAGAAAAGGAGAAAAGUAGGGAUUUCAAAGUUCAAAACUUAAUUAGUAAGUCAAUUUAGUCCCUAAUCUUAUAAUUUUUAUGUUUUUAGAAUUCUAGAACUAAAUACUACCCAACCCAUGUCAAAAUUUUAGAAAUUAUUGAGUUUUUAAAUGUUGUCUGUGUUGAAUAAUUAGAAUAUUAGGGACUAAAUUGAUAGAUUUUUAAGUUAAAAAUGAAAAAGGAUUGAAUUGUAGAAUAAAUAGUAAAUUUUGAGUAAAAGUGACUAAAUUGUGAAAAUUUCAAAAUUUAGAAUUUAAGUGAAAUUAGAGAAUUGAAUUUAGUCUACAGAGGAAAUUGAAUGAAAAUAUGGAAUUAAUUUUGAAGAAAUAAAAUUAGUCUCGGUUUAGAGACUAAAUUGGAAAUUAGGCGAAUGUUGAACAAAAAUUGAAAUAUUUAAUGUGAAAUUGAAUUGUAUUGUAUUGAUGAAUUUUAAUUGUUUUAAUUUCAUAGCAAAGGUUGUGCCGAAAACCACUACUAAGAAAGGAAAAGAUAAAGUCAACAUGGAGUAGCUCAAAAAUUCUAGUUUGUAUUUCUAUAAUCCAAAUCUAAAUAUUAAUUGUUGUAAUUUUUAUUUAAUGUUUAUAGUAAGUGAAUAAGGUAAGUAAAUAGCAUUAUGAUAUUAAAUUGAAUGUAUGUGAACUUAUAAUUAAUGUGAUAUUUGAAUAUUGGAAAAUUGUGGCAUUUGAAAAGUGAAUUGAAACUCUAUUAACUGUAUCGGGCUAAGUUAAACAUAAAUGGCAUGAUAUAGGAUUGGAAAAGUUCAGGGAUUACUUCGACCUCAAGUCGAUAAGACACUGAGUGUCAAUCUAUUACUUCAGAUUAAUUCGAUGAGGUACUAGGUAUCAAUUUACUUUGGUUUAGCCAAUGAGACACAAGGUGUCAACUUAUUGCUUCGAAUUAUCCGAUGAGGUACUGGGUACCAAACUGAUGUGUUUUGGUUGAAUCCGUGUAUCCGUCCAAAUCCGUGUCGUGUUAAUAAGGGUAAUUAAAAGAAGUGAUAUUAUGAAAAGUAUAUGAAAAUACUGAAUGUGAAUGGAAAUGAUACAUAUGAAUUGUGUAACAUAUUGUGAAAAGCUAAUUGAGAUAGCAAAUAAUGAGAAUUGAACGUAUUAUUAAUAAAUCGAUAAAUUGAAAUGACUAUUGUUAAUAUAUGAUAAAAUGUGUAUGUUAUAUGAUUUUACUUAAAUUAUUCAGCUUAUAGAAAUACCACUGAAUUUAUACUCAACGUACAGUUUGUUUUCCGUGCGCAGAUUAGGUAUUUAAGUUGAUCGUCGAUUCAACAUCCAUCAACGAACCUGAACUCAAAACGUGGUGAAGUAUAUGUCUUUUUGUAUCAACGUGUAUUUAGGGUGUCUAAACGUUAAGUAUUAUAUUGAUUGAUUGUAAAUAAGAAUUACAAGUUGAUAUUAGUUGGUUUUAUACUUUAUGAAUAUGUGCUAUGUUAAAACCAUAAUAUGGCAUGUUUUAUAUUAGAGUAUAAAUGUUUAUGAAUAGGGUAAAAUUUGAUUGAAAUGACAUGUUUUAAAUUUGGUUUUGGAAUGGUAUUCUAUUGAAAUGAUUUGAUAAUACAAAUGAAGUACUUAUGAGAGUGUAUCGGUUAGACAUCUAGAUUGAUUAUUUUAACAUGUUUUAAAUGUAUUUGAUUGUGUUUUGAAUUGGUUAAAUUAAAUGAUUUUUGAGUUACUUAGUGUUCAGGAUUGCAGGGUAUGGUAGACUUGAUGUUUAAGGUUCAUUUUGAGUCCACACGGCCAGACACACGGGCGAGUUACUGAACCGUGUGAGCCACAUGACCUGAACACACAGGUGUGUGUCCUAUGUUUCUUUGUAAAAUUUUGAUGCUUUUGGAAAAAUUUCUUGAGUACCCUAUUUAGUCUUGAUUUGUUUCUAACACAUAUUUUGGGUCUCAAAGGCUCAUAAAAGAGACAAUUUGAUUAAUUUAUUACAUGUAUGCUAAAUGAUUUGAAAUGUUCAUAUUUGAUCUGUUAAAUCCAAUAAUACUCUAUUAACUCUGUUUCGACACGGAUAAAGAUUAAAGGUGUUACAUCUAUAAAAAUAAAACAAAAAUUAAAACGUCUUGAAAGUUUUAAUGAAAUGCAAUAAUAUCCAAAACCACCACUUUCCAGACUUCUCAUGUUCACGAACAUAGAAAAAACUUGUAAAAAAUUAUUGUAAGAGGGAAUGAGUUUAAUUAUUCAGUAAAUAACAAGCAUUUCCCUUGGUUGGGUUAAGCAAACACGAAAACAUUAGACCAAAUAUUUAGUUAAAAAAAACAUAAUUGUAAAAUUUAUGAGCGUAAUUCAUAUUGAAUAAUUCAAAGCAUAAACUCUGUCAAAAUUGUAAUAAAGACAAACUAAUAAUUUUUGAAAUACCAAUCAACUCAUUUUUUUUAUACUUAUGGUCACCUUUAAUUUUAAUGGUAAUGGGUUGGAACAAAAAACACAAUUAACUCCAAUGGCAAUGGGUUGAAACAAAAAACAAAAACCAAUGGGUCGAAACAAGACCAUAAAUCACUUCAUUGGUAAUGGGACAAAAACCACUAUUCUAAGUAAGUGGCAUAGUUGAAAUCAAUUUCUAAGCAUAAAAUAAAUGCCGGCAUGACCAACGUUUAACCCCCAUUGGUAGGGUUAGAACAUAACAUUUUAGGAACAAGUUCAAAAUCAUAAAAUUAAAUUAACGUAAUGUCUCAAAUAUAUACAAAAUAUACUUUAUAUACAAAGACAUAAUUCAAUAGUAUUCUUUUUCAUAACAUAAUAGUUAUAUAUAUAACAAAAUAUAAUUUGAGUAGCAUAACUAUACCAAAGCACAAUCUAGUAACAUAUUUCUCUAAAAAUAAUCAUACUGCUUAACCCAAUUUUCAUAAAACAUAAAUAAAAAUAUUAUAUUUCACAAAUAUAACAUAAAAUAUUGAAGGCUGCUUUUUGGGGAAUUAAGCACCAAAGGAAUGUUAAGUCACUUACCUAGUCUACUCAAUCAACACUUCAAGGUUACUAAAAGCCUUAUUUUCAAAAGCCAAACUAUCCAAAUUUUUUAUAUUAACAGUUUCAAGUGGUCCAUUUUGAGUCUCAUAUCUUUCAACACAGAACUCAUAUAACCAAUAUAUUAAUACCAAAUGGAAGUUCUAAGAGAAAAAUUGAGCAUACCAGUGUCAGAAGCAUUCCUGUAUUCACACCGGAGUCCCAACAAGAUAGGUAUUACAGUCAUGUAAGCAUUUAAAAGAGAAAGUACCCAUGUGAUGAAGUUAUUCAUUCUCUUCCAAGCUAAAAAGGAAAAUUGCACAAGUCAACCUUUCUAUUAUCAUUUAAAUUUACAAGAAGAACAUACUAAAUAUCAAAAUUCACAUGAAGUAGAGGAUAAUGUGAAGAGUAGAUUACCUUAAGAUCAUCCUUCAAAAUUGUUAAGCCAUGAGGUUCUGCAUGAACUAAAUCUGCCAUUGAUAUUCAAAAAAAUCAACCAAGUCCCAUGUCUUAUUGAUGGCAACAGCUCACAUCCGUAAUUUCCAUGUUGCCUUCUCAAUCCAAAGUAAACUAAAUGUCCAAAUUCACAUGAAACACAUGAUAAUGUUAAAAGUUAAUAAAGAGAUGAUUGUGAAUAUGAACACAAUGUCAAUUAUGAAUAAUAAUCAAUUAUUGAAAGAUAAAAUUUACGCUGGAAAUAAAAAAGUUUACCAGGUUUUCCUCUAUUCAAGAACUACAGCUUCUCCUCUUCAACAUUUUAGCUUAGAAUAAUACACAAAAUGCACAGGCAGAAGAGGCUAGCAAGUCUUCAUAAAUUUGAGGUGGAUGGCAUGAUUGUGGAUCAUGGUAGCCAACACAAGACUGUCAGAAGAAAUUUGAGACUGGCGUCUGGAUUCAUCAUUUGUGGGAAGGAAGUCAUUUUUAGAAUGGAAGAUCUCACAAAGGAAUAUUUGGAACAUGGUAUCUGUAAAGAGCGUGUUCAAAAACAUUUAAGAGAAAUAAAAUAAGGUGCGAUGGAACUUGGGCAGUAGUUGAAAGCCAAAAUGAUUCAACUAAAAACCCGGUUACAUUUUACAACCAAGUUGAAGCUCUCAUUCACGCAAAGCUGCGAUUGGAAAUUAUCCAAUCACCCACAUUUAUGAUCCCAACUUCCCUUAAAAGCAAAAUAAUAAUAACCUUAAUUACCUUUGGAUUCUAAGAUGAUCCAAUUAAUGUCCAAACAAAAAACCUUCAUUUGGAAGACAAUCAUGCAAAUCAAAACAAGUUUCCUUAAGUUAAACAUAUUUCGUAGAUCUAAUUCUAUUUUAAAAAAAUACAUUUGUCAUGAAAGUAAAAAAUGAAUGGAAAUACCUUCGUCAGAACAUUUGUUUUCUCAGUCACUGCCCCUUCUGUAAUGACCUCACCAUCAAUUACAAUGACAAGGAUGUGGAAAAUGUUCGGCCAAUCUUUACCUUUAUCCUUUUCACAAUGUUCCUUCAACAAAGGACAUUUUUCAAUGGAUAAACGAGAAAGAGAGGGAGGGAGCAUGUUUGGCGGCAUGGAUUGGAGCUUGGGGCAAUUGUAGAUUGACAAAUAAGAAAGAGAGGUGAGGUGUUGAAACCCCUUAUACUCCAAGCUCUUUAGAUUUGGAAGAGAAGAGAUCCUGAGAGAUGUAAGAGAAGAGGGAAGCAGAUGUUCAUCUGGAAAACACUCCAUCUCUACUUUUGAACCACAGAUCUCUAGAAAUGUAAGAGAAAGAAGUGCAUGCAAACUCCAUUCCCUUUUCCUAAUCAAGCUAUCAAUUAGUUUAUCACUCCUUGAGAUUCCAAUUUCUUUUAAUUUGGAGGGCAAACCCUCUUUUGGAACCCACCCUAUUUCUGGACAACUUCUUAUUUCCAAAUACUCAAGGGAUGGAAAGACGGAGUGCAUUUGCUCUGGCAAUGACUUUAAACUUGCGCAACCGAAAAGCACAAGUCGGGUCAAAUUGGUGACGGCUAAUCUAUCUUCAAUUUGAAAAGAUAUCAAAUUUUGGCAAAAAUAUAUCUCUAAAGAAUUGAGAUGCUGAUGGUGAGCGCCCUCUGAAGUAGCACUAAUAAACUUCAAGUCUUCACAUCCCCAAAUCUUAACACGCUUUACCAUAGGAAAUGAUCCUAAUGGGAAAGAUUCCAGUACAUAACAUUUACCACUCCCUAUUUCCAAGGAUUCAAGGGAUGUAUACAAGAAGAUAUCGGAAUAAUCCAAGUUUUCACAUAAAGAGAUGCUAAUUCGCUUUGGCGUGAUGGGCACCCUAACUCCAGGAAGGGAUCUAAUUUCUGAACAAUAGCCCAAACGUAGCUUUUCAAGAAGUGUACAUUGUUGCAACAUUUGUUCCAAAACGGAAUCAUUCAUAUUCAAAUCUCUAAUGUCCAACUCCCGAAGCCCACAAGCCAAUGGCUCCAACUGCAAUGCUUGGCAUUUCUUUAACUCAAGUUCCAAAAUGCUUGGUGCCGUUGGAAGCAAGCCUCCAAGCUUCUCACAAUCUUCAAUCUCCAGUUUCUUUAAACAAGGGAGGUGUUUGGGAAGAGACUUAGUUAGUUUUGGACAAUCUCUAAUGCAUAGCUCUUGUAGAAGAGGGAAAGCUUCAUCACUCCGACAAUACCAUUCCUCCCACUCGGCCAUAUUCUCAAAGCUUAGAAUUUCAAGUGAUUGAAAUGGUUUAGUUGAAGCUUGUACAUUCCCGUAGAACUCAUCACCAACUAUUAACACUCCACUCAAACCAGAAAUGGAGAGAGAUUUCAAAGAUGAUAACUGCCCAAGUGGUGGUAAGUAUAUGCAAAAUUUACAAUCAUGUAACCCCAAAGAUACUAUAUUUGAGAAGGAAGAAUGCCCCACCCAUUCCGGAAAUCUCGUACCUCCGUAACUUUGAAUAACAAGAUGCUCCAAAUUUGUAUGAGGCUUUAGUUGUUUAAGUACUUCUCGAUCAUGCCUUGAAUCACCAUCAAUAUCGUCAUCUUUACCCCAUCUCAGCUCCAACUUUUUAAGGUCCACCUUAUCCUUCAAAUUGGCAUCUUUGGCAUCCAUGGCACAUGCAACAGUUUUUAGUCCCGAAAUGGAAAGUCUUCCACGUAAAUGUUUGAGCUUUCCCAACUCAUUAAUGCUUGAUCCAGUUUGAUAGCUUAAAACAAAAUUUGUUACCAUUCGAAGAUCUUUCAACUUACCCAUUCCUUCUGGCAUCCUUGCAAAGUUUGUUCCCUUGAUAUCAAGAUAUAGCAUGUUGAGCAAUCUCUCCAAAUCUCUCGGCAACUCAUCAAGGUCACUGCAACCACGCAAUUUUAAUGCUUGCAAAUUAUACAAUGUACACAAAGAGUUUGGCAACUUUUUGAUUGAAGUUUUUGAGAGAUUCAAAAUUCGUAGAUGCUUCAAAUUACCAAGAUCUUCUGGCAAAUUGUUGAUAGUUGUAUACCCAGGCAAUGAAAGCACUCGUAAACUUGAUUUCACCAUCAAAUCAUGCAUUAGCACAUUGCUAACAUAUACCCAACGGAAAGAAGAGUUCACAUUUAAGAAAGUACGCAAACCCUUUGCUUUAGCUAAACUUUGAAAUUUUUGCCGCACAUCAUAUCGUUCUUGGACAUUGGACAUAUGACGGGUCUUUUCCGUUAUUACACAAGAACCACCACCAGUACCUUCCAAUCUGCAAAUGAACUCUCCGGUUACAGAUUUAGCCAAGUCACUAAUUAAAUCAUGCAUGACAAAACAAGAUUUCUUUCCUUUAGAUUGUUGAAAGAAUGACCUCAAUCUUAAAUCUUUGAAGUACUCGUUACCCAGUUCUCCCAGAUCUCCAUUGUCUUUGGGAAGCUCUAAAAGACCUUCAGCCAUCCAUAAUUGAAUAAGUUCUUCCUUUUCAAAUUCGUAAUCUUUAGGGAAAAUUGAACAAUAAGCAAAACAUCGCUUCAAAUGGGAAGGAAGAUAAUGGUAACUCAAUGUUAACGCUGGAAGAAUAUUAGUUGCAUCAUUUGGAAUGUCCCAAAAAUUGCUAUGUAAAAUUUUCUUCCACUCAUCAGCAUCUGGUUUGCAACGCAGAAGACCUCCAAGAGCUUUUGCAGCCAAAGGGAGACCGCCACAUCUUUUAACAAUUGCUUCACCGAUUACCAUCAGAUCUGGAUGCUUGGUGGGGCUUGAACCAUCAAAUGCAUGCUUUGCAAAUAACUUCCAACAAUCAUCAUCUGAUAACACAUCUAAACGAUAAGUUGGAACGUUCCUCAUGAUUGCUGCAAUGUUUUCAUCACGAGUUGUUACAAUAAUCUUGCUAUUCUUGGCCCCAGAAGUGAAGGGAUUUGCAAGCUCUUUCCAAUGAAAAUAAUUCUUGUUCCAAACAUCAUCCAAAAUGAUUAGAUAUUUCUUUCCCGACAGCUGCUCUUUGAGUUUAAGUUGAAGCUGAUUUAAGUUCUGGUUUCCAUCACAGCUACAUUUGAUCUCUUUAAGAAUGGUUUUGGUUACCUUGAAAGCAUCAAAUUCCUCUGAAACACACACCCAUGCUUUGCAGUCAAACCAUUUAUCCGCUCUGGGAUCGUUGUAGAUCAAUUGGGCAAGGGUGGUUUUGCCAAGCCCGCCCAUACCCACAAUGGGAAUCACAUCUAUCUGAUUUUCAGACAGAUUUUGAGGAUCCAACAACUUCAUUAUUUCUUCUUUUCCAUCAUCUCUACCAUAAACAUCAGACUCGUCCACCAAAGAAGUUGCAGGCGUUCUUUGGAAUGCCUUUUCUCCGUUAUAGUUUUCUUUCAGACCCAGAAUCUGUUUUUGGUUGAGUAGGUAAUCUAGUCUCCCAAGGAUCUCCCCUAGCUUGGACUGCAUCCCAUCUUUGAAAGGAUUGAAAGAAGAGAAAAAGCUACUAACCUGCUUUAUAGGAGUAGUUUGAUAUUCGGAUUCGAUCUUGUUCCGAAGAGCUUCAGUAGAGAUCUCAUCCAGGAGGUCCUCGGCAUCAUAAACAGCAUCUUUGAGCUCAUCAGUCCAACUUUUGACAUUUGGGUUGAUAAUCUGCUUAUUUGCAGCAUCAUCCAACACUGCUUUCACCGACAUCAAGGUUGGCUUCAGUUUCUUUAGCAGCACAGCUUCAAGUUUCUUUCCUUGGAUAAGCCUCAAAACAUCUCCAGAAACAAUCCUAUCAAGCAGCACCUCAAUGGAAGCAGAGAGAAAAGCUUCACCCACCAUAGCCAUGUUUUUCUUUUCCUUUUUGUUUUUUGUUUUACAAAGAAAGGUUUAAAGGAAGAUGAAAACUAAGUAAUUGCAAACAAUGGAAAAGAAGAGUGCGUAAAGUCAAGUGAAGAAAGUUGUAGAGAUGAAGGGUUUGAAACAGAAGAAAGUAAGUGAAAGUGAAAUAGAAAAGAGGAGAGCAAGAGUGAAAAUAUAAGAUGAAGAUGAAAAGGAAAAAGGAAAGGCUUUACCUUGAAAUACUUUAAUUUCAAUAAAGAUGAAGGAACUUCAUCACUGCUAACGGGACUUCUAAAAUGAGCUGUGAUCCAAAUAAAUAAAUAAAUCAUGUACCUUAAAUUUCUUUAAUAUUUAAUAACUUAAAAACACUAUUUUUCUAUAGCCAUAAUGGUUUGUUUACAGAUAAUUUAGGCUAAACUUGGCUAAAGGAACUUUUUUUAAUUAAUUAGAACUUUAAGACUUUAAAAUUAAUUAGGAAAAUAGGUUAAUUUUAAGAGAUAAAUGGAAAGUGCUACCACCUGGGUCAACUUUCUCUAUAUAUGUCAAGAAAAUGCUGUUAGCUAGAUGCGCUUUCUAUCUACAGUUAAAAAAUAAUAUUUUUUUUAACUUUGCUGUUUCAACGGUAAAAAAAAUAAAAAUUCUAACGAUAAGAAUUUUUAUCCUAUAAAUACCCCUAAAUUUCAUUUUUUUCAUUCACAUCCUUCUCUUAACUCUUCCGAAACUUUCUCAACUCUCUUAAAUUCUAUCAAGUCUCUCAACUCUCUCAUUUUGAUUGUAUUCGAUAUUUUCAUUUAAAAAUCAUAUUUUUAUUAAUUAUCUCGUAUUGUAUUUGUUUAAAAUCAAUUUUUCACAAAUGAAUAUCUCUCUAAUCCACUUCGACGACAAGUAUAUAUCUGUCGUCCAAGCAGUAAUAGUAAGACAGAAAUUUAAAUUUCGUUAAUUUCAAUAUUGUUAAAUUUAUUUUUUUAAUUUGAAAUUGUUUUUAUUGUGUAAAUAAGUAGAUAAUCGUGUCCUGGAUGGCUUCAUUCUUAAUAUGGGAAAGUUUUCUAUUCUUGAAAUUCAUUUAGGCUUAACUACGUUUUUAAGUUUUUUUUUUAAAUUUAGGGAAAAAACCGUUCUUGGAGAGAGUGUUAAGUUGUAUUUUCUGACUUUUUAAAUAUAAUUAAUUUCUUUGAUUAGAUGGUUAAAUGUUAAUAAUUUUAUCCUUUAAGUCUUAGGUUCAAUUCAUCUUCCACUCGCAUUUAUAUUUUUUAUUUCAGGUUCGAUUUCUCUCCCACUCACAUUUUUUAAGUAAUAUUUUUAACAUUUAAGCUCAUUUGGUUAAAUGGUUAAAUAAUAAUGAUUUCAUCCUUUAGACUCAAAUCUUAUUUUCCUCUUUUAAACACAUUUGUAAUUUUUAUUUCAUGUUAUUUUAAUUUUUUAUUUUUAAUUAAUAAUUAUAUUUUUUUCAAUUUUUUUAUUUUCAAUUCAUAUUUUUAAUUAAUAACUAUAUUAUUCGUAAAAUCAAAUAAUAAAUAUGUAAUUAUAUAAUAAAAAUAUAUGUAUUUGACAUAUAUCAUUAUGUUAAAAAUAUUUGAAAUUAAUAAUUCAUUUUUAUAUAAUGUAAACAUCAACUAAUUUUUUUGAUAUAUUUUUCUUUAUAUAUAGUAUUUACAUGUCAAAUAUUUAUUUUCUCCACCUAUAUUGUGGGUGUAACGACCCAAUAGUCACGGGUACCGGAAAGUGUAUUUUCGAGUCUCUGUUUUCGUAAAACGGAUUAGUAAAUAUUUAUUAAAAAUAUUUACAAAGUUAGUUGUGUGGCUAAUUAGGUUUUGAAUAGGUGAAUUUUUUUAAAUUAAAAGUAAUUAGGUAUAAGGGCUAGAUUACAUAUGGGGUAAAAAAUAAAAUAGAGAAUAGAGAAAAGUUAAGGGACUAAAUAAAUAAUUAAAACUAAAUUUACAAGUAUUCGGUAUAUAUGAUGGCAUGUGUUAAAAUAAAAUUCAUAUAUUAAAUUAUAAUAUAUAUUUACUUAUUAUUUAAGCAAAUAUAUUAUAUUGUUAUUAUAUUAUUAUAUUAUUGUAUAUUAUCAUAUUAUAAUUAAAGUAAAACAAGUAAAUAAAAGAAUAAAUAAAAAGAAAUAGAAAAGAAAGAACAAGGGGGACAAAACAGAGAAGGAAAGGAAAGAAAGAAAAAGAAAAAAGAAGGAGAAAUUAGGGUUUAAGGUUCGAAGCUCAAUUGGUUAACUAAUUUAAUCCUAUUUCUUAAAAUUUUUAUAUUUUUAGAAUUUUAGUAUAAAAUACUACUUGAUUUAUGUUGAAAUUUUAGAAAUUAGUAGAUUUUUAGAUGUUGUUCAUGUUGAAUAAUUUGAGUAUUAGGGGUUAAAUUGAUAGAAUUAUAAGCUAGAAUUGAGAAAAUGAUUGAAUUGUAAAAUAAAUUAUAAGUUUUGAGUAAUAGGGACUAAAUUGAAAAAUUUUAAAAAUUUAAGGAUUUAAGUGAAAUUAUAGAGUUGAAAUUAGUCUAAAGUGGAAAUUGAGUGAAUAUAUGGAAUUAAUUUUGGAGAAACAAAGUUAGUCUCGGUUUAGGGACUAAAUUGAAAUUUAGAAAAAAGUUGAAUAGAAAUUGAAAUAUUCAAUGUGAAAUGGUGUUGUAUUGAUGAUUUUUAAUUGUUUCAAUUCUGUAGCUAACAUUGUGCCGAAAACUUCGGCUGAGAAAGGAAAGGAAAAAGUCGGCGAGGAGUAACUCAAAAAUUCUGGUUUGUAUUUCUAUAAUCCGAAUUUAAUUAUUAAAAACUAUUAUACUUUGAUUUCUUGUAUAUGGUAAGUAUGGAAUGAGAGAAUUAUUGUGUUUUACAAUUGAUAUGGACUGAUUUGGUAUGUGAUGAAAUUGAUAGGAAUAUGUGGUUAUUAUAGAAAUUGAACAUUGAAUAUUUAUUAUACUAGAAAGUGAAUUGAAACCCUAUUAACUAUAUCGGGCUGAGUCGGUUAUAGUUGGCAUACCGUAGGAUUGGAAGAGUUUAGGGAUACUUCGACUUCGAGUCAAUGAGACACUAGGUGUCAAAUUAUUACUUCGGAUAAAUUCGAUGAGAUACUGGGUACCAACUUACUUCGGCAUGGCCGAUGAGACAUUAGGUGUCAAUCUAUUACUUCGAAUUAUCCGAUGAAGCACUAGGUGCCAAACUGAUGUGUUUUGGUUGGAUCUGUGUAUCCAUCUGAGUCCGAGUCAUGUUAAUAGGGGUAAAUUAAUAAACAGUGUUAUGAUUAAAAUUGAAUGGUGAAUUGGAUUAUGGUUAAAGACACAUGAAUUGUGUUCAUAUUAUGGAAAGCUAUCUGGGAUAACAAAUGAUGAGAAUUGAAUGUGUGAUAAAUGAUUUAUCUAUGAAUUGAUUAAUUGAAUGAUCAUAGAUAUUGUAUGAUUUAAAUGUCCAUGUUUUAAUAUUUUAUUUAAAGUAUUUGGAUUAUAGAAAUACCACUGAGUUAUACUCAGCGUACGAUUUGUUUUUCGUGUGUAGGUUAAGUUAAAGUCAGAUUUCCAAUUUAGCAUCCAACGCCGAUCCCGAACUCAAAUGUGGUGAAGUAUAUUUCCUUUUGGUAAUGGCAUGUACAUAGGAUGUUAUGUAUGUUAUUUUGAAAACUAAAUGUCAUGAUGUUAUAAGAUGAUAAUGGUUACUUAUAUAUAAUUAUAUGUGUUAUGUUGGAGUUUAAUGUGGUAUGUUUAAAUUGAUGCAUAAGUGAAUAUGAAAUAGGCAAAAUUUGGAUUGAAUUGGCAUGAUAUUAGAAUUGGCUUGAAUUAAGUAUUGUUGAAUUGUUUUGAUAAAAUAUGUGCAGUACCUAUUAGGGUACAUUGGUUAGAUCAUUAGGUUGAUUGUUUGAUACGUUUUUGAGGCAUUUAAAUUGUAUUUGAAGUGUUUGAACAUUGAUUUUUGAGUUGUUUGGUGUUCAAGGUUGCAAGGAAAGGUAAUCUUGAUGUUUAAGGUUCAUUUUGAAUCCAUAUGGCCAGACACACGGGAGUGUGACUAGAUCGUGUGAGACACAUGGCUAACACAUGGGCGUGUAGGUAGGCCAUGUAUCCCCUGCAACCUUAGAAUUUCAAAACAGAAUACUCAGGUAUUUUUACACGGAUAAAGGCACGGGUGUGUGUUUCAGCUGUGUGUGACUCAUGGGCGUGUGGUUGGCCGUGUGAUCUAAGUUAGAGAGUUACAAGGGGUCAGACACGGUUUGAGGCACGGGCGUGUCCUAAGGCCACACGGGAGUGCCCUUGGGUCACACGAGUGUGUGUCCCCUGCACCUAGGAAAAAUUCCCUGAGGACCCGAGUGAGUCCCAGUUUGUUUCUAAUACAUAUUUUGGGCCUCGAGGGCUCAUAAAAGGGACGAUAUGAUUAAUUUAUAAAGUAUAUGCUAAAUGAUAUGUUUAAUGUUCGUAUUUGAUCUGAAAAGUUCAUAAUACUUUAUAACCCUGUUCCGGCAACGGAUAAGGGUUAGGGGUGUCAUAGUGGGCACGGUGAUUUCUAAUAUUAUAGAAUGAAAUAAUUAUUUCAAAUAUAAUUAUUAUUUUUAUAUGUAAAAUAUUUCAAAUAUCAUUGUUUUUUCAUCUACAUUUUUUUAAAUAUCAUUGUUUUUUCAUCUACAUUUACAUUGUGGGUAUGAUAUUUCAAAUAUUUUUAUAUGUGAUAUAUUUUAAUUAAUUACUUCAAAUAUCAUUAUAUUUAUAUGUGAAAUAUUUUAAAUACAUAUACAAAAAUAUAUAAUACUAAAAUUUACUACACUCAUUAUAUGGAUUAAAAAAUAAAUAUUACACAUAUAAAAAUUAUAUUUAGUAAAAAUAAUCAUAUUUUUAAUAAUUAUUUGAUUUUAUGAAUAAAUGAGUUAUUAAUUAAAAAUAGUUUUUUGAAAACAAUAUAUUUAUUAAUUAAAAAUAAAAAAGCUUAAAACAACAUGAAAUAAAAAUUACAAAUGUGUUUAAAAGAGGAAAAUUAAACCUGGGUCUAAAGAAUGAAAUUAUUAUUAUUUAACCAUUUAAUCAAAUAAGCUAAUAUGUUAAAAAUAUUAAUUGAAAAUAUAAAAAUUUAAAACAAAAUGAAAUAAAGAAAUAGAAAUGUAAAUGGAGCAGAAAUCAAACCUAAGACUUAAAGAUAAAACUACUAAUAUUUAACCAUCUAACCAAAAAUUUUAAUUAUAUUAAAAAGAAUAGCUUAAAAACUUAACUAAAAAAACGGCAUUUUUUGUUUUCCUGCAAUUUGCAAGAAAAACACAUCCAGUUAAAUACAUUUUUUCACACUCCUUCCAAAAACAAUCUAUUUUCCUAAAUUAAGAAAGCAACUUAAAAAAAAAACUUAUUUCUAGGUAUAACUCUAUCAAAUAAAAUAAUUAUUAUCAAACUUCUUAAAAAUAUCACAAUCACUUCGCAAUUAAUUAAUUCUUUUUCUUAAACCCCUCAAAGUAUAAAACAAUUACUUUUUCACAGGAAAAUAAAAACCAUUAUCCAUAUGUGAAUUUAAAAUAUAAAUCCAAUCUCUGUUCUAUCAUUAAUUAUAUUUCUAUUUUUGCUUCAUAAAUUAAAUAUAAUAUUGGUUAAAUUCUGCUAAUAGUUUUUGUACUAUACAUAAAUUAUGGAUUUAGUCAUUUUUAGAAUUAAAAUGUUAGUCCUAAUCAAAUGAAGCUAUCAAAUUUGUUAAGUUAUGUUUUUUUUUUUUUAAGUUUGAUAUGAUAAACAUAUUAUAACAUGUAUAGUGUCAUAUCAGCUUAUUAUUUUCACAUAUUCUCAUAAAAAAUAGCUAAUAAAUUUAACAACUAUUGUUUGCAUUAAGAUUGAAAAAACUAUAGUGACAAAAAAACUAUCUAAUUGAAGAAUAUAGAUUAAGUUUAUAACUUUACAUAAUACAAAACUAACAGCAGAAUUGAACCAAAUAGAUUUAGCAACUAUCAUUUGGUCAUGACUUCAAUACUCAAAAAGUACUUGGAUUAAAUUAACCAAUUUGAUAAUUAUAGGGGUUAAUAUUGAUCAAAUUAAAAUACAAAUAUUAAAUCCACAACUUACUCAAAGUGUAAGGUCACAAUUCACAAAAUUUGACCAUCUCUAUUUUAUGUUUGCUUAUAUUUAUUUUAUAAUUAUAUUAUUUUUAAAUGUGAAUUUAAUAAUAUAGUUGAAAAUAGAAAAUAUUUUUAUGGGUUGAAAAGUUUUUUUAAACCCGUGCAUAUAUAAAUGAUAAUAUUUUUUUCUUUUAAUUUUGAUUCAAUUACCAUUUAAAAUAAAAUAUUGAUUCUAUUAAUUUUGAAUAUUUGAUUCAGUUAAUAACAAAAUCAACACCUUAAAUAAUAAAGUUUCACUUCAAAUUGAAGUGAAAUGAAAAAAAAACCCUAAAAACUUGAAAAAAAAAGUUUAUAAGAAAAAGUACAAAAAACAUUAAAACGACAAAGUGAAUAACAUCUUAAGUUAAUAGGUUAAAUAAUAAUAAAAUAAUCUAGACUAAUUAGAGUUUGAUUAAAACAAAUAAAUAGAGUUUAACUGGAAAAUUAUUUCUAAUUUGACUGAAAUAGGAGUCAUACUCAACAUAUAUUCAAUUGAAUGAGAUUUUUCAUAGAUCUAUCUAUUAAUCUUGAGUUAAUUAAAAGAGGUUAAUUAGAUGAAUUUCAAACUUUAAUUUGAAUUAAAUUAAUAAUAAAAUUUAUCUUUUUUUUAUUUUCAGAAAAGUAAAGCAUAAACAUUUCGGAGAGAUCAUUUAUUAGAUUUUAAGGAAAUUGCAUGAAGUAAGAAGAAUGUUUUUGAAGUGUAGAAAAAUUUUUAUACCAAAAAGUAGAGUCUCAAAACUCGAAAAAAUCUUAUUAAAUGAUAAAAAUAAAGCUAGAAUUUUGUAAAAGUUGGAUUUUAUGAUGCCCUACUUCAGUUUAAAUUAAGAAAAAAAAAAGGUUGAAGUUGUUGGCCAUUGUAGACCUAAUAAUUUCAUUGAUUUUAUAUGUUUAUUGAUUAUUCAAUUCAUAAAUUAAUGGAAAACAAAAAGAAAUUCAUUGAUCCUUGCAUCAAAGGAAAAAAAAUUAAUUGAUAGAUCGCAAUUUUUAUCAUUAAUAUUUCUUUACAACAUAAUACUUUUUACAUAAGCAUACCAAAUGGUAUAUAUUUUAUUAUAAACAUGAGGUUCCAAUGUAACGCCCCAAAAAUCUUAAGAACUUAUUUUUAAAAAUCUGCAAUAAUUAGAAUUCUGUAUUUGUGGUUCUGUGUUCUGUAAUUGAGUUUAAGGUGUACAGUUUGAGUCGUAUCAUUAAAAGUUUUGUUGUUUUAGAAUCAAUCCACAAACAUGCAUUACUUGCUUAAGUUCAAUUCUUUGUGAAAGGGUAGCUAGAAUGAGCCUGUUGGUUCACUAGUUAAGCAUUUGUAUGUAUUCUAUCUGGUUCUGAGUUCAAAUUCUGUGGUAUGCAUAGAGAAAUAUUUUUGCUAACUGUUGGAGGUCCGGAUGGAAGUUAAUUGAUAAUCAGUUAACAUUAGUUUUUUUUGUUUCUUUUUCUUUCUCUAUCUUCUCUCUUCCUUUCUUCUUUCUUCUACUUUUUUCCCCCUUUUCCUCUUUAAUUGUCGUAAGGAAUUCUGGCUAAUUGACGUUACGCUAUUAACUUUGGCUAUCGGGAGGUUGUUGAGUAAGUUUUAAUGUCAAUUCAUAAAGUUUUCGAGUUUCUUUCUUGCUUUUCAUUGUAUAAAUUGAAAUGGUUGUUCGAGUGAAUAGCGAGAGUAUCUGACAGUCAAUCAUUUGUUUCCCUAAUAGACAGGGAUACUGAGAAUAACAAACCUUAUCACGUCAAUUCGGGUAAUCGUUGUUGAUCUGCUGUAAGUAUGGUUUUGUUACAAAUCGUGUCGAAGCUUUCGACAUGAGUAUUUGGGAAUAGUUGUGAAUUGCUAUUGAUAAAUUUGACUGAUUGCGUUAUUGAAUGGUCGUGUUAGGCUUCAGAACUCCUUUAAUUUAUUGUUACUUUGGAAUCGUUUCAGGUGCGUAUCGAAAAAUUUACUUUUCAAGUUUCGGAUCGCCAAAAAUAGAGGCUGUUAACGACAUACGGCCAGGCACACGGGCGUGUGGUUAGGCUAUGUGCAUCACACGGGCAUGUGGUAGGCCAUGCGAACGGCCGUGUAACUUACUGUUCAUGGUAUAAAACCACAUGGCCAGGGACACGGGUGUGUGCCCAGGUCGUGUAACUCACUUUUUAUAGUGUAAAACCAUGCGACCAGGGACAUGGGCGUGUGCCCAGGCGUGUAACUCACUGUUCAUUGUAUAAAACCACACGACCAGGGACACGAGCAUGUGCAUCACUGUUGAUAUUUAAAAUCCACACAGCUAAGGCACAUGGGCGUGUGCCCAGACCAUGUGGUAGUAACUUGGAUCCGAAAAACUGUAUUUGAGGUCGAGAAAGUUGUCUAACUUGGGUAUUGGUUUCCUCGAUAUACGAAUGACUAAAUUUGCUUAUAUAAUACCAAUCUGUGAGUCACAAACUUGAAUGUGAAAUUUUCUACUACUCUAUUAAUGACCUGCAUAAUAAACUAUGUACUAUAUUGUUAUGACUGAACAUGUGAUAUGUACUACUGCAUUCUGCAAAAACAUGUAGUGGGAGACUGUAAAGAAGACGAGAGUCUGUACUGAAAUCAUGGCUAUGCCAUAUUAAGUAAUAUUUUGAUUCUGGAGCUUGUCGCUUAUUGAGCUAGCAGCUAAGCUGCGUUUCUAUAAAAGUGUCAUUGAAUACUAUAAAGGUGUGUAGGGACGGAUGGACAUUAAAUGUCCAUAGUGGUGUGCUAGGAUGGCUGAAGCUGGUGUGUAGCAGAUGGAAUAGGAACAUUGCAUUGAGUCUGAUCUGAACUACUUCUGAAUUGGAAUAACACACAUAUGUACAUAUGUAGAAUCUCUACUCUAAACUUAGAACGAACAUACUGAAUCUCUGAAUUGGAAAUUCUUAUAAGUUACCUUUGUUGCAUCUCAUUCCAUUUUACACACUGAGUUUAUGACUCAUCCUGUUAUUGUUGAAUUUCAGGUAGUGAUCAGGCUUGACAGGGUCGGUGCCGCGGAAGCUCAGUUCGAUAUUAAACGUUAUUCCUAGCAUAAUUAUUUUUAGUAGGAAUGUUUGUCUUAUAAUGUUAUGAAUUUAGGAAACUGUGUGUUUAAAUUACUGUUGUGUUAAAUAUUACAGAAUUAUUGGUCGCUUUGAUUGCUUUAUGAUUGCGUGAUCAUGGGAAUGCAUGUUGUAACUUCCGAACUUAGUCUGGACGUCUAGGCCGGGUUUAGGGUGUUAUAUUCAAAUUCAAAUUUCAUUAAAUAUAAUAUAAUAAUUUAAAUAAAAUUGAAAAUAAACUUUUCAUUUAAUUUUUAUUUUACUUUUAUCAAUUAACCAAUUUUUAUAUUUUUCCUAAUUUUCCGAUUUUAUGAAAUAUAUUGUGUUGAUGGGAUAUGUCUUAAAUAUUGAGUGAGAAAUUUAUUCUAAAUUCAGCUAUUUUCAAUUCUACAAAAUGACAUAAAGGAUAAAACCAUAACCUUCAUUAAAAUAUUAUAUAAAACUCUCUCAAUUUAAUUAAUGGGCGAGGAUUUGAUCCUUGCUUUGAGUAUUGAGCAGCUUUAAAAUUCGCGGUCAACGUUUACCCCUUAAUGAGUCUAUAGCAUGUGGAGGACUAAUUAUUAAAUUUAUUCCAAUAGAUAUAUUGAGAAAUAAAAAAAAUACUGCAUAAAAAAAGAAAUAAUAGGAACAUAAUAUGUGAAAUGGUGCUAAAAAAAAACAAGAGCCAGUCAAAAUUUAUUAAAUAUAUUUUUUAUAUGAUAUAAUCAAAACUUAAUAGUUAAUUAUGAAAUCGCUGGAAUAAAUUUAAUUGGAAACGAUUUCCAAUUCUCCCAUCCUAGAAAAUAGAAUUUUAUAAAUUUUAGGUUAAAAAAUUAAUAAAAUGAUAUGUCAAUGACAUGAAAAAAGAUAUUAAAAUGAUAUUAAAUAAUUAGAAAAUAGAUAUAAGAUAACGUGACAUUUUUAUUUUAUACAAUCAUUUCCCCUACAAAUGACCAAUGUAUAAAUAUAAUAUAUACGACAUACAAUACAUAAAACACUAUAAGCUUAUAUUAAUUAGAAAAUUACUUUUCUAACGAGCUCUAGAACUAAUAUUGAAAUUAUUUAAAAUUAAGUAAACAAAAUAGGAAUAUUAGUAUAAUUAAGUGAUGAAAACAGAAAUUAAUACAAAGUUAAUGGAAAAAAAUGCAAACCAAAAAGAACCUCUGAUAAGUCAGAUUAAAAGUCCAAAGCUGAUUUGGGUAUGUCUUACAAUGAACCUUCAUUUAUGUACCUUAAAGGAAUUGAUGUUUGAUAUAACUCGGAUGCUUGUGGCGGAAAUGUUUUAACUUUCUUUAAAUUAUUUUCAUAUGUAUAUAUGAAUACAAGUGCUAGAUGUAUGUAUUUGCAGAAAUCGGCAUAGCUCCCAAUGAAUGAGUACGAACAAUGUAAGCCUCAGCUCCUGAAGCCUUCAAUGAGACUUUUUAUGAAAGUGAACAGAACAAAGCAGAGAAAACAGAGCAGUACUAUGAACAUGUAAGCAUCGCAUCUCAAAAGAGAAUGAAGGAAAACCAGAAGAAAACUCUAUUUAUUUUAGAUAAUUCAUUUGCUCUUCCAAGCUCCAAUUCUGGCAAAUAUUUACAGAGACGAUUUAAUAAAAAAAUUACAAAAAUAAAAUAAAAUGACUAUUUACUGCAUGAAAACACUAACAAGAAUCCAGUAAUGGUAACCGAAAUCUAAGCAGUUCAUUUAGUUUCAGCAUACAUAAUGCGUCUGAGAAGGUCUUCUUCGACUCAUACAAUCAUGAGCACAAUGGAAUUUUCAAAAGGAGCAGUCCUUGAACUGAAUGAAUCAUCGUAGUAAGAAGAUGGAGGCCUUGCAUGAACUAAAGAAUAUGGUAGCCACUGAUUUCAUCAGUGUGUAAAUUCAAAUCCGAUACAAGCAAAUCUUGAUGCCAAACCAAGUAUUCAAAACUUUGGUGCAGAUAAAAUAAUUGUGCUUGGCGGCUAAUCCAUCACCCUUUGAUUCUUCAAUCAUAACCAUCUCACAUUUAUAAAAUACUUGUUUUUGACUAGCUUUUUGAGCAUCUCGGACAUUUCCAGAAGUAACCUUCAUGGUUUACUCCCAAUUUUCUUUGAAUCCCCGACUUCACUACUCAAAUUGUAGGACCACUGCUUUCCAUAAUUUCCGAUACAAUCAACAAUGUAAAAUUCAUGGUAGUUUAAGGUAUCACCUCCACCCCCCCUAGUUUUGCUAUCUUCUUCUUAAGUGUCGUUGUAAUUCCACACAUGCAAAGGGAAUCCAUAAAUUUCCACCCAAGUUGCUUUGUAUUUCGAGGAGAGUGAAGGAGUCCAAUCAAUUUCCAUGAACUACUCCACCCAUGCCUACUUUAACUUUUUGCUACAAUUUGAGACCCUCUAUCAACUUUACCACCCGUCUCAUCCUCCAUUUAUAUUACAAGUAUAUUAUAUUUGCACGAUUGGAAUUUUUUUUUCUUUUUUAGGUUUUAGAAAUUUAUAGAUGUGAAAUAUCUCUGUUUUAAAAGCUGAAAGUUUUGGUUAGUAAGUUUGAGAAUCAAAUCAAUAGAAUUUAUAAAUGUGAAUGGUUAAAUUUAUUAAAAUUUUUAAAAUUAAGAUCAAAUUGAUAAAAAUAUCAAAUUGAUAAAAAUAUGUAAGUAUUGAGGACUAAAUGUGUUAUUAUACUAAUAAAAAAAUGUUGUCCAUUACCAAUUUAAUAACGAGUAACUAGAACAAGAACAAAUAAAAACUUUAAGACUAAUAUUGAAAUUAUUUAAAAUUAAGUGAAAAUAGAAACGAAUACAAAGUUAAAGGGAAAAAAAUUGCAACCCAAAAAGAACCGUUAAUAAAUCAGAUUAAAAAAAUAAAGCCCAAAGCUGAUUUGGAUAUGUCUUAUAAUCAACUUUUGUUAUUUGAUUUUCGAUAUCCUGAGUAACUUCAUAAGCUUGAGAUCAACGAUGCUAUUGAUACGAUUCUCUAAUAAAAUAUCGAGUAAUUUCAUCAUUAGCCACUACAUUAUUAAAUUAUGAGUAAGUUCUUUAUUUGAUCACUUAAUUUCCUUUGACAAGUUAAUUAAUAACAAAAAAGGAGGUUAUACAUCCAAAUACAUGUGAAGGAAUGUAGUAGUAAGUAUACCCGAAUCUAUGUUACUCAAAGUCAGAGUACAAGUGUUACAUUUAGAAUGUGUGCUAUAUAGAUAUUUUCAGGUUUUUUGUUUUUUUUUUUAAGUUUUACUAUGUAUUUAGAAUAUCUUUAGAAAGUUAUUGAAGAAAUAUAUCCCUAUAUCCAUAUUCGAAUAAAGUAAAGAGUUGAAGUAAUAUAGAUUGAAAAACAACAAAAAAGCUACCCUAGGUUCAUUGUGAUAGAUCGGAUUAGUAGUGUGGAAGAUUUAAAAAUAAACUUUGCUACCCUGGAUAGUAAUCAGCUACCAACUUUUCAAAUUUGGGUUUCAAAUAUAUGCACUUCAUCUCAACACUCAGUUUUGCUAGUUUUUAAAAUAACAACUAAGCUUUGCAACAAUAAUAUCAUCAUCCUACUUUCUAUUGUUUCCACUCUUCAGUUUCUUAAAAGGUCCAUGUUUGAUACUCAUGUCUCAUACACAUAUAUAUAAUAUGACUCAACAAAAUAAAAACUAUAACCUUAAUUAUCUUAGGAUUCUAAGAUGAUCCAAUUAAUGUCAAAAGAAAAAACCUUCAUUUGGAUGAGAAUCAUGCAUCAACUACAACUUGCAACCAUAUAGAUGGUAUGCCAUCAAAACAAGUUUCCUUAAGUUUAACAUAGUUUGCAGAUCUUUUUCUUUUUCUUUUUCUUAAAAGGCAAAAAUACAUUUGUCAUGAAAGUAAAAAAUGUAUGAAAAUACCUGCGUCAGAAUAUUUGUUUUCUCAGUCACUGCCCCUUCUAUAUGAUGACUUGUUCAUCAAUUACAAUGACAGGGAUUAGGAAAAUGUUGGCCCAAUCUUUAUCUUUAUCCUUUUCACAAUGUUCCUUCAGUAAAGGACAAUUUUUAAUGCACAAACGAGAAAGAAAGGGAGGGAGCAUGUUUGGCGGCAUGGAUUGGAGCUUGGGACAAUUGUAGAUUGACAAAUUGCAAAGAGAGGUGAGGUGUUGAAACCCCUUAUACUCCAAACUCUUUAGAUUUCGAAGACUAGAGAUAUUGAGAGACGUAAGAGAAGAGGGAAGCAGAUGUUCAUCUGGAAAACACUCCAUCUCUACUUCUGAAUCCCUGAUAUAUAAAGAUGUAAGAGAAGGGAGUGUAUGCAAACUCCAUUCCCUUUUCCUAAUCAAGCUCUCAAUUAGUUUAUCACUCUCAAAGAUUCUAAUUUCUUUUAAUUUGGAGGGCAAACCCUCUUUUGAAACCCUCUCUAUUUCUGGACAUCCAACUAUUGUCAAAUACUCAAGGGAUGGAAAGACGGAGUGUAUUUGCUCUGGCAAUGACUUUAAACUUCCGCAAUUUAAAAGCCAAAGUCGGGUCAAAUUGGUGACAGCUAAUCCAUCUUCAAUUUGAAAAGAUAUCAAAUUUUGGCAGAACCAUAUAUCCAUAGAAUUGAGACAUGUUAGAUGCUGGUGGUAAGAGCCCUCUAAAGUAGCACUAAUAAACUUCAAGACUUCACAUCCCUUAAUAUGAACUUGCUUUAGCAUAAGAAGCGAUCCUAAUAGGAAAGAUUCCAAUCCAUGACACUUCCAACUGUAAAUAUCCAAGGAUUCAAGGGAUGUAUACAAGAAGAUAUUGGAAUAAUCCACAUGAAUAGAACUCCAAUUGCUUCAACGUGAUGGGCACCCUAACUUCAGAAAGGGGUCUAAUUUCUGAACAACCUGACAAACAUAAAUUGUCAAGAAGUGUGCAUCGUUGCAACAUUUGUUCCAAUGUAGAAUCAUCCAUAUUCGAAUCUGUAAUGUCCAACUUCCGAAGCCCACAAGCCAAUGGCUCCAACUGCAAUGCUUUGCAUUUCUUUAACUCAAGUUCCAAAAUGCUUGGUGCCAUUGGAAGCAAGCCUCCAAGCUUCUCACAAUCUUUAAUCUUCAGUUUCUUUAAACAAGGGAGGUGUUUGGGAAGAGACUUAGUUAGUUUUGGACAAUCUCUAAUGCAUAACUCUUGUAGAAGAAGGAAAGCUUUAUCACUCCAACAACACCAUUCCUCCCACUCUUUCAUAUUCUCAAAGCUUAGCAUUUCAAGAGAUACAAAUGAUUUAGUCGAAGCUUGCCCAUAUCCAUAGAACUCAUCACCAACUAUGAACACUUCACUCAACCCGAAAAUGGAAAGAGAUUUCAAAGAUGAUAAUUGGCCAAGUGGCGGUAAGGAUAUGCAAAAUUUACAAUCAUGUAAGGAAGAUAACUCCUAAUAAAAAGAUGCUCCAAAUUUGUAUGAGGCUUUAGUUGUUCAAGUACUUCUCUAUCAUGCCUUGAAUCACCAUCAAUAUCAUUAUCUUCACCCCAACUCAACUCCAACUCUUUAAGAUUCACCUUAUCCUUCAAAUUGGCAUUUUUGGCAUCUAUGGCACUUGCAACAUUUUUUAGUCCUGAAAUGGAAAGUCUUCCACGUAGAUGCUUGAGCUUUCCCAACUCAUUAAUUUUCGAUCCAGUUUGAUAGCCUAAAAAAAAAUCUGUUAUUAUUCGAAGAUCUUUCAACCUACCCAUUCCUUCUGGCAUCCUUGCUAACUUUGUUCCUUUUAUAUCAAGAUAUUGCAUGUUGAUCAAUCUCUCUAUGUCUCACAGCAACUCAUCAAGGUCACUGCAUGCACGCAAUUUUAAUGCUUGCAAAUUAUACAAUGUACACACAGAUUUUGGCAACCUUUUGAUUGAAUUUCCUGAGUGUUAAAGUGAUAAGUCAGGUGGUUUGUUAGGUUUGUUAAGAUUUGUUGAGCAGGAGUUAGACCUUAAUUUCUUCUAUAUAUAGAGCUGUGUAUACUGUAUUGAAAAGCCAAGUUUAACAGAUUGUUUACCUGUGGUAGUUUUCAAUUUCUCUCUUUGCAUAUCUACUUUCUCUUUGAUAUUUUAGCAUGGUAUCAGUCGCUCGGUGAUUCUCGGGCAUGCCUGUCACGCACUCCACUGAUUCUGACUCUGUAGAGCAUGGAGGCUCUAUUUUUCCGAUGAUCGGGUUGUUGCUUCGUUUCCUCGCCAUGACGUUGUUAAACUUGAUCAAGGAUCGUUUAUGCAGUGGCAACAAUAAGUUCAUUUUAUUUUUGCUGGUUACGAUUUGCUUGGAUUUCUUGAUGGUUCUUUGAUUGCUCCGCUGAGGUUCGUUCAAGCUCCCGAUGGAUCUCUUGUUUCAAAUCUGGCUGCCUCAGUUUUUACUCAACAAGACAAUCUUCUAACUUCAUGGCUGCUUUCUACUAUUUAUCCCUCAUAUUUGUCCUCCUUCACGGACGUCCGGAAUGCGAGUGAUGUGUGGAUCUUGGCCACUAGCUUGUUUGCGGUUGACACGAGCACUAAGCAAUCUCAACUCCAGCAUGAGCUUCAUUCGCUCAAGAAAGGUAGCUUAUCUGUUCGAUCUUACAUUGAUAAGAUUAAAAGUUUAUGUGCUCUUUUUGUAGCAUCCGGUUCUCCGAUUUCGGAGGACGAAUGAUCGACGGUUUUACUUGCGGGUCUUUCUUCCGAGUUUGAGGGAGCUGUUUUGUCGGCCUCACUUUCUUCGACUCCGGUGCCUUUUCAAUGGCUUGUUGAUGCCUUGCUUGAGUGUGAGACUCGCUUGAGUCGAUCGGUUCAACAGGUGGUGGUUGCUGCGUACUAUGUUGAAGGAUCUCCACCGCUUGUAGAUGAGGGCUCUUCUCGUGGUGGACGUUCGUCGAUCCGUGGCCGUGGUCGUGGUUUUUGUCCUCGACUUCAGUGUCAAAUUUGUAAUCGGUUUGGGCAUCUUGCUCAACGUUGCUAUUAUCGGUACCAUCGAGAGGAGCAGUCGCCGGUGGUAACGUUACAAUGAGGGAUGGUCUCUGGUAUGUUUCCUGGCUAUGGCCAUGUCUAUAAUGCUGGUCAAUCUGAUGGUUAAGUUUAUAAUGCUGGUCAAAAUGCUGGUUAAAAUUAUAAUCCUGGUUAAAAUGCUGGUCAAAAUUAUCAUACUGGUCAAAAUUGGUCUCUGCCAAUUGUUGAUAAAUCAUCUUUGAGGAUGGAUGCUAUAGCUCCACGUGGGCUGCAUGCUAGGCCACAUGUUGGUAUGCCUUAUGUGUAUAGUGGUGGCCAGUUUGAGUCUCCUUCUCUGGGCACGUAUGUUGGUGCAGGAACCAAGGGCGUGAAUGUUUCUGUGCGUGGGCCGAUUAGUGCAGAUCCUAAUUUUGGGCCGCAUAGUUUUGCCAGGCCUCGUUUGGAUACUGGACAAUACUCUUUCAGGCCCAAUGCUAAUCACAUGCAUCUUGAUCCGCAUGAGUCACCCACCGCACCUGAGGUUCCGUGGCGGACAAAACCGCGUGCUCGUGUGUUUGAUGUUGACUCGUCUCAGUAUGAUUCAUCCCAAUUUAUUGGUAUCCCCCUCUCCCGAGUUUUUGAUUUGCGUGCCUCUGAUUAUUCUAAUGCUACUGCCUAUAGCUCGAAUUUUAAUAACACUAAUUCGUAUGUCCCAUUACCGGUUGGGAGCACCUCGUGGUGUCCAGAUUCUGGAGCGACUCACCAUGUGUGUCAAAAUGCUUCCAAUCUUCAUACCUCCACUCCGUAUUCAAGUAAUUCGUCUCUUCUAAUGGGUAAUGGAGCUUCUACUUACAUUUCAUUUAUUGGGAAUACUGCUAUACCUACACAAAAGAAAAUGCUUCAUUUGUCGAAUGUGUUAUGUGUCCCAAGCAUUCGGAGAAAUUUAUUAUCUGUGUCUAAGUUUACGACUGAGAAUAGUGUUUUCUUUGAGUUUCAUCCAUCUCACUGUGUGGUUAAGGAUAUCCAGACAUAGGAGAUCUUGCUGUAGGGCCAGGUUCGUGAUAGGCUUUAUCAGUUUUCCACCGAAUCGAUCGAUCUCCGUCUAUCUGUAUACAACACUGCGGUUCAAGCUUGUUCCACAGGUGAUGAUGUUUUUACUCAAUGGUAUCAAAAGCUUGGUCAUCCCUCUUCUACUAUUGUAAAGACUGUUCUUGAUCAGUGUCAGAUUUCUUUCAAUAAAAAAUGUUUUGAUCAUGUUUGUGUUGCGUGUCAGAAAGGCAAAUCCCAUAAGUUGCCCUUUUCACAAUCUCGUACUGAAUACACUGAAUUGUUUGAAUUAGUUGUUUCUGAUUUGUGGGGCCCCGCAUCUGUUGCGUGUGACAGUAAUUGGUAUUAUGUCUCAUUUAUUGAUUUGAGUAGUAGUUAUACCUGGGUUUAUUUGUUAAAACGCAAAUUACAAGCAGUGGAUUGUUUUCUACAGUUUCAGAAAAUGGUACGUACUCAGUUUGGGAAGUCUAUCAAGAAAUUUCAGAGUGAUUGGGGAGAAGAGUUUCGUGCCUUUGCGUCUAUUCUGGUGGAUCAUGGGAUUCUUCAUCGAAUUACCUGUCCUCACACCUCGAAACAAAAUGGUGUUGCUGAGCGUAAACAUAGACACAUUGUGGAGACUGGUCUCACGCUUUUGGCUCAAGCUAAUCUAUCGAUGGCUUAUUGGGGGUAUGCUUUCUGUAGUGCAAUCUAUCUUAUUAAUCAUCUCUCUACUCCAGUUUUGAAGGGUAACUCCCCGUAUCAAUGUCUGUUUGGUCAUGCCCCAUGGUCACAGCCCUCUACGUUUCUUGGGUAUAGUCUGCAACAUAAGGGAUAUUUUUGUUUAAUGCCAGAUAGUAAGGUCAUUAUCUCUAGACAUAUUGUUUUUGAUGAGUUUAGGUUUUUAUUUCCUGGCGCUCCACUUUUCGAUGCUCUAGCUUCUCCGUCUACUACUACAUUGUUCCUAUUAUGCGUUCUUUUUCUCCUCCGGAGCCUUGUAGAGUCCCUGACACUGGGGUUUCUUUACAUAGUCAGCCUUGUAUGGUGUCUCCCUCUGCUCCAUGUGCUACUCAAUCAACUCUUCUAGGCAGUUCAGUGUCUGCUUCAAGGUCCAGUACACGACUUACUCUUUCCUCGCCUCGAAGUAUGCCGUCUUCACCUAUACCAGUUUCUAUCCCUACUGUUCCAACUACUAAUACGCAUGCUAUUGCUACUCGUUCUAAGGCUGGAGUGUUUAAACCUGAGGCAUUGACUGUGGACAAAGUUGAGUCUGAACCCGUUUAUGUUGAGGAGGCUCUUGCUCAUCCCGACUGGCGUCUAGCAGUGCAAGCUGAAUAUGAUGCUUUAAUUGCUAACUCCACAUGGGAACUUCACCUUCUUCCUCCUAGACGUAAAGCGAUUGGCUGUAAGUGGUUGUUUAAGGUGAAGACUAAUCCUGAUGGGACAAUUGCUCGACGGAAGGCCCGCUUAGUAGCCAAGGGUUGUUCGCAGGUUCUGGUUGUGACUUCACGGAAACGUUUAGUCCGGUUGUGAAACCGGCCAUAAUCCGAAUCAUUCUGUUUAUUGCUGUGUCCUAAGAGUGGUCUCUACGAAAAGUUGAUGUAAAUAAUACCUUCUUAAAUGGCAACCUAGCUGAUGAAGUUUAUAUGUAGCAGCCCCCUGGGUUUGUUAAGUCUGGGACGAUUGGAGAAAGGCUUGUGUGUCGCCUCACUAAGGCUUUGUAUGGUCUCCGGCAAGCUCCACGUGCCUGGUUCAACAAGUUAAAAUAGUUCCUUGUGUCUGCUGGGUUUGUUCUUUCUAAAUCGGAUGCUUCUUUGUUUGUCCACUUUUCCUCCGAGUUUACGUUGUAUGUGCUUGUUUAUGUCGAUGAUAUUGUUAUCACUGGCAGUUCAUCUAACGAAAUUAAUUGUUUUGUUCAGCAGUUACAUAAUGAGUUUGCUUUAAAGGAUAUGGGUGAGCUUCAUUAUUUUUUGGGCGUUGAAGUGAGUCGAUCCUCGUCUGGCAGUCUCCACUUAUCUCAGAAGAAAUACAUUCGAGAGCUUCUUGCUUGGAGUUCUAUGUCUCAUGCCAAGAGCGUUCAUACGCCAAUGGUGAGUUCUUCUAUGUUGUCUAAAAAUGAGGGUGAACCGUUGGUUGACCCGAUUGAGUAUCGCAGUCUUGCGAGGACACUUCAGUAUAUUGUUCUAACUCGACCUGGCAUCGCGUAUGCGGUUAAUCGGGUAUGUCAAUUCAUGCAUGCACCUACGACUUCUUAUAUGGUGGCGUUAAAAAAGAUUUUGCGAUAUCUACGUGGCACCCUUUCUCAUGGGCUAGUCUUUCAUCGAUCUGGUCGUCUCUCUUUAGUCGGUUAUGCUGAUGCUAAUUGGGGUCUUGAUUUUGAUGAUCGAAUAUCUACUAGGGGCUACUUUGUCUAUUUUGGUCAUACUCCUGUCUCGUGGUGUUCUAAGAAGCAGACGGUUGUUUCUCAUUCUACAACUGAAGCUGAGUAUCGCAGUCUUGCGGCAGCCAGUAGCGAUAUUACUUGGCUCACCUCACUAUUAGCCGAACUGCAUGUCAAGUCCGUUGAUUUACCAAUAGUAUGGUGUGAUAAUUCUAGUGCUGUGGCUAUUGCAGCUAAUUCGGUUCUGCAUUCCAAGUUCAAACAUGUUGAACUUGACUUGUUUUUUGUUCGUGAGAAGGUGGCUAGUGGCGACUUGCUUGUUGGAGAAGUUCUGGCCUGUGACCAAGUGGCGGAUAUACUUACUAAGCUGUUAUCAGUGUCUCUGUUUAGUCGUUUCCGUAGUCUUCUUCGGGUGUUGCCACUUGAGGAAGUUGGAUGAAAAAAUGAUAAGUCAGGUGGUUAGUUUGUUAAGUUUAUUAAGAGUUGUUGAGCAGGAGUUAGACCUUAGUUUCUUCUAUAUAUAGAGUUGUGUAUACUGUAUUGAAAAGCCAAGUUUAACAAAUUGUUUACCUGUGGUAGUUUUCCAUUUCUCUCUUUGCAUAUCUACUUUCUCUUUGAUAUUCUAGCACUGAGAGAUCCAAAUUUCGUAGAUGCUUCAAAUUACCAAUAUCUUCUGGUAAAUUGCUGAUAUUUGUAUACCCAACCAAUGAAAGCACUCGUAAGCUUGAUUUCACUGUCAAAUCAUGCAUUAGUACAUUGCUAACAUAUACCCAAGGGAAAGAAGAAUUCAUAUUUAAGAAAGUACGCAAACCCUUUGCUUUAGCUAAACUCUGAAAUUUUUGCCGCACAUCAUGAAAUUCUAGGACAUUGGACAUAUGACGGGUCUUUUCAGUUAUUACAGAAAAACCACCACUCCCUUCCAAUCUGCAGAUGAACUCUCCGGUGACAAAUUUAGCCAAGUCACUAAUUAGAUCAUGCAUGACAAAACAAGAUUUAUUUCCUUUGGAUUGUUGAAAAAAUGACCUCAAUCUCAAAUCUUUGAGGUACUCGUUAUCCCAUUCUUCUAGAUUUCCAUUGUCCUUGGGAAGCUCUAAAAGACCUUCAGCUAUCCAUAAUUGAAUAAGUUCUUCCUUUUCAAAUUUGUAAUCUUUAGGGAAAAUUGAACAAUAAGCAAAACAUCGCUUUAAAUGUGAAGGAAGAUAAUGAUAACUCAACGUUAACACUGGAAGAAUAUUACUUGCAUCAUUUGGAAUAUCCCAAAAAUUGCUAUGUAAUAUUUUGUUCCACUCAUCAGCAUCUGGUUUGCAACGCGUAAGACCUCCAAGAGUUUUUGCAGCCAAAGGGAGACCGCCACAUCUUUUAACAAUUGCUUCACCGAUUUCCAUCAGAUCUGGAUGCUUGGUGGGGCUUGAACCAUCAAAUGCAUGCUUUGCAAAUAACUUCCAACAAUCAUCAUCUCAUAACACAUCUGAAUGAUAUGUCCUUAGCAGCUGGACAAUGAGAAAAUAUUAUAAUUUUUAAUAUUAUUAAACAUAAAUAUUUAAUUAUCUAUAUUUAAUCAUAUAAUAAAUUAUUAAUAUAGUUUAUCAUUUUAAUAAAUUUCUUAAUAUUUUAAUUUUAUUUUAAUAAUAAUUUUAAAUUACAUUCUUCAUAUAUUAUUAAAAAAAUUCAAUAUUAAUAUUUUAAUAAAAAUAUUUAUUACAAUUAUAAAUAUAUUAAUAAUAAAUGUUUUGUAGUAAAAAGAUUAAAAUAUGCCAUAAGUCUAUGUUCUCUUCAAAAAUUUUGAAUUUAGCGCUUGCACUUUUAUUUCCUACUUUUUAUAUUUGAAAAUCAAGUCCAAUUGUUAACAUUGUUAAUUUUUUUUCUAAUUUUGUCGAUGACACAUUUUCAAAUAAAAGUACUCGGUAUUCAUAUAAUUAAAAAAUAAUGUUAUAAUAAACAUGCUAUAAAGAUGUUAUAAAAAGUAUUUGAUUACAAAGUUGGGUUCCCAAUACUAGUUUGUGUAUUUGGUUACAAAAUUGUGUUUUCAAUAGGUAUUUGAGUAAUAGUUAUAGAUUUUUGUAGUUGUUAUCAAAUGUUGUUAUAUAAAUAAAUAUAUUGUUGUCAUAACUUAAAUGGAACGGUAGUUAAAUCUCUUAUUAGACACUCGUUUGACCUGAGAUUAAACAGUGUUACCCUAUCUCUUAUAUUGUUAAAGAAUAUAUAUUGUUAUAAUUAAGGAGAUAUUUUGUUAUUUACUAUAUAAUAGAUUUUGAAAUCGUUGACAUGAUAUGUUGACUAAGAAAAAAAUUAUCAAAAAAAAAGUAUGAACGUUUGAUUUUAUUAACAACAAAAAAAAUCAAAUUUGAUUGUUAUAGAUACAAAACCACAUCAUUAAAAAGUAAAGCCCAAACCUGAUUAGGAUAUAUCUUAUAAUGAACCUUCGUUAUUUGAUUUUUAUUAUCCUACACAACUCCAUAAAUUUGUGAUCAAUGAUGCUAUUGAUAUGAUUCUCUAAUAAAAUGUCAAGAAAAAAUUUAUCAUUAUUUACUAAUUUAUGAGUAAAUUUUCAUUUAAAUCACUUAACUUCUUUUGACAAGUUAAUCAAUAACAAAAAUGUAGGUUAUACAUCCAAAUACAUGUGAAAGAAUAUAGUAGUAAGUAUACUCAAAUCUAUGUUAAACUUGGAUGCAAGUGUUAGAUAUAGACCGUGUGCUAUAUAGAUAUUUUCAACUUUAUUUUUCAAAGUUUUUCUAUGUAUUUAGAAGGUUUUUAGAAAAUCAUUGGAGAGAUAUAUCAUUAUACUCAUAUUAAAUAUACAUCAAAAAUAGAUAUUUCAAAAAAAAUAAUAAUAAUAAUCAGUUCAAGUAACACACAUAUGACUUCAAAAACAAGAAGAAAGCUACCGUAGGUUGGGAUUAUUAAUGUCGAAGAUUUAAAAAGAAACUUUGCUACCUUGGAUGGUAAUCAACUAUCAACUUUUCAACUUAGGUUUCAAAUAUAUAUAUACAGUUGCUUGCCAUCAUACAAGUUCAAAUAUGAUCAAACUUGAAAUAUCAUAAGAAAAUCAAAUACUAAAACAUGUAUAUAUGCGUUCUGCAAAAGGAUAAACUUUUUGUACAUUAACUCAUCUCAACACUCCUUUUUUUUAUUUUAGUUUUUAAAAUAACAAUUAAGCUUUGCAACAAUAAUAUCAUCAUCCUACUUCCUAUUGUUUCCACUCUUACCUUCAUGUUCAAAAUUUUUAAAAAGAAUAAAAAUAAAAAAGUUAAAUAUACCUACACAUGUUCAUAACUAGCACUUGCCUGAGUCCAAAUAACAUAUCCUUUAUUUAAGUUUGAGCAACACCAUAGAUAAGAUUUUAAGACUGAAUAUGUCAUGCUCCGAAUCAAGACAUAAAAGGUGUCACACACUUCAGAGAUAAAAUCUCACGAAUAUACAAUACUAUCACUAAGUAAUUGAAAUUCAAUUUAGCCAAAACUUCUUACAUAAGAAUCAUAGGAUCAUAACUCAAAAAACUUUUAUAAAUUUUGAUUUGAAAAUAAGUUUCAUGAUAUGUAGUAAACUAAUUAACCUUAAAAAAAAUAGUCUAGUGGUAUUGAAAAUUUAUAAAAAUAAAAAUAAAAAAUGAAAUAUCUUGAAAGAUUUAAUGAAAUGCAAUAAUAUCCAAAACUGUCACUUUUCAGACUUUUCAUGUUCACGAACAUAAUAAGAACCUGUAAAAAAGUAUUAUUAUAUAAGGGAAUGAGUUUAACUAUUCAAUAAGUAAUAGGUAUUUCCCUUGGUUGCGUUAAGCAAACACAAAAAUAUUUAGACCAAAUAUUUAGUAAAAAAUAUAUAAUUGUAAAAUUUAUAGGUAAUUCAUAAUAAAUAAUUCAAAGCAUAUUCUGUGUCAAAACUGUAAUAAAGACAAACUAAUAAUUUUUGAAAAACCAAUCAACCCUUUUUUUAUAGCUGUGGUCACCCUUAACCUCAGUUACAAAGUUGAAAACCACAAUUAACACCAAUAGUAAUGGGCUGGAACAAAAGCCACAACUAACCUCAGUGGAGUGGGUUGAAAGAAAAACAAUAAAUCACUCCAACGGCAAUGGGUCAAAAACCACUAUUCUAUGCUAAUAGAAUAGUUGAAAUAAGUUUUAAAGCACAAAAUACAUGUCGACAUGACUAACAUUUAACCCUUAUUGACAAGGUUGGAACAGAACAUUUUAGAAACAAGUUUAAAAUCAAAAAAUUGGAUUAGCGAAAUGACUCAAAAAUGUACAAAACAUACUUAAUACUUAAUAUACAAAGACAUAAUUCAAUAGUGUACUUUUUCAAAACAUAUCAUUUAUAUAUAUAACAAAAUAUAAUUUGAGUAGCAUAAGUAUACCAAAAACAUAGUCCAAUAACAUAUUUCUCUAAAAAUAAUCAUACUAGCAUGUUUAACUCGAUUUUCAUAAAAUAUGAACAAAAAUAUUAUAUAUCACAAAUGUAACAUAAAAUAUUGAAGAUUGAUUUUUAGGGAAUUAAACACCAAAAUAAUGUUGAAUCACUUACCUAGUACACUCAAUCUACACUUCAGCAAAGAUUUUCAAAACUUUCAUAGUAGCCUAAAAUUUUAGAAUAAUAGAACUUGAAAAUAAAAAAUUGAUCAAUUAAUUAGAGGCUUAAAAGGUAAAAAUUUCCAUGGUGAUCCUAAGACAUUUCAGUUUUGUGGCAAUCAAUCUAAUAAAUUAAAACACAAUUGUACAAUUUAAUUGAACUAUCUUUUAAAUCAAAAGUAAGUAAAUCCAAUUUAAUAAAAUACAUAUAUAUUGUAAUAAAUCAAAUAAAUUAACGAAAAUCAAUUUAGUAUGAUUUUUCAACCAAAUAAUAUGUAUUUGGAUAAAAAAAUAUUUUCAAACAUAACUAAAAAUCAAAUUUUCAAUAUUUUGAAAGUCUAAACUUCAUGAUCGUUUGGUUAACUUGAAGUCGUUUGAGCUAAAAAUUUACUUAGUAUUUUGGUAGUUUAAAAACAUAAAUUUAAAGAAUAAAUUAAAUGCUAAAACUAAGAAACUUGUUUCACCAAAUUUGGUUACCAAAAGCCUUACUUUUAAAAGCCAAAAUAUAAGAAUUUAUCACAAACUAUCCGAAUUUUUAGGUUACGAGUUUCAAGUAGCUUACUUUGGCUUUCAUAUCUUUCAACAAAAAAAUCAUAUAACCAAGAUAUUAAUACCAUAUGAAAGUUAAUAACUUCAUACUAAGGAAAACAUCUAAAUUUCGAAACAAAUGAACAUUUAUAGAUAGAUUUCUAGCUUGUCAAAGUUGAUUAUACGAAAUUGUCAGAACUCAUAUGACAGAAACUUCAAAAAUUAUUUUCUCCUAAGACAAUUGAUCAAAAAGGAUGUCAAACAUACCAUUUGAAAGAUCUUGAAGAGAUAUUUCAUUUGGUACCAAGAAUGUUGCGAGAAUCUCAUUAGGAAGUCAAUGGAAUUUAACAAACUAUAAAACUAACCCAAAUGAAAUACAUGAGUUUAAAGAAAAAUAGCUUAAAACCAUUGACUAAGAAAAAUAGUGUAAAGAGAAUCUAUCUUUUCUUUUCCUUCUAUUAUUUUAUUUUUAAAAAAAAACUAUAAAAUACAUGUAAUAUCUUGAAAGUCAGUAGUGUCACUUACUUUCAUACCUUAAUUAGCGCAACCACAUAUUUAAUUUAAAUACCCAAUCAAUUCUACUUAUAAAUAAGUUUUUCCUUUUUGAGAGAACUCUAUGAGGGUUAGGGCUUUGUAUUCGGGGUUUUGGAUAAUUUAUGUUUGGUACAUUUAGGUUUAUUUUUUUCAUAUUGUACUCUCAUUUAUUUACUCAUUUAGUAAAAAGCUGAAGCCUCAUUUGCCUGUGGUUUUUCUCUUCUUCAGAGGAGUUUUCUACGUAAAUAUUUGUGUGUUUGACCUUCUUUAUUUUUCUCUUUCAUUGCUUAGAUGAGUCAAUCCCCAAUAAAUUUGUAUCAGAGCCAGGUUCAGCUUUCACAAAUCGGCUCGUUCUGUGACACAACAACGAAUUUGGAUAUCAAGAAGUUAGACGAGAUCACAAAUUUCAGUUUCUUGUAGUUUCAGGUAAUUACAUAAGUAGAUGAUGUGACCGAGCACAAGGGUGAUGAUUCGUUGUUCUCCACAUACAGUUCAGUUGAAAGUGGAGUCAUGUUAGAUGUCAGACAUUCACUUGAUUUAAAGAAGAAUCUCAUCCCAUUUUGGUCUUUAGGAGUCGAAUGGUUCGCAAAUUGUUUGAGACAAGGUUGGUCGCAGAGGGUUACUGUAACAGCUUGAUUUUUACCCUAGUCGGAACGGUUGUUUCGGGACCAUGAAUCCGAGUAAAAAUAUAUAUAUAUUUAUUUAUUAUUUAUCUAUGUUUUGAAUGCAUGAAUUUGGUUGGCGUGAAAUUUGGUUUUAAAAUUUGUAUCAUUUAAAUGUCGAUUUAUUGAAUAGGGUCUAAAUGCAUAACAUUAAAACUUAAUGAAUUAUUUGGUGAUAACCAAAUUAUGAGGAUUAUUAUUAGUGGAGGGAUUUCAUAGGAAAUUUUGCCAUUUCCAAGUGUAGUGGACGGCACUUGUUAAUUGUUAUUAAUUUUAUAUAAUGAAUAUAUGCAUUUUACUUAUUAGUAUUAUUAUAUUAUAUGAAAUGAAAGUAAUAAAAAUAAAGAAAAGAAAUAAAAUAAAACCACUUGCUUUGUUCUUGUCGAAAUAAAAAGAAGAAGAAAAUAGAAAAGAAACAAGACAUUCGGCCUUCCUUGAUUCAAAAUUUAGGUAUGUGUUUAACUUUAAUUUGAAAAUUGUUUGUAUUUUUGAGAUGUUAGUUGUCUUUUGAUCAUAACCCAUGAAUUUAUUUUCCUAAUUGUUGAACAUUGAAUGUUAUGUCAUGAGGUUGAUAUGAAGAAAUGCUUUAGUUCUUUGUUGAAUGUGUUAGAAAAUAAAAGUUGGUGUUUGAUUAUUGACGUUUAAAUUUAGAUGUUAGGUGAUUUUGUGUUUAUGGUAUGAAAUUGAAAUAAAUUGUUAAAUGGGAAGUUAAUUACGAAAUGAAGAUACGUAAGGAUUCAUAUAGGCAUAUGGAGCAUUCGGUUAUGGUACAUUGAAAUAAAGAAUUGAUGUAUUUUAAUUAUUAAAUACUUUGGACUAUUUAGCAAAUGUUUAAUACCAUGAGGAGCGAAUAAGUAAACUUAUUAAUUAUGCAUUAAGAAUUGAUUUGUUUAUAAAUUAAAUUGAAUGAGUUGAAAUUGAAAUUUUAAUUAGAUCAAGAAACGAGGAGAUCGGAAGCAGAUAAGGGAAAAGCGAAAUUAAUUGAAUAGCUGAGAAACUUAAUCCGUCGAUAAUCGAGGUAAGUUUUAAGCAAUUGAGUUGAUUGAAUUUAAUUAUAAUGUAAUUCAUGAAUUCAAUGGAAGUACAUAAAUAUAUAUGUAUGGCUUGGCAUAAUCGAAGAUGAUUAUAUAUGUAUAGCUUGGUAUAAUCAAAAGUGAAUAUAUAUGUAUGGUUUGAUAUAACCGAAGGUGAAUAUAUAUAUACAUUUAUUUGAUCUAGCCGAUUGUGGUAUAGGUAUGUGUAUAUAUAAUCAAAAGAGUAGUAAGCUUGAGAUGAGCACUAAGUGUGCGAAAUGAAAUUGGUACUGAGUACUAAGUGUACGAAAUUGGUCAUUUGGCACUAAGGGUGAAAAUUGAAUUUAUACCGAGUACUAAGUGUACGAGAUCGGUUAAUGAGCACUAAGUGUGCGAGUUUAUCUUUAAGCAUCAAAGAUAGAGUUCGAUAAAUUUUGAUAUUAUGAAAUGUUUGCAUUUGAGAGAAAAAUUAUAUAUGGUUGCUUAUGAAUUAUAUGAAAAUGUUUUGUGUGGAGUGAUUAUUUGGAAUUUAGUAUAAGCCGUAUAUUUUUGAAUGGAUUUGUACUUAGAAUUGUGGAUAUACAUUAAAAAUGAAGUUACUUAUUGGUUCGGCAUUGAGAUUAGAAGUAGUAUGCAUGUUUAUGAUUGUCCAAGUAAGUUUUUAAUUGGUGAAAACAUGUCUAAAACAUGCUUGAAGUUAUUAUUAUUAAGAGAUUGAUUGAUAGAUGUAUUUAAUUUCUUUUAACUUACUAAGCUAAAAAUAGCUUACAUUGUGUGUAGUUGUUUGCUCUUGAUUAUAGAUUUCUUGAUAAUCGUCUUGUGCUCAAAGAUCGUUGGAGAAGCUCAUCAUACUAUUAUUAACUUUUGGUGUAAUAUCCCGGAUUAGGGCCUAAUCGGAAUAGUGGUUUCGUGACCACAAAAUCCGAGAUAGAAAUAAUUAUUUUAUGAUUUUUUUAAGGUCUAUGAUAUGAUUGCAUGAUUGUGUGAAAAUUUCGUGAAGAAAUUUUAUGCAUAAAGUGCUUAAAUUGAAAUUAGGGACUAAAUCGAAUAAUUUGCAAAACUUGUAUUCUAGAAGUUUCUAGUAUGAAAUUGUUUUGAAAUAUUAAUUAGGAGGUCUUAAAUAGCAAUUUUACCAAUUUCUAAUUCUAUGGACAAAAAUUGGACAUGGAUGGAAUUUUUGGAAAGUUUAGUAGUAAGGGCAUUUUGGUCAUUUAGGGGUAAAAUGAAUUAAAAUACAAAAUUAAAAGCCAAUUUUGCUCAUCUUCAACCCCAUGGCCGAAUAUAGCAAGGAGAAACCAUGGCUAGGGUUUUUCAAGCUUCCAAGCUCGAUUGUAAGUCCAUUCUAGCCUCGUUUUUAAUGAUUUUUACGUUUUUGGAGUCCCGGUAGCUCGAUUUAGCUUAUGCUAGCAAUAAUUUAACCUAGGGUUUAUAUUUGGAAAAAUACCCAUAGGUGAAAUUUGUGUAUUUUGGUGUUUUAUGAUAGAAUAUGAGGUUUUAAAUUAUGUUAGAAAACUUGUGCUACUCGGUUUUAAGUGAAAACGAGCAAAAGGGCUUAAUCGAUAAAAAUACCUAAUAGUCAUAAGUACAUGUUAGAGUGAGAAUUUGAUGUUUCUAUAGAAGGGAAAAAUGAUCAGCAUGUCAUAAAACAUAGGAAAAUAGGCUGAAGUUUUAUUUACGAGCUUUGGGGAAAAAGUGUAAAUAUAUGAAAGUUUAGGGGCAAAACUAUAAUUUUGCAAAAAUAUGAUUUUUGGGUCAAUUUGAAUAAUGUGAGUCCUAAUUAGACUAUAUUUUAAAUGAUAGAGCAAGGAAAACUAAAAUUCGGGCUAGAAUGGGGAAAAUACCAAGUUGUGGACGAAACGGUAAAAGUAGCCAUUUUUGCAUACGAGGUAAGUUCAUGUGUAAAUAAUGUAGCAUAAUUGUUAUUUAAGUUAUUGAUGUUAAUUAUAUGAUAUGUUGAUUUUUAUUAUGAAAUAUAUGCUUUCUGGUUAUUUUCGAAUAAGAUGCAAAUUAUGUGUAUUAAUUGUUAAAUAUAAAGUACUACCGAGUAUUGGUUUCGGUAUUUUACGGAAGAUGGCAAGGAGAUGUGUUCGAGGAAAAUCCCGUUUGAACCUUAGGAAUAGAUUAGGAUACAAGUGACAUGUCACUAGGAUGGUUGAGCAUCCGAACUCGUUGAGUUGAGUCCGAGUUCACCUAUGGAUGCGAACGCCCGAGCUCGUUGAGUUGAGUCCGAGUUCGCUUAUGGACGGGUUACAUGGUAGCUUGGCUACAUAUGUGGCACUUAUGUGCAAACUUUUCAUGUAUCCGAAUUAUAUUCCGAUGUGUUCAACGGGUAAAGUUCUACUCAAAUGGAGGAAUACUAGAGAUGAAAGGGACGUAUUGGUGAGUGUUGUGAAAUGGAUACUUUGAACAGUUUUUGACAAGCCAGCUCAGAAAUCGGGAACGGUUGGAGGUUCGCUCACACUAUCUGUAUACCAUCUUGGCAUAAUGGCUUGUAUAUUUUGAGUAUGGCAUGUAUAGCAUUAUAAUCAUUUUGUAUAUAUGGUCUUAUGAUAUGGUUAUUGAGUGGUAUGGAAAUGCUUGGUAAUGAUUAGCCAUUGGAAUGGCUAAUCAUGAUCAUAUUUGGUGUUAUGUAUGUCAAAUUGCUAGCUAAUCCAUGGAAACCAUGAAAUAGGUAAAAUUUACCAUAAAAUAGAUUCUAACAGCAGCAGUGAUGUAAAUUUGAAAAAUCACUAAAAAUAAUAGAAAUGGAAUUAAAUGAUGAGUAUGUUAUGAAAUUGAAGCUUAAUGAGUCUAUUUCAUAUGGAUUGAACAAAACAGGUAUAUAAUUAUAUUUUAUGAGAUGUUUAAAUUUUUGUGAAACAGGGCUAGAGCGAUUUCUGGAUCCCCUGUUCUGACUUUGGAAAUUCACCAUAAAUUUUACAAAGAUAAUUAGAAGUCAUGCUUUAUAUGUACAGAUUCCUUAUUGAGUCUAGUUUUAAUAGAAACAAACUUUAUAGUCAUUGAAAUUCUGUACAGGGAGCUAUCUGAUUCGUAAUACACAGAGGUUAGAGUAGUCAAACCCUGAAACAGGGAGACUUUAACUAAUAAACUGUACUAAUUGGCCUGACCAAAAAUUCUAGAAAAAAAUUAUUAGAUAUAUAUAUAUGAGUAUAGUUUCAGGAAAAAUUUACGGAAUUGGAUUUCGAGUUUUGGAACUCGAGAUAUGAUUUUUAAAGCAACUGUGAUGCAGUUAGCCAGCUUGUCUGGAAAUUUUAAAAUGAAUUGUAUGAGCUGUUUAAGUAAUGAAUUAAGUCCGUUAACACCUCGUGUUCGACUCCGACAACGGUCUCGGGUACGGGGCGUUACAUUUAGUGGUAUCAGAGCAGGUUUAGUCAGUUCUCGGACUAACCUAGCAUGUGUAAAAGUUUAGCUAUACAUGCCACUGAUCUGUGAUAGUGUGAUGUCUUCCGACGCGUAUGAGUACAGUACCGUCUUAUUUAGACAGGGUACUCUCCAACCGAGCUGCGCCGACCAUGUUCAAUGUAUGUGAAGGUAUUUGAGUAAAAUUAUGAUUAUGAUAAGUCUCGGUUCAGAAAAGUAUGAAUAAAGGUUUAUGAUACAUAUGUGAUAAAUAUCCAUACUUGCUUAAUGCUCAUAUGAUGUAGUGUAUAUGGCUUACUUGAUAAGAUGAACGGAAUAAAUAGAAAGUAGUAGAGGUAUGAAUAAAAGUCAUAAUAUUAUGAUAUGAAUGAAAAUGUCAUUGUCUUGAUUUGGACGUCGAAUGUUGAUGAAUGCUAAUGAUAUAUAAUUUUUAUGAGAUAAAGGAUUAUAAUGAAAUGAACUUAUCUAUGUUAAAUUGUUGGACUGAAUUAUAUGAUUGUAAUGAUAUGUACAUGAUGAUGCACGAAAUGAAAGUUGUGAUUGUGAUGCAAAUAUCUAUGUUUGUUUGGUCUUAUAUGAUGUCAUGAGCAUGAAUUAAUUUAAUUAAAUGAAUGGAUAAGUAAAGCUUUCUAGAAAACAUAGAAUGUAUGCAUAAGUAUAUUGUCUAUAUGGGACAAUAGGAAAAUUUGUGUAAGCCAACAUGAAUGUUGCAUUGCCUGAAUGAAUGACAUGAUUUUGAUGAUGUUGCUAUUAUGAUGGAAGUUGUGUCAUAUGUGUAUGUAUAAGAAAGUCGAGUCAGAGGUCCUACAACCCCUCCCCCUUAUCGAAGUGGUACUUAUAAUGGAAUUUCAUGAGAUUUGUAUUGAAUAAGUUUCCGGUUGAGAACCCAAAGAGUUCAGUGAUAGAAUAAUUAUAAGUAUGAUCAGAGAUUGAAAAUGAGCUGAUAAGUAAAGUCAGAGCCAAUAAAGUAUCGGAUUGAUAUAAAGAUUAUUGGAAUUAUGCACUGUCCCAGUUAGAGAAGGAAUUCUCUUUGGUAAAUCGAAUUACUCAGGUGCAAGGUCGAGAAAAGUGUAAAUCGAAAUUUAUUCAGAACUGGCCUUCUUUAGUGAAUGGUUUAAUAUGAAAUUUGUGAUGGCAGAACUAGUUAGGGAAAUGAUAUUUGAAAUGUGAACUAUCUGAGUGUGACAGUUAUGACUGGACAGAUUUAGCAGUCUCUUUUGAGAUGUUCUAUGUGUUUACCCGUUCUCAGAAAUAUUUCUAUGGCUAUUGAUCUUCUGAAGAAAUUCUUGUUAUAUGGGAAUGUCUUCUAAUUCUGGUGUUGGAUGAAAGCAUUGGUAGUCUGACUGGUUUAUAAUUUAUAUUGCUCUAUUUCAUCGGGUAUUCUAUUUCAUUUCGUCUGAUAAGAAUUGAUGAGAGAAUACAUAUGAUAUUAUGAUUCUGUUUUUUUUCUACUUGAUGCUUCAUCUGAUAUAUAUGUAUGGGAAGAUAUAUUGAUCUUGUUAUAUUUGAUUUCAGUGGGAUUAAAUGAUGUUUUCUUCUGGACUUUCUUUCUUUGAAGAAUUAUCGGGGUAUUCCGUAUUUUCUCUAUGAGUUUGGUUUUUGAUUCUCCGGCAUAGUAUCGUAUCUUGGGUUUCUUUAUCCUGGAUCUCUUUAUUCUGGAUUUCUUUAUUCCGAGUUUCUCUAUCUUGGAUUUCUUUAUUCGGUUUUCUUGUUAUCUUUGUUCCAUAAUUUGUCAAUUAUGACUCAUGUUCGAAGUACGUUCUUCAGCUCGUGAUAAUCAUGUCAAAUAUGACUAUACUUCUAAUUUGAUCUUGGUAAUGUGGUGAUUUUAGUAUUGGGAUUUUUUCUAAUUUCUAUAUAAGGAUUUGACAUCAAUAAAGGCAUAGGUGAUAAAAGCGCGAGUUUCAGUCGGUAUGGUAAAUUAUUUAUUUGAAAGAUUUCAUGUGCCAAUUAUGUCAGGAUUAUUUUUCCCAAGUUUGAUAAUAUAAUUUCAUUUUGUACAGAUAAAAGAGUAAAUAGUCUGAACGAGAAGUGUAUAUUUAUUAGAAAGAGUUGGAUAUUAGUUAAAGUCACUACGAAUGAUAAGGUUUUCGUCUUGUGAAAGCUGAAAAGUUUAUUACAUGUUGACAAAGUUUGGAUAGAUGAGAAUAUUGGUAACCGAAGCGUCUGAACUAGACUAGUCUACAUUGAGUAAAGACUUCCUGACUUUCAGUAAUGUACUGUUGUAUGAAUUGUGAUGUGUUUCAAGACAGUGAGGUAAUGUGAUAGUUUAGAGCAUUCGAUGUUACAUAAAAUCGGAGUUGUUAAAGGGGUUAAAGCCGAACAUUGGGAUCUAUCAAAAUUAUCCUUGUCAGUGUUGAUAUUGGGAUAGAAAUGAGAAGGAUUAUUCUUGAGGCCAUAUCAGAUAUAUUUCCAUGGCGGAAAGAGGAAAAUAUGAUGUAUCCUAUUGUUAAAUGUUUGGCGAGAUCUAUAAGUCAUAUAUGUAUUGAAUGAAUUCCUACUCAUCAGAUUCAUGGAAUUUCAGGUCUCUUUGAUUGUUAGAUUUCUUGGAAUUCUGGUCUCCAUUAAUCAAGUUAAGAUCCGGGUUUUAUGUCAUGAUAUCAUGGGAAACUGAGAAGGGUUAAAAAUUUAAGAACAGUUGAGAGUUGAGACUGUAAGCUUUCAGAUCAUAUGAGAAAUUAAAGAGAUGUAUUGGAGGUACAGCCUAAGUGAAAGUUCUUCGGCAUCGAAUAUGAGAUUAAAAGUGAAGACCACUUUUCCGGUAAGAUUUUCGGGGACGAAAAUCACUAAAGUGGGGAGAGUUAUAAUAUCCCGAAUUAGGCCCUAAUCGGAAUAGUGGUUUCGUGACCACAAAAUUCAAGAUAGAAAUAAUUAUUUUAUGAUUUUUUUAAGGUCUAUGAUAUGAUUGCAUGAUUGUGUGAAAAUUUCGUGAAGAAAUUUUAUGCAUAAAGUGCUUAAAUUGAAAUUAGGGACUAAAUCGAAUAAUUUGCAAAACUUGUAUUCUAGAAGUUUCUAGUAUGAAAUUGUUUUGAAAUAUUAAUUAGGAGGUCUUAAAUAGAAAUUUUACCAAUUUCUAAGUCUAUGGACAAAAAUUGGACAUGGAUGGAAUUUUUGGAAAGUUUAAUAGUAAGGGCAUUUUGGUCAUUUAGGGGUAAAAUGAAUUAAAAUACAAAAUUAAAAGCCAAUUUUGCUCAUCUUCAACCCCAUGGCCGAAUAUAGCAAGGAGAAACCAUGGCUAGGGUUUUUCAAGCUUCCAAGCUCAAUUGUAAGUCCGUUCUAGCCUCGUUUUUAAUGAUUUUUACGUUUUUGGAGUCCGGUAGCUCGAUUUAGCUUAUGCUAGCAAUAAUUUAACCUAGGUCUUAUAUUUGGAAAAAUACCCAUAGGUUAAAUUUGUGUAUUUUGGUGUUUUAUGAUAGAAUAUGAGGUUUUAAAUUAUGUUAGACAACUUGUGCUACUCGGUUUUAAGUGAAAACGAGCAAAAGGGCUUAAUCGGUAAAAAUACCUAAUAGUCAUAAGUACAUGUUAGAGUGAGAAUUUGAUGUUUCCAUAGAAGGGAAAAAUGAUCAGCAUGUCAUAAAAGAUAGGAAAAUAGGCUGAAGUUUUAUUUACGAGCUUUGGGGAAAAAGUGUAAAUAUGUGAAAGUUUAGGGGCAAAACUAUAAUUUUACCAAAAUAUGAUUUUUGGGUCAAUUUGAAUAAUUUGAGUCCUAAUUAGACUAUAUUUUAAAUGAUAGAGCAAGGAAAACUGAAAUUCGGGCUAGAAUGGGGAAAAUACCAAGUUGUGGACGAAAUGGUAAAAGUAGCCAUUUUUGCAUACGAGGUAAGUUCAUGUGUAAAUAAUGUAGCAUAAUUGUUAUUUUUAAGUUAUUGAUGUUAAUUAUAUGAUAUGCUGAUUUUUAUUAUGAAAUAUAUGCUUUGUGGUUAUUUUCGAAUAAGAUGCAAAUUAUGUGUAUUAAUUGUUAAAUAUAAAGUACUACCAAGUAUUGGUUUCGGUACUUUACGGAAGAUGGCAAGGAGAUGUGUUCGAGGAAAAUCCCGUUUGAACCUUAGGAAUAUAUUAGGAUAUAAGUGACAUGUCACUAGGAUGGUUGAGCAUCCGAACUCAUUGAGUUGAGUCCGAGUUCACCUAUGGAUGCGAACGCCCGAGCUCGUUGAGUUGAGUCCGAGUUCGCUUAUGGACGGGUUACAUGGUAGCUUGGCUACAUAUGUGGCACUUAUGUGCAAACUUUUCAUGUAUCCGAAUUAUAUUUCGAUGUGUUCAACAGGUAAAGUUCUACUCAAAUGGAGGAAUACUAGAGAUGAAAGGGACGUAUUGGUGAGUGUUGUGAAAUGGAUACUUUGAACAGUUUUGACAAGCCAGCUCAGAAAUCGGGAACGGUCGGAGGUUCGCUCACACUAUCUGUAUACCAUCUUGGCAUAAUGGCUUGUAUAUUUUGAGUAUGGCAUGUAUAACAUUAUAAUCAUUUUGUAUAUAUGGUCUUAUGAUAUGGUUAUUGAGUGGUAUGGAAAUGCUUGGUAAUGAUUAGCUAUUGGAAUGGCUAAUCAUGAUCAUAUUUGGUGUUAUGUAUGUCAAAUUGCUAGCUAAUCCAUGGAAACCAUGAAAUAGGUAAAAUUUACCAUAAAAUAGAUUCUAACAGCAGCAGUGAUGUAAAUUUGAAAAAUCACUAAAAAUAGUAGAAAUGGAAUUAAAUGAUGAGUAUGUUAUGAAAUUGAAGUUUAAUGAGUCUAUUUUCAUAUGGAUUGAACAAAACAGGUAUAUGAAUUAUAUUUUAUGAUUUGUUUAAAUUUUUGUGAAACAGGGCCAGAGCAAUUUCUGGAUCCCUUGUUCUGACUUUGGAAAUUCACCAUAAAUUUUACAAAGAUAAUUAGAAGUCAUGCUUUAUAUUUACAGAUUCCUUAUUGAGUCUAGUUUUAAUAGAAACAAACUUCAUAGUCAUUGAAAUUCUGUACAGGGAGAUAUCUGAUUCGUAAUACAUAGAGGUCAGAGUAGUCAAACCCUGAAAUAGGGGAGACUUUAACUAAUAAACUGUACUAAUUGACCCAACCAAAAAUUCUAGAAAAAAAUUAGUAGAUAUAUAUAUGAGUAUAGUUUCAGGAAAAAUUUAUGGAAUUGGAUUUCGAGUUUUGGAACUCGAGAUAUGAUUUUUAAAGCGACUGUGAUGCAGUUAGCCAGCUUGUCUGGAAAUUUUAAAAUGAAUUGUAUGAGCUGUUUAAGUAAUGAAUUAAGUCUGUUAACACCUCGUUCGACUCCAGCAAUGGUCUCGGGUACGGGGCGUUACAUUUUGUACUUUUGAAAGUUUAAUCUUGGUCUUAUGGCAUGUAUAGGCUAGUUGGUUUUUAAGUCGAAUUUGAAUGGUGUGUAAAUUGAGCCAUGCGAAAAUGGCCAAGAUUGCUUAUUUGAUAAUGUUAUUUUGAAAAAUGGUUAUAUCUCUUUUUGACUUUAAUGUUAAUGGAUUCAUAAUGUAUGUGUGAUAUGUUUUUCUUUAAUGGCUAUUUAUCUUGUUAAUUUAAAUGAUAUAUGCAUAUGUUUGUUUGGUUUAAAUGAUUAGAGGAGUUGCAAUUAAAAUGAUUGAAAUUGCCGAAUGUCAUGGCUACUUUUUAACCUAAUUUAUUUAGUUUAUCUACAUUUUAUUAUUAUAGAACUGAAGUGAAUUAUUAAUCACGAUUGAAUUGAACGAUGUAUAAAUGUUAGUUAUCAUCUGGUAAUACCUCGUAACCCCUCUGGCGACAGAAAUGAGUUAGGGUGUUACAUUUUAUUCGUAUCAGAGCUACAAUUUAGUCGAUUCUUGGACUAAUGUAGUGCGUACGAGUCUAGCUAUACAUGUCAUAUGUUGUUAAAUGAUAGUGUGAUGACUUCUGAUGCUUAAAACGUGUUUUUCGUAUAGUAAAUGGAUCAAGAUCCCGAGCGAGCAGUAGCCGAUGAUGUCGAGAGUGUGGCGCCUGCUCCCUCUCAAGGGGCCCCACUAGUUGAAUAUCGGCCAGCUGCGAGUAACCAAGACGAGGGGGCUAAACAAGCCUUCUAUAAUAUGAUGAGUGACUAGUUUAAUCAUUAUAUUUGGACAAAUCCGGCUGUUCAACAACCCUCGAACCUGAAUAACCCUCCUCCGGUGCCUGUGGUACCACCGACUGUUGAUCCUGUGAGAUUAAGUAGGCCCCUGGUCGAUAAAAUAAGAAAAUACGGGGCCCAAGAAUUUCGGGCUACAGAUGAUGACGAUGCUGAGAAAGCUGAAUGUUGGCUCGAUAAUACUAUUCGAGUAUUUGAAGAAUUAUCAUAUACUUUCGAUGAAUGUUUAAAAUGUGCCAUGUCCUUGUUACGUGACUCUGCUUACCAUUGGUGGAACACUCUGGUUUCAGUUGUAUCGAAAGAACAAGUCACCUGGGAUUUCUUUCAGACUGAGUUUCGCAAGAAAUAUAUCAGUCAGAGAUUUAUUGACCAGAAAUUUAAAGAGUUUCUCGAGCUUAGACAGGGCCGUAUGACUAUUACUGAGUACGAGCGAAAAUUUGUGAGAAUCAGCCGUUAUGCCCAGGAGUGUGUUUCGACCGAAGCAGCUAUGUGUAAAAGGUUCGAAGAAGGAUUGAGGGAAGAUAUAAAAUUGCUCGUUGGUAUUCUUGAAAUAAAAAAAUUCGUGGUACUCGUUGAGCGAGCUUGCAAAGCCGAAGAACUUGGAAAAGAGAAAAGAAAAGUUGAGUUCGAGGCUAGAGAUUUUUGUAAGAGAUCUACGGGUAAAACUUCUCAGUCGGCACCAAAGAAGUUCAGAGAUGAUAGCAACCGAUCUAAGACUACUGCAAGGCUUUCUAUACAUGAUCGACCACCAAUGAGUUCACCAGAUACCUCGAUUGCCAGUGUUGGAAAUACUCGAUCGAAUAAACUCGAGUGUCAACAAUGCGAAAGACAACAUGUGGGUGAGUGUUGGGGCAAGUAUAACAAUAGAGCUUGUUAUAGAUGUGGUGCACGAGAUCAUUUUAUUCGAGAUUGUCUCGAACCAGUCGAGAAAGAUAAUAUUCAGAACACAAGACCGAGUGGCACUACAACUAGGGGUAGACUACCUAGGAACACGGGAGGUAGGAGCGGUACUCAGAGAGGGGCUUCAGAUACAGCAGUUCAAUCCGAGGCUCGUGCACCUGCCAGAGCAUAUGCCAUUCGUGCUCGAGAGGAGGCUUCAUCCCCUGAUGUUAUUACCGGUAUAUUCACUCUCUAUGAUAUUAGUGUAAUUGCUUUGAUUGAUCCCGGGUCAACUCAUUCCUAUGUGUGUGAAACGUUAGUAUCUAGUAAGACUUUUCCUGUUGAGUCUACUGAGUUUGUGAUUCGGGUAUGUAACCCCCUAGGUCGAUGUGUGUUAGUUGAUAAAGUGUGCAAGAAUUGCCCCUUAAUGAUUCGAGGUUCAUGUUUCCCGACUGAUUUGAUGUUAUUACAUUUCGACGAGUUUGACAUAAUUCUAGGUAUAGAUUGGUUAACCGUACACGAUGCUGUAGUGAAUUGUAAACGAAAAACUAUUGAUCUGCAAUCCCAGAAUGAUGAUAUACUUCAAAUUGAGUCUACUGAUAUGAAUGGUUUAUCGACUAUGAUAUCUUCGAUUUUAGCUUAAAAGUAUGCGAGGAAAGGUUGCGAAGCUUACCUCGUGUAUGUGCUUGAUAGUAAAGUGAUCGAAAAAAAUAUUGAAUCCGUACCAGUUGUGUAUGAGUAUUUAGAUGUAUUUCCUGAAGAAUUGCUGGGUUUGCCGCCUAUUCGAGACGUAGAGUUUGGUGUCGAGUUAGUUCUGGGGACGACUCCGGUUUCGAUUGCUCUAUACUGAAUGGCACCUACUGAAUUAAAAGAGUUGAAAACAUAGUUGCAAGAGUUGAUAGAUCGAGGUUUUGUGCGACAGAGUUUUUCUCCUUGGGGUGCGUCUGUGCUAUUCGUGAAAAAGAAAGAUGGAACUAUGAGAAUGUGUAUUGAUUAUCGACAGCUCAAUAAAGUGACAAUCAAGAAUAAGUAUCCAUUGCCGCGAAUCGAUGACUUGUUUGAUCAGUUAAAAGGAGCAUCAGUGUUUUCGAAAAUAGAUUUGCGUUCAGGUUACUAUCGUUACGAGUUAGAGACUCUGAUGUGCCUAAAACCGCUUUUUGGACGAGAUACGGACACCAUGAGUUCUUGGUGAUGCCAUUCGGACUUACUAAUGCACCUGCUGUUUUCAUGGAUUUAAUGAACCAAAUCUUCAGACAGUUUUUAAACCGAUUUUUGGUUGUGUUUAUAGAUGAUAUUUUGAUCUACUCCCAUGAUGAAACUGAGCAUGCUGGUAAAAUGAAAUUGGUAUUACAAACUUUACGAGAUAAUCAACUCUAUGCGAAGUUUAACAAAUAUGAGUUCUAGUUGCGGGAGGUUAGUUUCCUGGGGCAUGUAGUUUCAGCGUCAAGUAUUCGGGUUGAUCCGAUUAAGAUUUCAGCUAUACUUGAUUGGAAACCUCCACGUAAUGUUAUCGAAGUUCAGAGUUUUCUAGGACUUGCCGGAUAUUAUAAAGAUUUGUGAAAGGUUUUUCGAUGACUGCUACUCCGUUAACAAAGCUACUUCAGAAAAAUGUUAGAUUUGAGUGGAUAGAAAGAUGUCAAAGAAGUUUCGAUCAGUUGAAAACUUUGUUGACUGAAGCUCCAGUGCUUGUUCAACCGGAAUCAGGUAAAGAGUUCGUUAUCUUUAGUGAUACUUCUUUGAAUGUGUUGGGAUGUGUUCUGAUGCAGGAAGGCAAAGUUGUAGCGUAUGCCUCGAGACAGUUAAAGUCGCACGAAACAAAUUAUCGGACUCAUGAUCUUGAAUUGGCUGCUAUUGUGUUUGCUUUAAAGAUUUGGCGUCAUUAUUUGUUCGGUGAGAAAUGUCAUGUCUACUCCGAUCAUAAAAGCCUUAAAUAUUUGAUGACUCAAAAGGAUUUGAACUUGAGAUAGCUUCGGUGGCUAGAGGUAUUAAAAGAUUGCGAGCUAGUGAUAGAUUAUCAUCCAGGGAAGGCUAAUGUUGUUGCAGAUGCUCUAAGUCGAAAAUCACUGUUUGCCUUACGUGCGAUGAAUGCGUGUUUGACUAUGUCCGUAGAUGUUGUGAUAAUAGCUGAACUAAAAGCAAAACCGUUUUUUGACAAACAGAUUUGUGAAGUUCAGAAAAUGGAUAAUGAUUUGUUAGCAAGAAGGGCUCAAUAUGAUUCCAAUGUUGAUUCAGAUUUUCAACUUGACACUGAAGAUUGCUGGAGAUUUAGAAAUCGAUUGUGUAUUCCGAGAAAUUCAGUGUUGAUACAUAUGAUUUUGAACAAAGCUCAUGAUAUUAGAAUGUCUUUUCACCCGAGUAGUACGAAAAUUAUAAUGAUUUGAAACUGUACUAUUGGUGGUUGGUAUGAAAAGAGACAUCUCGAACUUUGUGCCGAAAUGCUUAGUAUGUCAGCAAGUAAAAGCCGAGCAUCAAGUACCAUCGGGACUGCUUCAGUCGAUUUUGAUAACCGAGUGGAAAUAGGAUCGAGUCACAAUGAAUUUUGUAUCAGGAUUACCAUUAAAACUGAGCAAGAAAGAUGCAAUUUGGGUGAUUGUUGAUAGAUUGAAAAAAUCGGCCCACUUCAUUCCUGUUCGUUCAGAUUAGUUACUCGAUAAGCUAGCCGAAUUGUACAUAUCACAGAUUGUGCGAUUACACGGAGUACCUAUUUCUAUAGUGUCAGAUAGAGAUCCGAGGUUUACAUCACGGUUUUGGAAGAAACUACAAGAUACUUUAGGUACUAAACUACAUUUCGGUACUGCCUUUCACCCCCAAAUGGAUGGCCAGUCCGAACAAAUCAUCCAAAUACUCGAGGAUAUGUUGAGAUGUUGUGUUCUCGAGUUUGAGGGUACGUGGGAAAGAUACUUAUCCUUGAUCGAAUUUGCAUACAACAAUAGUUUUCAGUCAAGUAUCAAAAUGGCAUCUUACGAAGCUUUGUACAGUCGUAAAUAUCGUACACCUUUGUAUUGGACCGAGCUAAGUGAAAACAAGAUACACGGGGUUGAUUUGAUUAAAAAAACUAAACAGAAAGUAAAAGUGAUCCGUCAAAAUUUGAAAGCAGCGUCCGAUCGUCAGAAAUCUUAUGCAGAUUUGAAACGUAAAGAUAUGGAGUUUCAGAUUGGUGACAGGGUAUUUUUAAAAGUCUCACCAUGGAAGAAAAUUCUUAGAUUUGGUCGUAAGGGCAAGUAGUGUAACGCCCCAAACCCGGCCCAGACGUUAUGGCCGAAUCCAACGUGCCACAUUGAAGUUAAGAACCCACGUUUCUCUUUAGUAAUAAACCGUCUUUUGUUAAGGCUUAACCAAGUGAAUGGAAGCUGUGCACCAGGUAGGUAUCCAAAAACAGAGGAGGUGAGCCAUGAAGGCUGCUUAAGUACCAAGCUCUUCGAUUGGAUCCAAUCCUAGACAUGCCCACAACCAUUGCCAUACUUUGUUAACCGAGUUAAAAUUCAUUUGGGUAGAUAUCUUUGAUAAACCGAUUAAUCGUGUUGUUACGUUGUUUUGAAAACGAGUAUCAUUUUGAAAAUAUACCCUAAGUCUAGCCCAUUUGAAUUAUUAUCAGAAAAAUUUAGAGUUAUUGAAAAUAAAAUAAUCCCAGAAAGAGAAAAAAGUUAAAACGGCCUUAUUACAACCUAAAAAUUAAAUAGUAAUUAAAAUAAACUAAAGGAAACCAGUUACUUAUUUAAAAGCCCAAAGACGAUCACCGAGGCCACUCUGAAUCCCUUCCGGCUCCAAGUCUUCACAUCAAGGCUCACCUGAAAGACUAAAGAAGGGGGGUGAGUUUGAAAACUCAGUGUGCAACAAGCCCGUUUCAGGGCCCAAACCAAGAUUAGCGUGCUAGGCCUAAGCCCAAAUUCAGUGUCAAUAAAUACUAGGCCGAAGCCUUUCGUUUACCGGUUACUGGGCCGAAGCCUUUUCAUAAUUCACAUCACUGGCCGAAGCCUUUACUGUAUACGGCUUGGCCCAUAGGCCCAUUUCAAUAUCAUAAGUAACAUCAAAGAAUGCAUGCAAGCCCAUUUGGGGAGACUACUCAACCCACCAUCCGCUACUCUCCACCCGUACCAACCAACACACCAUGUGGGGAAUGAUUCAACCCAUCCAACCAAUACACCACUGGCAGCAUAGCUGUUUUAUCAUAUAACUAGAGGCCUAGCCUCUUCAAAUAACUGGGGCAAAGCCCUUCUCGGUAAAUUGGGGCAAAGCCCUUUUUCACUUCCUCCAUUCAUAUAAAACCCAACCCAUGCAUAUAUGAAUAUAUCAUGUGCAUAUCAUGUCAAAUCAUGUAUAUAAAAAUCUCAUGCAUCAAAUUCAUAAUUAAACCCUAGGGGUAUAAUGGUCAUUUUUACCUAUGGGCAAAAUAGUCAUUUUUCAUAUUAUAAGGGUAAUUUCAAAAUUUUACCAAAUAUCAGGGUUUUCUAUGUUCAUUAACAAUUAUCAAUAAUUCCAAGUGUUUAAACAAUGAAUUUAAUGCAUUUUAUCAAAUUCGGGCUUUUGGGCCCCAAAACCCCUAAUGGGCCCCACGAAUGCCGAUUUAGCCCCUUAGGCCCUCAUAAUCCAAAUUUUACAUUAAAUCUACCCGUUUAACAUGCACUAUAUCCAAGUUCCAUUUUCUAUCAAAAUUUACCCAAAUGGGCCCGGAAGCCCAUUGGGCCCAAUUUCAGCCCAUUGAGACCCAACUUACCAACGUGCACAGAAUUGCGCUCUUACCUAUUCCAUCGAUCCGAACACCGAUUGUAUCACUUUAAUCGUAUCUAAAACCACAUGCAAAAUCUCAAGUUCCCGAAAUGCCGGAAUUUAGGCAUUUCGGCUUUUCGGUGAAAAUUAGUCUAAGAUCUUACGGGGGUUAUUACACACCUGUUUUGUGACGUUCACUAGCAAAGUCUCCCACGACAACCUACAAUUAACCAUCACCAUACUUAGUCUAUAGAUCAUGCUAAUCAAACCCCAAAUCUUACCCUACCAAAAUUGGCCCAAAGAAUCCCUAAUGGCCACGGUUCACUUACCUUCUCCGAGUCCGAUGCUCGAUCCAAGUUUUCCAAAUUGAUACCCCAAGCCUUACUGCUCUUCCAAAGUAUCUACAAACCAUAAAAAUAAAAGAAAAAGCCUAAUAAAGCCUAUAUCUCAAAUCGGCAACCAUCCUAAACUAUAGGGGUUUCGACUUUUGUCAAUGGUUACUACUGAAUCGAUUUACAGUACGAAUACUUACCACAGUCUCCCUUCUUGAACCGUUUAAAGCUUAGUAGAUGAAGGGAUUGGCCACCAAAAAGUGAGGGAAAAGAAGAUUGUUGGUCAACAAGAAAUUGGCACCACCAAGUUUAACAGGUUUCGGCUUUUGUGGUUUUUCGGCAAAAGUAAUGAUGGGAAAGGGAGUAGUAGAUGGAAAGAAAAGAAUAGUGAACUGGUUUUGGAGAAGAAAAGAAAGAAAGAUGAUUGGGAAUAGUGAUUUCGGUUUAGAGAAGGAAAAAAAUGAAGAAGAAAAAAGAAUCAUUCUCUGAAGUUUACUAAAGGAAAACGGCACAACCUAAGUCCCUAAUGCCGAAAUACUAACGUAAUACCCCUCUGCCGAAAUCCCCUCUCCACUCCCCUCUAUUCGGCCAACUCUAUCUCUCUCUCAAAUCCCUAAAAUCCCUCCCCUUAUCACUCCUUAAUCCAUGCAUUUGACUAAUUCAAACUCUCUCCAACAGAGUUCCAUUCGGCUUCAAACUUCUGCCUGCUCAAGGCAUAAAAAUAACAUCGCAUUUGCCAUCACAGAGAAUCGAACCCAGUUUCCCCCAACCACUUACACGCCACCUUUUUAGCUCUUUAGUGGCGUCACUUAGCCACUUCGGCAGAGGCUCUUUUAUGUUACAUUUUACCCAUAACUUAAUAAAGCCACCUAUCCAAAGCCCCUAACUUCCUAAGUCCAAAGUUUUGAUCAUCACAUGGGCCUUCCAUAAGCCCAUUUAUAUAUUCCAACUAUAACUUUUCACUACCAAAUACCAAAUUUUAAAAACUUAACCAAAUUCUCAGAAAUUAUGAAAAACCCAAAAAUCAGGAUGUUACAAGUUGAGUCCGAGAUUUAUUGGACCAUACGAGAUUAUUGAACGUAUCAGACCAGUUGCCUAUAGAUUGUCGUUGCCACCUGAACUAGAAAAGAUCCACAAUAUUUUUCACGUUUCGAUGCUUCGCCGGUACAAAUCUGACCCUUCACAUGUGAUUAGUUCGUCUGAGAUUGAGAUUCAGCCCGAUUUAACUUAUAAGGAAGAGUCGAUUCAUAUUUUAGCUCGCGAAAUGAAAGAAUUGAGAAAAAAAAUAUUGUUGGUAAAAGUGCUUUGGCAUAAGAAUGGGGUCAAGGAAGCAACUUGGGAGCGUGAAGAUUCAAUGAAAGAACGUUAUCCAAACCUAUUCAUCGAUAAGAUUUUUGGGGAAAAAAUCCCUAAGGGGGAGAGUUGUAACAGCCCGAUUUUUACCCUAGUCGGAACGGUAGUUCCGGGACCACGAAUCCGAGUAAAAUAUAUAUAUAUAUAUAUAUUUAUUUAUUAUUUAUCUAUGUUUUGAAUGCAUGAAUUUGGUUGGCGUGAAAUUUGGUUUUAAAAUUUGUAUCAUUUAAAUGUCGAUUUAUUGAAUAGGGUCUAAAUGCAUAACAUUAAAACUUAAUGAAUUAUUUGGUGAUAACCAAAUUAUGAGGAUUAUUAUUAGUGGAGGGAUUUCAUAGGAAAUUUUGCCAUUUCCAAGUGUAGUGGACGGCACUUGUUAAUUGUUAUUAAUUUUAUAUAAUGAAUAUAUGCAUUUUAUUUAUUAGUAUUAUUAUAUUAUAUGAAAUGAAAGUAAUAAAAAUAAAGAAAAGAAAUAAAAUAAAACCACUUGCUUUGUUCUUGUCGAAAUAAAAAGAAGAAGAAAAUAGAAAAGAAACAAGACAUUCGGCCUUCCUUGAUUCAAAAUUUAGGUAUGUGUUUAACUUUAAUUUGAAAAUUGUUUGUAUUUUUGAGAUGUUAGUUGUCUUUUGAUCAUAACCCAUGAAUUUAUUUUCCUAACUGUUGAACAUUGAAUGUUCGGUCAUGAGGUUGAUAUAAAGAAAUGCUUUAGUUCUUUGUUGAAUGUGUUAGAAAAUAAAAGUUGGUGUUUGAUUAUUGAGGUUUAAAUUUAGAUGUUAGGUGAUUUUGUGUUUAUGGUAUGAAAUUGAAAUAAAUUGUUAAAUGGGAAGUUAAUUACGAAAUGAAGAUACGUAAGGAUUCAUAUAGGCAUAUGGAGCAUUCGGUUAUGGUAUAUUGAAAUAAAAAAUUGAUGUAUUUUAAUUAUUAAAUACUUUGGACUAUUUAGCAAAUGUUGAAUACCAUGAGGAGCAAAUAAGUAAACUUAUUAAUUAUGCACUAAGAAUUGAUUUGUUUAUAAAUUAAAUUGAAAUUUUAAUUAGAUCAAGAAAGGAGGAGAUUAGAAGCGGAUAAGGGAAAAGCGAAAUUAAUUGAAUAGCCGAGAAACUUAAUCCGUUGAUAAUCAAGGUAAGUUUUAAGCAAUUGAGUUGAUUGAAUUUAAUUAUAAUGUAAUUCAUGAAUUCAAUGGAAGUACAUAAAAAUAUAUGUAUAGCUUGGUAUAAUCGAAGGUGAUUAUAUAUGUAUAGUUUGGUAUAAUCAAAAGUGAAUAUAUAUGUAUGGUUUGAUAUAACCGAAGGUGAAUAUAUAUAUACAUUUAUUUGAUCUAGCCGAUUGUGGUAUAGGUAUGUGUAUAUAUAAUCAAAAGAGUAGUAAGCUUGAGAUGAGCACUAAGUGUGCGAAAUGAAAUUGGUACUAAGUACUAAGUGUACGAAAUUGGUCAUUUGGCACUAAGGGUGCAAAUUGAAUUUAUACCAAGUACUAAGUGUACGAGAUCAGUUAAUGAGCACUAAGUGUACGAGUUUAUCUUUAAGCAUCAAAGAUGGAGUUCGAUAAAUUUUGAUAUUAUGAAAUGUUUGCAUUUGAGACAUAAAUUAUAUAUGGUUGCUUAUGAAUUAUAUGAAAAUGUUAUGUGUGGAGUGAUUAUUUGGAAUUUAGCAUAAGCCGUAUAUUUGAAUGGCUUUGUACUUAGAAUUGUGGAUAUACAUUAAAAAUGAAUUUACUUAUUGGUUCGGCAUUGAGAUUAGAAGUAGUAUGUGUGUUUAGGAUUGUGCAAGUAAGUUUUUAAUUGGUGAAAACAUGUCUAAAACAUGCUUGAAGUUAUUAUUAUUAAGAGAUUGAUUGAUAGAUGUAUUUAAUUGCUUUUAACUUACUAAGCUAAAAAUAGCUUACAUUGUGUGUGGUUGUUUGCUCUUGAUUAUAGAUUUCUUGGUGAUCGUCUUGUGCUCGGGGAUUGUUGGAGAAGCUCAUCAUACUAUCAUUAACUUUUGGUACUUUUGAAAGUUUAAUCUUGAUCUUAUGGCAUGUAUAGGCUAGUUGGUUUUUGAGUCGAAUUUGAAUGGUGUGUAAAUUGAGCCAUGCGAAAAUGGCCAAGAUUGCUUAUUUGAUAAUGUUAUUUUGAAAAAUGGUUAUAUCUUUUUUUGACUUUAAUGUUAAUGGAUUCAUGAUAUAUGUGUGAUAUGUUUUUCUUUAAUGGCUAUUUAUCUUGUUAAUUUAAAUAAUAUAUGCAUAUGUUUGUUUGGUUUAAAUGAUUAGAGGAGUUGCAAUUAAAAUGAUUGAAAUUGCCGAAUGUCAUGGCUACUUUUUAAUCGAAUUUAUUUACUUUAUCUACAUUUUAUUAUUAUAGAACUGAAAUGAAUUAUUAAUCAUGAUUGAAUUGAACGAUGUAUAAAUGUUAGUUAUCAUCUGGUAAUACCUUGUAACCCCUCCGACGACAAAAACGGGUUAGGGUGUUACAGUUACAGUCAAGUGGAAAGAGUUUUUGUUUUCUCUCCUAUUCGGGUAUUAUUGGCUCUUGUCGCAUUAUACAACUUUGAUUUAAAGACUAGAAGGCUUUCAGUUUUCAUGUUCGAGCACGGUUUAGACUUGGUUAACAUUCUACAAAAUUCAAGUUAGGCUCAUGACGGGGCAUGAAAAAGUAGGCAUGAUAAAUAUGAGUCAAGGUGGAUAUUUGCGAGAUGUGCCUCGCAUUUAUGGGACACAUUGCAGGCACCUUAGACGAGAAUCAACGAGCAACCGAAGAAGGACCAAAACAGGUCCGAGACAGGAUGAGGAGUUCCCCAACGUCAGGAUGACGCGAUGGUUUUUGGCAAUGGAUGUGGCGACGAUGUCAUGACAAGGAGAGACGGCACAUCACGAUAAUUCCUAAUGUUAUGCAGCCAUGUCUUGUAUAUGUGAACAUGACUUCUUCAUCCAAUUAGAUUGUAAUUACGUUAAGGUUAUUUUAACUAUUUUAGCCCUUAGUAUUGAGUCUAUUUAAAGGGUCUUUGUAACCCUGAUUUAGACAUGUCAUUAGCAAGGGCUUUUCUGUGAGGACGACAAGAUAUAGUCACAUAUGGAAUUUUGGUGAGAGUUUGAAAGAAUUUUGCGAAACUCUUUUGCGAGAGCUUUGGGUGUGGGCUUUGUAUUCGAGGCUUGGAUUUUUGUAUUUCCAUUGUAUUAUUGUUUUGUUUACUCUAUUAAUGUUAAGUCGAUGCCUCAUUUGCUUAUGAUUUUUAUCCCUCUUUGAGGGCUUUCCAUGUAAAAUAUUUGUGUUCGUUCUUCUUUACUUUUACUAUCUCGUUGUUUAUACGAAUUGAUCCUCAACAAUAAUUUUUUUACAACAACAGAAUUUAAAUGUUAUCCUACUGCUUAAACAUUUAUUUUUCUAACUAAAGUUAUGAUUUGUGCACACAUUUUCUUAAUAUUCAUUUGACAUAAAUCAUAAAUUUAUUCUGAGAACAUAUGCAUGUGUUAAUCUAAAAUUUUCAUAUAUGAAUAUUAUAAUUAAACAUAAAUCACAUUCAUAUACAUACAUAAAAGGAUAUAAAUAACAUCCCAUUUAAACAAAUAUAAUAAAACAUGUUAGUAAGUAUAUACCCUCAUCAUUAUUCAAUAAACUUAAACAUUAAAUUGCUUUUUCAAAAUUUACCACUGCCCUUUAUUUGGAAUAAGUAAUACUCUGGUAUUGGAUCAUUAUCACAAAAGAGUACUUUUAAAGAAAAACUUUGUAAAAAUGUAAAGAUUAUUUGUAAAAUGUUAGGAUUUAAUCUUUGUAUUAUAAAAAUACUUCGUGUUAUAAGUUAUUAAAUAUACUUUUUGAUGAGUUAGAUUGUUUAAAUUCUUUUUUCAUAAAAAAGGCUAUUUAUUCCUAGAAUUAAAUAAAAAGAAAUUAUUCAUUAAGUGUAUACAAUAAUAUUUUUAUAAUUUGACAUUUAUUGUUAAAAAUGAAUUGUUGUUUAUAUUUUAUGUUAAGUUCUAAGGUGUUACAUACUUAAAAUAAUUUAAAAUAAUUGUCUGGAUUCAUCAUUUGUGGGAAGGAAGUCAUUUUUAGAAUGGAAGAUCUCACAAAGGAAUAUUUGGAACAUGGUAUCUGUAAAGAUCGCGUUCAAAAACAUUUAAGAGAAAUAAAAUAAGGUGCGAGUAAACAUGGGCAGUAGUUGAAAGCCAAAAUUAAUCAACUAAAAACCCCUUUACAUUUUACAACCAAGUUGAAGCUUGUAGAAACCUUUUUUCAAAGAGAGUAUUUUGAAAAUGGGAGUCGCCACCAACCUUUUUAAGUGUGAUUGGAUCACCUUAUAAAAUAUUUUGGUCUACGAAAUUGUGAGAAAACGGGUUCGGGAGUCGAUUACGUACGAGGAAGGAUUAGCCCCCUCGCAGCGCCCAAAAUUAGUACCAAAUUGAAUAGUUUUGUCUUAAUGUCAAAAGUUUGAUGGAAUUUAGAAAUAAGAUCUCUUUUUAAAACCAUAAUAAUUUGAGUUGAAAAUCAAGAUUCCUUCGCUUCAAAAGAGUACGAACAUCACACCCAGCAUGAUUGGACACGAUAUUCCUAUACUUUCGUAACUGAAAUCAUCUUGUGAUUUCCAAAAUUUAUAUAGAAUGGUGUUUUUUAGACAUUUAGACAAACGGGAAAUCGCAACCCAGUAUGUUAGGGCACUACUUCUCGAAUUCCUAAAUACCAAAAACAUUACAUUAUUUUUUUAAAAUUCUUUUGGGUUGAGUGAAAUAUAAACUUUUAUAACAAUAAUGCGUUUGACAUGUUACAAGAUAUCAAUACUAAACAAUAUAAACUACAUGCUUUAACAUUUUAUGCAACUAUAAUAUAGAAAAUGAUGAAUAACAACUUAAAUUAUAUAAUAUACAUUAACCUUUCAUGCAGAUAUAAAUAACAUAAAUAUACAUGCAUUAAUAUUUCAUGCAAAAUAUAACAUGGAAAAUAAUGCAACAUAAUUACAUAUAUAAUAAUAUUUCAUGCAAAUAUAACUUAAAUCAACAUAAAUAAUCAAUUUUCAUGUGAAUAUAUAAAAACAAUAAAUAACAUAAAAAUAACAAAUAAUUUAUGAGAUAAAAAUUAACCUACUAAAACAAUACUAAAUAAAUAAAAAAAUUCAAAAAUAAAUAAACAAAUUAUGAACAUAUAUAAAAUAUAAGUCAAAAAAAUUAAAAUAAUAUAAAAAUGAUAAAGGAGAAUUUUUUAAACGAUUAAUAUAUAUAAAAAAUAUACUAUAUGAUAUAAUAACUUAAUAUAUUUAUAAAAAUAAUAAUAUGUUAAAUAGGAACAAAAUUUUAUAGUAAAUUUAAGAACAUUAGAUAUUAAAUAUUAAAUAUUUAAUAAUGAUAUAUGUAUUAUUUAAUAAUAAUUUACAAAAUUUUUAAUUAUAUGUACUAAUAAAUAAUAAAUAAUAGAAUAAUAUGAUAUAAAAUGAAGAUAAUAUAAGGAAUAAUAUAUAUAAUAAAAUAUAAUAUGUAAUAAAAUAUAUAAAUAAAAUAUAUAAUAAAAUACAAAUAACCUAAUAAAUAAUAAAAAUAAUAUAUAAUAAUUUUUACAUGUAUAAAUAAUGUUUAUAAAAAUAAUUAAUAUAUAUAAAAUAUUUAAAAUAAAUAAAUUGUAUGUAAAAUGUAUAUAUAUAAAAGGAUUAAAAUUGAAUUUAAAUAAGAAUCUAGGGUUAAUUUUUAAAUAAAUAAAAUGAAUUUUAAACCCAAUUGAAACACGCGUUAAAAGUUGAGGGACUCACUAGACAAUUUGACCCUAAUCCCAAAACGACAUCGUCCCGAAAUAGGCUUUAUGAUAGUAAAUAAGACUAAAUUAAAAUGAAAAUAGAAGGUCAGGGCCAAAUUAAAACAAAAUAAAGUUUGAAUUGAACGAAAUUAUAAAUUCUGAAAAUGCGAAAGGACCAAUUGGGCAAUUAGCCCUUUAAGCAAAAACACGCGGAUCCUUCCCGGGUCGCGGGUCAACGCGCGGAUCCUUGACCUUGGAACGACACCGUUUUGAAGCCUAUUAAUUUAAGCCUAAACGACGCCGUUUCUAUGAGGUUAUAUAAGCCAAAUUUUUGCCUUAAAAAUCAUUUUGAGCCCGUUUUAAAAAAAAAACAAAGACAAACCCUCUGAAAGAGGACUGAGAGUAGGCCCUCGGAGCUCCUUCGAGCCUCCGUCCCCGGUGGCCCAUGUGUCACUGCCAGCUCCGCUACAUACGGCGGUCGGGAUUCGAAAAGUUUUGCUUUUCUUAGCGAAUCGAAAAGGUAAUCCUCUUUUAUUAUUUUUAUGGUGCUUUGUGUGUACGAUAUGCAGGUAUUCGAGAAGUAAAUAAAGGAAAUAAAGCAAGAGGAAUCACCUCUGUUCUUUGGCAAGGCUUCCAAAAAUUUAUAAUCUGUUUUUGUGUUUUUAUAUCUGAUAAAAAAAAUCGUAUCGUUUACAAAUUAGUGAAGAGGCUUUUAUGGUCUUCUGUGAAUAGUUACAUUUUGGAAAGAAAUCUUUGAUUUCUUUUCCAUGUUUGCUUCUCUUUUCUGCUGUGGUUCUUUCCUUUUUGCAGGUACCAGCGAGGAUAUCACGGCGCUGAGUGCGCUGGCAUUGAUUCGUGCACCGAUUACGGCGCGAUACGGAGCUGGAGUCAUGGCGCCGAUGAAAGGUCACUGGAAUGGCGUGAGCCGAAGGAGCAUGACGAUUGGAGUGCUUGCGGCGCGAAGCUUUUGGAAACCCUAGGGUUUCCUAACCUGCUAACUGAUUUGGGCCUUUUGGGUCGAGGGUGUAAUGGGCUACUGGGUAGCUUAGGUAUUUGGGCUAUGGUAUAGGCUUGGGUGUAAUUGGGUUUAAGUGUUUGUGGGCCUUGUAAAAUGGACUUGUUUAAAAAAAACUUUAUUUUUCUUUUAUUUAGUUUAUUCUAUUUUUUUUAACUUUUAAUAGCCUGGGCAAAUUGGGCCUAUUACAGAGCUCAUUUACGUAAAGCUGCGAUUGGAAAUAAUCCAAUCAUCCACAUAUAUGAUCCCAACUUCCCUUAAAAGCAUAAUAAUAAUAACCUUAAUUACCUUUGGAUUCUAAGAUGAUCCAAUUAAUGUCCAAACAAAAAACCUUCAUUUGGAUGACAAUCAAAGCAUGUUUCCUUAAGUUCAACAUAUUUUGCAGAUCUAAUUCUAUUUUUAAAAAAAUAAAAAUAAAUUUGUCAUGAAAGUAAAAAAUGAAUGGAAAUACCUGUGUCAGAACAUUUUUUUUCUCAGUCACUGCCACUUCUAUAUGAUGACUUGUUCAUCAAUUACAAUGGCAUGGAUGUGGAAAAUGUUGGCCCAAUCUUUACCUUUAUCCUUUUCACAAUGUUCCUUCAGCAAAGGACAAUUUUGAAUGCACAAACGAGAAAGAGAGGGAGGAAGCAUGUUUGGCGGCAUGGAUUGGAUCUUGGGACAAUUGUAGAUUGACAAAUUGCAAAGAGAGGUGAGGUUUUGGAACCUCUUAUACUCCAAACUCUUUAGAUUUCGAAGACUAGAGAUAUCAAGAGACGUAAGAGAAGAGGGAAGCAGAUGUUCAUCUGGAAAACGCUCCAUCUCUGCUUCUGAAUAUGAGAUAUAGAAAGAUCUAAGAGAAGGGAAUGUAUGAAAAAUCCAUUCCCUUUUCCUAAUCAAGCUCUCAAUUAGUUUAUAACUCUCAAAGAUUCUAAUUUCUUUUAAUUUGGAGGGCAAACCCUCUUUUGGAACCCUCUCUAUUUUUGGACAAUCAUCUAUUUCCAAAACCUCCAGGGAUGGAAAGACGAACUGCAUUUGCUCUGGCAAUGACUUUAGACUUUUACAACUCCAAAUAUAAAGUCAGGUCAAAUUGGUGACAGAUAAUCCAUCUUCAAUUUGAAAAGAUAUCAAAUUUUGGCAAUUCCCUAUAUGCAAAGAAUUGAGAUGCUGGUGUUGAGAGCCCUCUGAAGCAGCACUAAUAAACUUCAAGUCUUCACAUCCCCAAAUAUUAACAUGCUUUACCAUAGGAAACAAUCCUAAUGGGAAAGAUUCCAGUCCAUGACGUUUACUACUCUCUAUAUGCAAGGAUUCAAGCGAUGUAUACUAGAAGAUAUAGGAAUAAUCCAAGUUUUCACCCUAACUUCAAGAAGGGAUCAAAUUUCUGAACAACACCACAAACAUAACUUUUCAAAAAGUGUGCAUCAUUGCAACAUUUGUUCCAAUACGGAAUCAUUCAUAUUCGAAUCUCUAAUGUCCAACUCCCGAAGCCCACAAGCCAAUGGCUCCAACUGUAAUGCUUGGCAUUUCUUCAACUCAAGUUCCAAAAUGCUUGGUGCCAUUGGAAGCAAGCCUCCAAGCUUCUCACAAUCUUCAAUCUCCAGUUUCUUUAAACAAUGGAGGUGUUUGGGAAGAGACUUAGUUAGUUUUGGACAAUUUCUAAUGCAUAACUCUUGUAGAAGAGGGAAAGCUUCAUCACUCCGACAAUACCAUUCCUCCCACUCGGUCAUAUUCUCAAAGCUUAGCAUUUCAAGUGAUUGAAAUGGUUUAGUUGAAGCUUGUCCAUUCCCAUAGAACUCAUCACCAACUAUUAACACUCUACUCAAACCGGAAAUGGAGAGAAAAUUCAAAGAUGAUAUUUGGCCAAGCGGCGGUAAGGAUAUGCAAAAUUUACAAUCAUAUAACCCCAAAGAUACUAUAUUUGAGAAAGAAGAAUGCCCCACCCAUUCCGAAAAUCUCGUACCUUUUUAAAUUUGAAUAACAAGAUGCUCCAAAUUUGUAUGAGGCUCUAGUUGUUCAAGCACUUCUCUAUCAUGCCUUGAAUCACCAUUGUCGUAACCAUUUUUUUGAAGAAAACGGGAAUCGACUUGGAUUUGAAAAUAAAAGAACGGGAGUCGCCACCAAUCCUUUUUUGAUGAGGUGUGAUCAGAUCACCUUAAAUUAAUUAUUUUAAUAAAGGUUAAGAUUUCCUAAAGCGAUCAUUUUUGGUCUACGAAAAUCAGAAAAUGAGUUCAGGAGUCAGUUACGCACGAGGAAGAGUUAGCACCCUCGAUACACCCAAAAUUGGUACCUAGUUGAUUAAUUAGUGUCUUAAUGUCGAAGAUUGAAAACUUGAAAGACUUUUGAAAUACGAUCCUUCUUUAUAAAAGUGCUCAAGUGUUAAAGACCUUCUCGUCUCAAAAUAUAAAAUGUCACAUCCAGUAAGUUAGGACACGACAUCCUGAAUUUUCGAGAGCGGGCUUGCCUUUUAUAUAAAAUUUGCGUAUUUUAAUUUAUUAAAAGGAUAUUCGAUUAUUUAGAGGAAACGAGAGAAAUCGAAACCCAGUAAGUUAGGGCACGCUUUCUCAAAUUCUCAAACACCGAAUAUUGCCUUUAUUUUAAAACAAAUUCUUAUUUCGAGAUGACAAAAUGUCAUACCCGGUAAGUUAGGGCACAACACUUCGUAUCUCCGCGAAUAAGCUUCUUUCAAAACUCAUAUAGCGAUUUAAAAGAGUAUUCUGCUAUUUAGGUUAAAUGAGAAAAAUCGAAACCCAGUAAGUUAGGGCACGAUUGUCUCGAAUUACCGAAUACGGAAUAUUACUUUUAUGAAAGGAUUAUUUUGAAGUAUCGAGCAAAAAAUAUAAUGCGAUUUAUAGUAAAGUACAAAAGUAAAUUAUGAUAUUAACAUGUAUAACAACAUAACGAUAGGUGCGAUAAUGUCAAUUACAAUAGUAUGGGCAAAAAAGAUGAAAUAAAAACAAGGCUAGUAAAAGAUAAAACAAACGCGUAGGGAAAAAUGAAAUAAGAAAAUACAUAAAUAAAUAAAUGAAUAAAUAUAAAACAUGACAAAAUGAAAAUGAUAAUGAUAAUGAAAACGGUAAUAUUAAUAAUAUUGAUAAUAAAAAUAGUGAUAAAAGGAUAAUAUAAAAGAUAAUAAUAAUAAUGAUAAUAAUAAUAAUAUACCUAUGAUAAUGUAAAUAUGGAAUAAUAGAGGACAUAUAUGUAAAACACCUAAUACUAGAUUAAAAAUAUUUACAGUAUUUAUUGAAAAUAGUAAAUAAAAUAAAAAAAUAACUAAUAAUAAUGAUAUAUAAAUUUAUACAUAUAUGUACUAAAAUAUAUACGUAAUAAUAAGAAUAAAAAGUGUAUACAUGAUAUUAAAAAGAUAUAUAAUAUAUAUUAGAAAUAAUAAUAAUGUUAAAACAGCUAUUAACAAUUCUAUUUAUAUAUGCACAUAUAUAUAUAUAUAUUAAUAAGUAUAUACAUAAUAAUGAUAUUAAAAUAUAUACAUAAUAUGUACAUGAUAUAUAUAAAGAAAAAUAUACAUAGUAUAUUAAAAUAUAGACAUAAUAUAUAUAAAAAAUAUAUAUAUACAUAUAAGGUUUAAAAAGAACAAAUAUAUGUAAUAUAAUACUAAUAUAUAUGCGUAAUAUGGAGUAUAAAGUAUAUAUAUUAGAAGAAUACCUACAUGACAUACAAGUACCUUAACAAAACAAUAAUAUUAACUUUUAAUAGUAUUACAUAAAUACAUAUAUAUAUUAAAAGAUAUAUAUACAUAUGAAAUGGAACAUAUACUAAUAUUAAUAAACAUAAUAAGAGUAGAAAUAGACAUAAUAAUAAUAUGUAUAGUGGUUUAAAAUAAACUAUAUACCUAUAAUUUAAAAUGAAUAGAAGUUCAAAAGUGUAAAGAACUUAAAAUACAUAAUAAUAUGAUUUUUUAAAUAAAUACUUAAUAAUAAAACGAUUCUUAAAAAAGGCUGAAUGAAUAAAUAAGUAAAUGAAUUGACAAGCUAGGACUAGACUGAAAUUAAAUUAAAGAUUAAUGGUACAAAUUGUAAAUAACCUAAAAAUAAAACCAAGGACCAAAGUUAAACACACAUAAACUACCAAGGACUAAUUCGACAAAUAACCCUGACUCUAGACACAUGUCCCUGCUCAGCGAGCUAGGGAUUAAAUUGAGACUCACGACAGAUUAGAUGGCCAAAUCUAUAAAGAGAAAAAAAGAAAAAAUGACUAAAUUGAAGCGUGACUCAAAAUUGAGGGAUCACGUGCGUAAAUAGACCAAAAAGACGGAAACAAGCGGAUCCUCUUUGGGUGUCGGGUCGGGUCGCACGGGUCAGGGGCCAAAACGACGUCGUUUUGAGCCCCUGAAGCCACACAUCAAACGGCGUAGUUUUCUUCUUCACAAAAACCCCUAAAAUUUCUUUUUUUGCUUUAUUUUCAGCCCUCCCUUUUUUAAAAUAACAGAGAGCAGCCACUACUCUCUCUCCCUCUUUUCCCCUUUGCUGCUAGGGUUUGAACCCUAGCUUUACGCCGCCGUCAUGAAGCCACCAUAGGCGGUGAUCGGGGCCGUAAAAAUGGGUUUUUUAACCCCAGUUCGGGGUACCUUUGAAGGCUAUUUCUUUAGCCUGAAAAGACCAAGAGAAGGUCAUUUCCGUCUCCCUUUCGAGUCCGUUUCUGAAGACAAAGAUGAACUCCGACGUCGUGACCCUCGGGAUCCCGGUAAGUUUCCUCUUCCCCUCUUCUUUAUAUUUUUAUCCAAAAAGAAGUUAAAAAAACAGAAAAAUAAACAACGAAAAAAAAGGAAAAAAUCGAAAAAAAGCACAAGUAAUGGGAUUCAAAAUCAACCUUUUGCUUUUUGAUUGCUUAAUGCUCUGUGUUACAAUUUUCUAAAAAAAAACUCCUUUUAGAAUACAAUCGGCCCCUCUUCAAAAAACUACCCCCGGUUCUUAAAAAAUGGCUUUUAUAGCCGAAAGAUAUCAUUUUUUAUUAUCGUUUGCUUCUUUUUGCUGCUAUUGCGUGUUUCUGCUCUCUGUUUUUGUCUUGUAGGUGAUGGGACGAUGGGACGGAGGCAGUGCAAGUGGAGGCAAGUGGUUUAGGGUUAGGUGGGUUUGGGCUUCUGUUUUAGGCCCAAAAUUGGGCUUGUACAGCUGCCCCUCUCUGCUUAUUGUCGUGUAACGAGAACAGAGCAAAGACUUAAGAAAAACCAAUUUUGCCUGGUCUCACCGUGUCUGGACUUGUUUAGCGCUCCUUUUCUCCAGGUAGCUUCAUUCCAAUCCACUGCAUCUUGUUGCUUCACUUCGCUUUACUGCUCUACUGCAGCUUUAGUGAGAUAAUGUUUGUUUUGAUCUGCUCUAUUGCAACUUCAGGGGAAUAAGACUUGUGACUUCAGAGAGAUAAGAUCCGUCCAUUAUAGCUUCAAUCCAUUCCACUGCACUUUAGGGAAAUAAGACUUGUGACUUCAGCCUACUUUACUGAAACUUCAAGGAGAUACUGCUGUGGCUUCCAAGCUCUCCAGUGCAAUUUCAAGGAGAAGAGAUUUGUGAUUUCUAGCCUGAUACCCUACUGCUUAGGGGUUUAGGCUCAUCGCUUUUGAUCUCUUUCCCUCUUACUUAGAGGGUUAAGAUCCGUAAAUUUAGUUUGCUCCACUACGACUUCAGGGAGAUGAGACUUACUAGAUUCGAUCUGUUCCACUGCAACUUCAGGGACAUAAGACUUGUGAUUUUCAGCCUAUUACCUUACUGCUUAGGGGGUUAAGGUCUGUAAAUUUGGCUUGUUACCAUACUGCUUAGGGGGUUAAGGCUUGGUGGUUUGAAUCUGCUUUACUACAACUUCAGGAGGGCAAGAUUCGUCGUCUUUUGAUCUGCUUCCCUACUGCUUAUGGUGAUGAGAUCUAUAAAUCUUCAGCCUGUUACCCUACUGCUUAGGAGGUUAAGGCUUGUUACCUUUGAUCUGUUUCCCUACUGCUUAGGGGGAUAAGAUCUAUAAUCUUCGGCCUGUUACCCUACUGCUUAGGGGGUUAAGGUCCAUCUUUGAUCUGUUUCCCUACUGCUUAGGGGGUUAAGAUCUGGAAAUCUUCAGCCUGUUACCCUACUGCUUAGGGGUUUAAGGCCCUUCGUCUUCGAUCUGCUCCACUACUACUUAGGGAGAUAAGAUCUGCAAUUCGAUCUGUUACCCUACUGCUUAGGGGUUUAAGACCCUUCGUCUUCGAUCUGUUUCCCUACUGCUUAGGAGGUUAAGAUCUGUAAAUUCAGCCUGUUACCCUACUGCUUAUGGAGAUAAGGCUUGUGAAUUCACCGAUUCCACUGCACCGUCCUCUGAGGAACAUGAUCUGUAGAAUCAAUUUCAUGUAUCUAUGUUUAUGCCAAAUAAUUAGGAUGAUAUGAUUGAAAUGAAUCAAAUGCUCCUAACUAAAUGUGAUGCUUAUGUCAAAUAAUUAGGAUGCUAUGAUCGAAAUGAAUCAACUGCUCCUAAUUAGAUGUGUUAGGAAUGCAGAAAUGAAAUGAUCCUUUUUAAAAGGCUUAAAGUAUCAUUGCUCGUUGUUUAUUAGGACAUUAUCACUCACGCAUUACACUGCCAUCUUGUUCGGUUGGUAUUCUUGACAGAAAAGUUAAAGAAAUAAUCACAUUUUGCUCAGCAAGCUUGCCCCGCUGUAAUUUCAGAGUCUCUUCCACUGUACCUUCUGGGACAUAAAGUUUGUGCCUCCCACUGAAUUUCAGGGGAAUAAGCAUUUGAUUUCUUCUAUCCAUCCUACUGCCAUUCAGAGGUAUAGGAUGUGUAUCAUCUUCAAUCAGUUUGAUCUGUUACACUAUUCCCUGAGUGUAAUGACCAGAUGUAUAUGCCUGAUAUUUGCAUAAAUGCACAGUAUCAUUUUUCUUUUCCUGAGAAUAAUCCCAUUGCUCGUUCUUUGCCGGGAUUAUAACACCAUCGUAAUUUUUCUGCUCAACCAACGUCUUUGACAGAAAACCCAAUGAGAUAAUUUCAAUUUGGGCUCAAAUAUUUUCAACCCUUAGGCUUGGUGAGUUCUGAAUAAUGGUCCUGUUUCAGGCUCCUGUACUAUUUAGAAGCUUCUAAAGUAAUAUACAGAACCUCUUUUAUAAAAGUAUUAUUGGUCUAUUAAUCGUUAUUUCAAUACAAAAUGCUUGAAAAAUAUCAAAACGAUGGACAAGAAGGAAAUUGAUUGGGAGCAUAGCUCGAAAUGAAUUAAUCAAAGAUUGCAAAUGCAAUAAGAAGGAAAUUAACUUAAAAUGAAUAAGUUAAUCAAAGAUAGCAAUGCAAUAAGAAGAAAAUUUAUUCGGACAUAUCUUGAAAAGAAUCAAAGAUAACAAAUUUAAAAUGGGCAAAAUGAAAGCUAGAUGCCCCAGAUAUCGCAGCUUGAGCUUCUCUGUACCAACUUCUUAAGGACCUUUCUGAGCUCAAUAUGUGUUUAGGGGAUCCGGAGUACUUUUUCGAUGCCCCAAGACGUAACAUACUUCUUCAUUAUUAAUUCAGGCAUAGCAAAACUAAUGUAUGCCCCACUUUGAUCCAAAUUUGAGCCGCCCCUUUUGGGUUUUCAACUCAAAUCCCCUUUGGUCUCAAGGCGCUCUUUGUGGGUUUUCGCCAUGGCCUCUCCCCCCUGUUUUUUUUAAGGCACCCUUUGUGGGUUUUCACCUUGGCCUCUUUCCUUUUAAGUAGAAUAUUCCUUGACUGGAUUUGAAUUCACUGGAUUGGACAAAUCUUUGCCAUCAACGCUCCUUCAGAAUGGGCCUUUUUUACUACAUAAAGUCCUUUCCAGUUUGGCAUCCACUUUUCUUUGAAGUCCUUUUGUAUAGGAGGAAUUUUCUAGGAUAAACUUCUUCAUCGUAAGCUCGCGUCAAUUAUUUUCGAUGCAUUGGACUUCGACAGAUAGCUUUCGGCCCUCUCUUUUCAAAUUCAAUUGAUCCUAUCAGGAUUGGAUCCAUUCUACCUUAUCUAACUUCAGCUCUGACGAGACUCGGAGAAAAUGAAUCUCAUCUUCAAAACCGAUUCUAUCCUAUAAACCAACGAGUAAUGUGUUGCCCCAGCUAAGGUCCUAGCCGACAUUCGAUGAGCAUUGAGGGUACAUGAUGACUUCUUAUGCCGAUCUUUACAAGUCUCAGUCAUCUUUCCAUGAUCUUCUUCUUCUUCUUCUUCUUUUAGGAUUUGAUGAUUGGCAUAUGAAGCGACUUUCACCCUCUUGGCGAAGUAAUUGAUGCCUGCUAGAAGCCUUCGACGAGAUCGGCCCAAUAACUUCCAUGCCCCAUAUAGAGAAAGUCGAAAGAAUGAAGAGGCACAUGAAUUUUCUCUCCAUAAAGUCGAAAUAUAUCAUUUUUCAUUAUCGUUUGCCUCUUUUUGCUGCUAUUGCGUGUUUCUGCUCUCUAUUUUUGUCUUGCAAGUGAUGGGACGAGGGGAUGGAGGUAGUGCAAGUGGAGGCAAGUGGUUUAGGGUUAGGUGGGUUUGGGCUUCUAUUUUGGGCCUAAAAUUGGGCUUGUACAACCAUCAAUAUCAUCUUCUUUACCCCAUCUCAACUUCAACUUUUUAAGGUCCACCUUAUCCUUCAAAUUGGCAUCUUUGGCAUCCAUGGCACUUGCAACAUUUUUUAGUCCUGAAAUGGAAAGUCUUCCACGUAAAUGCUUGAGUUUUCCCAACUCAUUAAUUCUUGAUCCAGUUUGACAGCCUAAAACAAAAUCUGUUACUAUUUGAAAAUCUUUCAACCUACCCAUUCCUUCUGGCAUCCUUGCUAACUUUGUUCCCUUGGUAUCAAGAUAUAGAUCAAUCUCUCCAUGUCUCUCGGCAGCUCAUCAAGGUCGCUGCAUCCACGCAAUUUUAAUGCUUGCAAAUUAUACAAUGUACACAAAGAGUUUGGCAACCUUUUAAUUUUAGUUCUUGAGAGAUUCAAAUUUCGUAGAUGCUUAAAAUUACCAAUAUCUUCUGGAAAAUUCUUGAUAUCUCUAUACUCAGCCAAUGAAAGCACUCGUAAGCUUGAUUUCACCAUCAAAUCAUGCAUUAGGACAUCACUGACAAAUGAGCAGUACCAGACUGGCUUUGUAUUUAAGAAAGUACGCAGACCCUUUGCUUUAGCUAAACUUUGAAUUUUUUGCCGCACAUCAUAUGGUUCUUGGACAUUGGACAUAUGAUGGGUCUUUUCAGUUAUUACACAAGAACCACCAGCACUACCUUCCAAUCAGCAAAUGAACUCUCGGGUUAUAGAUUUAGCCAAGUCACUAAUUAGAUCAUGCAUGACAAAACAAGAUUUCUUUCCUUUAGAUUGUUGAAAGAAUGACCUCAAUCUUAAAUCUUUGAAGUACUCGUUACCCCGUUCUUCCAGAUCUCCAUUGUCUUUGGGAAGCUCUAAAAGACCUUCAGCCAUCCAUAAUUGAAUAAGUUCUUCCUUUUCAAAUUCGUAAUCUUUAGGGGAAAUUGAACAAUAAGCAAAACAUCACUUCAAAUGGGAAGGAAGAUAAUGGUAACUCAAUGUUAACGCUGGAAGAAUAUUAGUUGCAUCAUUUGGAAUGUCCCAAAAAUUGCUAUGUAAAAUUUUGUUGCACUCAUCAGCAUCUGGUUUGCAACGCAGAAGACCUCCAAGAACUUUUGCAGCCAAAGGGAGACUGCCACAUCUUUUAACAAUUGCUUCCCCGAUUGCCAUCAGAUCUGGAUGCUUGGUGGGGCUUGAACCAUCAAAUGCAUGCUUUGCAAAUAACUUCCAACAAUCAUCAUCUGAUAACACAUCUAAACGAUAAGUUGGAGCGUUCCUCAUGAUUACUGCAACGUUUUCAUCACGUGUUGUUACAAUAAUCUUGCUAUUCUUGGCCCCAAAAGUGAAGGGACUUGCAAGCUCUUUCCAAUGAAAAUAAUUCUUGUUCCAAACAUCAUCCAAAAAGAUUAGAUAUUUCUUUCCGGACAGCUGCUCUUUGAGUUUAAGUUGAAGCUGAUUUAAGUUCUGGUUUCCAUCACAGCUACAUUUGAUCUCUUCAAGAAUGGUUUUGGCUACCUUGAAAGCAUCAAAUUCCUCUGAAAUACACACCCAUGCUUUGCGGUCAAACCAUUUAUCCGCUAUGGGGUCGUUGUAGAUCAAUUGGGCAAGGGUGGUUUUGCCAAGCCCGCCCAUACCCACAAUGGGAAUCACAGCUAUCUGAUUUUCAGACAGAUUUUGAGGAUCCAACAACUUCAUUAUUUCUUCUUUUUCAUCAUCUCUGCCAUAAACAUCAGAUUCGUCCACCAAAGAAGUUGCAGGCGUUAUUUGAAAUGCCUUUUCUCCUUCAUAGCUUUCUUUCAGACCCAGAAUCUGUUUUUGGUUGAGUAGGUUGUCUAGUGUCCCAAGGAUCUCCUCCAGCUUUGACUGCGUCCCAUCUUUGAAAGGAUAGAAAGAAGAGAAAAAGCUACUAACCUGCUUCAUAGGAGUAGUUUGAUAUUCGGAUUCGAUCUUGUUCCGAAGAGCUUCAGUAGAGAUCUCGUCCAGGAGGUCGUCGGCAUCAUAAACAGCAUCUUUGAGCUCAUCAGUCCAACUUUUGACAUUUGGGUUGGUAAUCUGCUUAUUUUCAGCAUCAUCCAACACUGCUUUCACCGACAUCAAGGUUGGCUUCAGUUUCUUCAGCAGCAAAGGUUCAAGUUUCUUUCCUUUGAUAAGCCU